rnacentral:lncRNA from 1 species
GGGUGUGAGAACUACAAUAAAAUUUUCAGUGGGUUCGGCAACCAACCACGCCGACUUUCCCACUAGGUUUAAAUCAUGCAUAAUAGAAGAACAGAUAGAUAGUAACCAACUAAACAAAUGUAGCUAAUAUGCCUGAAUAAUAAGUAAUACGAUAUUCGAUAGAAUACUCAUGAUGAAUAUAAGAUCAUAGUUUCCUUACCCAAUCUCUUGGCUAGCCCGUAGGUUUCGCCCUCAAUAGACUCACCAACUCAAAUCCCAAGUAUCGGGGAGACUACUACGCCCGACGGGACCGUCCUCCGGGGAGACUACUACGAUCCAAUGAUGACAACUCCGGAGCACAUCGCCCGAGGGGGAGCUACCACCCUUGAGCAAGGACUUACAGGCGAGUAUGAUCCAAACCUUAACUAUAAGGAUGUCAAGUUCAAUCCAUUCCUUAACUAUAAAAAAAAAUGCACAUACGACCCUUAACUCUAAGGUUGUUAUGUCAUAAUGUCACUACCUUUGUAUACUUGCAUUCGUUAACCUUUACUAGUGUCAUACACACUACUUGUUCUUUGUACUCAUAUAAUGAUGCCACACUUGUUUUCUAAGUGUUCAACUCUAGUGUUCUUGGCUCUUCAAUGUCACUCACUACCUUAUGUCAACAUGUCACAUUUGUUCUCUAAUCCACCAAGUUCUUGUCAUUUUUCAUGCAUAUAUAGGGAUUAUAGAUUCUCACUUUUAUUUCACAUGUAUUUGAACUCACAACAUGCAAUAAGAAGUUCACAAUAACUCUACCAUGCAAUAUGCUCAAUACAUACAAAUGCUCAAAUAUGACACUUUAGACAUAAAGAAAUUUCGAGGUUUUCGGUAUGCACCACCCACCUUGUAUGGUUGCAAAGGUGCUACGGUGAAUUUCUUGGAAUUUUUGAAGCUCUACUUUUUCGCCUGCGGCAAAACGAAGUCAAAUUAGGUUUUUUCUCAAUAACUUUAUCUAGACAUUUUCGUAACGUCGAAUCGAAUUGCCCAACGUGUCGGAAAUACCCCCAAUUAGGUUUCUAUAAGGUCAAUUUGUCUUAGAAACUCCCUAGGGCAAAAGCCCCAAUUUAGUACCCUAAUAAUACCAUUUACUCAAUUCUAGGUUUUGAUCUCUAAAACAAACAAAAGAGAGCUUGUCUAACAUCUAGAAGCUCAUUUAGAACUAUCUAAACCAUUUCUAGGGCAUAAUAAGUAUACCCUAGGGAUUCACCAUUAUUGCACAUGAAGAAAACUAGGGUUUUCAUGUGUUUUAAGCCAUUACUAGGUUUCUAUAUAUGAGAGAAGAUUAAAACCUAGUUUUCUAGGGCAUAAACCCAAACCCUAGACCUAUUGUCACAAAACACCUCACCUUAGCCCAAAACUCUCCAAUGUCUAUCUUGUAGGAGAGUCCCAAGCCUUCAAAACCACCAAAAAUCCCUCCAAAGUCUUCUCCUCCACCCCUUAGCUCUUGGAAGUGAUCUCUAGAGAGAGAAAGAGAGAAAUGAAAGAAGAGGUGUGUGUUGGCUGUGGGAGAGGGAGAGAGAGGUGUCGGGGUGUUUUAUAAGGUGCUACAAUUGCAUCUAGGCCUCCCAUUUUUUUUUAUUUGCAGCAUACCAAAUUGGUGCUGCCAGACCAAACUGUAACGAUGCAUGGGAUUUUGUACUGGUACAUUUUCGGCGCAGAGGCAAUCCGAGAGCAGCCUCCUUGGAUUUUACCAAAGUGUACUGGUACACACCAUGGGUGUACCGGUACAUUUUCACAAAAACUCAAACCCGAAAGUAAUCUCUUCUCGGUCUGCAGGGUUGUACCGGUGACAACUCGAUAGUUGUACCGGUACACUUUGCCCAAAAUGCUGCUUUUGCGCUGUUUCGAUUCUAUUUCGCGCCGGUCGAUGCUAAAACCCUUUAACUUUUUUAGAACUCCUUUUUAACCCUUCCAACAUUAUUGGAACGCUUAAAUGGAAUAUACCCAACUAUUUCUUUCUCAUUGUUCACUUUUAAAUUACGUCGAGUAAUGCUAAAACUUGCUUAACACUCUCAGGAUUCGACUUUGACCCUUCCAACAUUGUUGGAAUGUCAAUCGGACUUUAUUCAUCCAUUUCUCUCGGUACUUUAACCAAUUUGGCUAAAGUUCGAUAAUUGCUAUCGAGGUUUCGAUACGUUACAUAAUGUGUACUGAGUUUAUAGAGUUAUAGGAUUCCAUCAAUCGAUGUUUUGAACUGCAAAAAACACGAUAAUGUGACAAAUUUUCGGGGGUAAAUUGCACUAGUUGUUUCGUAACUUCUAGUCAAGUUUCAUUUUGGUUUUAAACUUUUAACUUUGACAUUCAAAACCUCAAACUUGUUGUGUUUGACUUUAGUCUUUUCUAAAGUAAAAAAAAAUUGCUUGCAUCUAAUUCGACUGUAUGUUUGGGCACCAUGAAUCCAUCGGCUCUCUGUUCAUCUUAUUUUUUUCAAUCCAACAGGUCAAAUUUCUAAAUAUAUAGAAGGUUAUGACUCAAAUGAUGGUAGGAUUAGACCUGACAAACGGGCAGGUUGGGUAACCCGCGGGCGGGUUAUUGUACCCGCUGGUUACUUGGGCAUGGGUAAAAGUUACCCGCAAAUUUUUGGGUAGUCAAUAUUUUUACCGAUACCCGCCCGUGGGUGGGCGGGUGGGUAUGUGGGUUACCCGUAAUUUUUUUUUUUGUUCUUAUAUUUUUUAAAUGCAAAAUACACACACACACACACACACACACAUAUAUAUAUAUAUAUAUAUAUAUAUAUAUAUAUAUAAGUUUUAAAACCGUAAUAUAACUCAUUGUUUAAAAUACCAUAACAUAUAAUAAAAAUAUUUAAAGUCUUAAAGCAAAAAUAUUUCAUAAUAUAAAAGACAUGCAAUAAGAAAUUAGGAUUAGAAUUUUUAGGAUGAGUAAAGAAAAAAAAAAUAUAUUAAUUAAGAAAAUAUAUUUUAUAACUAAAAAAUAUAUGUGUAGGUACCCGUGGGUACUCGUGGGUUACCCAAAAUGCCCACUGCUUAAUGGGUACGCACUCGUUUUACCCGUAAUUUUUGGGUUGGAAAAGUUGGUACUCAUACCCGCAAAUUUGUAGGUAACCCGCGGGUACCCGCGGGUUUGGGUCAAGAUUGUCAGGUCUAGGGAGGAUUAAAAUAUAAGAUGGUAUCAAUAGUAUAUAGAUGCAUUGCACACGAAUAUUUCGAUCAGAAAGGGUUGUUCGGUGGUUGCUAGGAUUUAAGUAACCAUUUUUGUAAAAAAAAUUAAGGGUUAAUUUCAUGCAGGUCCCCGCAAACAUAGUGAAUUACAGAAAUAUCCUUGCAAAGUUCAACUUUUAUAAGUUAUCAUUGCAAAAAUCCUAAUGUAUUCAGAUAUGUCCCUAUGGUUAGAAUCCGUUAGAGAACUGUUUAUUUUUUAACAGUAGACUUGUGAAAUGACAUUUUUGCCUUCACAAAUAUGUCCCUCCGAAAUAAUUUUUGCCCUCUUCCUCUUUCUCUUCUUUUUCAAGCUGCAGGAGUGGACGACGGCGACGGCAGCGGCGACAACGUCGCGGAGCUUGUCGGAGUUGCGGCCGACGAGAACAAGGCCGAGGCACGCAGUGGCGAGGCGGAAAGCGAAGGUGCGGCCAAUUCGGAAGCGCUCAUGACGACGGCCCACACGAGCAUGACGAUCGGAUCAUCGACGACGACGACGAAGAAGAAGAAGAAGAAGAAGGAGGAGGAAAGGGAGAAUACGAAGAAGAAGAAGAAGAAGGAACCGGCGAAGGCCGUUGUCUGGCCUCUGCUGUACUUACCCCGCCCAGAGGCGCCGCCGAGGAUGGCGAAGUCGGCACCGAUCUCCCACGAGGAGCACUGCCCGAUCUCCCACGAGAAGCACUGUCGACGUGGCCUCCAUCGGCCGCUUUCUCCGCGACCGCGGUUCUUCCUUCUCUAUCACGAUCGCCCGCCACAUCUCCUUCCUUGUCGGCGACGAAGAAGAGGGAAGAGGAAGAAGAAGAGGGGUAAAAUUAUCAAUUCACCUUAUUAAGUAAUCAUAGUUAAGUAUUUUAACCGUGGUUAACUAAAUUUCUUUAACGGAUACUAACGGCAAGGACAUAUCUGAAUACAUUAGGACUUUUGCAGGAAUAGUUUAUACAAGUUAAACUUUGUAGGGAUAUAUCUGUAAUUCACUAUGUUUGCGGGGACUUGAAUAAAAUUAACCCAAAAAUUAAAAUAUAAUAAAACUAGGCCUCUCAUAAAGGGUUGUUCCGAUAGUUGCUAGGAUUUAAGCAACUUUUUUAAUAAAAAAAUAAAAAAAUAAUAAAACUUGGAAACUAAAUCUGGAGGCUAAAAUUGUAAGAUUUCAGUCAGCCUAGAAUUUACCUUUUUUUUUAACCAUCUAGUUUUUAGAUGGUGUUUGGAUUGGGUACAAGAAGGGAGAUAAGACCCUUAUCCCCCUCUUGUACUGAAACACUAAUACUAAGGGCAGGAACUGCUUGUUUCCACCCUAGUGGGUUAUCCUGGAGUAACCCUUAAGGGUGGGAACAAGCUGUUCCCAUACCAAGCUGUUCCCACCCCUGUAUGGGAACAGCUUGUUCCCACCCCUUUUUUUAAAAGAAAUUUAAAAAUUUAAAAUUUUAAUUUUAAUUUUUAAAAAUUUAUAAUUUGUAAUUUCAAAAUUAAAAUUUAUAAUUUUAAAUUUUAAAUUUUAAUUUGAUAUUUAUAUUUUUCAAAUUUAAAAUUUAAAAUUUAAAAUUUAAAAUUUAAAAUUUAAAAUUUAAAAUUUAAAAUUUAAAAUUUAAAAUUUUAAAUUUAGAAAUAAAAAUUUAAAAAUUAAAAUUCAAAAUUCAAAAUAUAAAAUUAAAAUUUAAAAUUAAAAAUUAAAAAUUCAAAUUUUAAAUUUCAAAAUUAAGAUAAAAUUUAAAAUUUAAAAUUUAAAAUUUAAAAUUUAAAAUUUAAAAUUUUAAAAUUUAAAAUUUAAACUUUCAAAUUAAAAAUUAAAAAUUAAAAAUUAAAAAUUCAAAUUCAAAUAUAACGAGAGGGGUAAUAUCAUUUUUUUUAUUUAUAACUAUCCACUAUUAUUCUUAUUCCAUCUUAUCAAUCUGAAAACUAUUUUUUUAUUUUCAAAAAUAAUUAAUUUUUAUGUAAAUACAAAAUUGAUUUACCUUUUAUUUAUAAUUGUAUUUAUAGCUAUUCCUGAAAUAAGGAGUUUUUACUAAAGGGCCUGUUUGUUUCAUCGUAAAAUCACCCCGAAAAUUUUUUUUCGGUGGAAAAAUAAGAUUUCGAGUGUUUAUUUGUCCGUAAAAAAAUUUUUACGGAAAAUUUCAUUUAUGAAUCUAUGGAAAAAUGGUGUUUUCGUUUUCCGCUCGUUCGAGCGGAAAACUAAAACGACACCGAAAAAUUGCGGCGUUGGAGCGGGGGCGGGGUUCAUCAGGCGCGGUCCACGAGAGACACCCCACCUUGUGGACCGUGUGGACCUCUCUCUCUCCCACAUCUUUAUAUAUAUAUAUAUAUAUAUAUAUAUAUAAUAUUUUAAAUAUGGUAUUUUAUUUUUAAUAUAAAUAUAUUUAUUAUAUAAUAUUUUAUUUAUAAAUAUUAUUUAUAAAUAUCUAAUAAUUUAUUUUAUAGUAUUAUAUAUUUAUUAUAAUUUUAAAUAUAUUUAAUCUACAUAUAAAAAUUAUAAUAAUAAUAUAUAUAAUAUAUAAUAAUAAUAAUAUAUAUAAUAAAAAAUAUAUUAAAUAGAUUUUCAUCUACUUUUCUUUUCCUUUCAACUAAACAACCAUCAUCGAAAAUUUUUUUUUUUUUUCUACAAAUCAAAACACUAAAUUAUGUAAAAUUUUUUUUCUAUCGAAAAUUUUUUUCCACCAAAAUUUUUUUUUCGCAGUUUUACGUCAAAUCAAUCAGCCCUAAAAGUUUUGCUUGAACCGUCAAAAGAACCGGCCCAAUAUUUCGGAUUGGACCGGAUUUUAAAACAUCGGCACGAAGAGCGAGGACUUGUGUUGCUGCAAAGGCACGCGAGCCUCCCCUUUUUCCAUUACAGGCUUACAGCCCAUCAUCCCACUUCUCUCUAACGCGCACACCCUUCUAGAGAUGGAUUCGCCGAGGAAAGCUCCGGAGAUCGUAGCAUUGUUAGAUCUGAAGCCGCACCCUGAUGGGGGGUUCUACUUGGAGACCUUCAGAGACUUCUCCAUCACCCUUCCUAAAUCUCAGCUACCUCCCCACUGUGAUCUCUCUCUCUCUCUCUCUUUAAUUUUUUUUAUAUUUACUUGUUUCAAUUCUCUCUUUGUUUUUUGCUUUUUUUUUCUUAUUUUCAACAACAUUAGUGGUGGGGGUCCUGGUAAUUAUUCCCCUCAUUACCCAAUUUCAUGCGAGCAUCUUCUUCUUUUACCCUUUUUACCUUUCAUUCACUAAUUACUGGAACCCCCACCACCUAUGCCCGUUCUUGAAUUUGCCCCCUAACUUUUGGUCCUCAAGCUGUGGUAUUUUGGUUUUUUAAAAUUUAUUAUAAUUCUUAGCACGAAUGUUCUACAUUACUGCAAUCCAAUCGACGGUGCAUAAUUUAGUUGGCUGCAUAAUGACGUGAUACUGUUGUGGCAGUUAUGUGAUUUUAUGGUAAUGACGAAUUCUAUUUUAGUAAGUGACGUGGUAAUCCCAUAAUAUGCUAUAUUAUUGUCAUAUUAGCCACACAUAGUCGUUCAAUUUAACUAAACUAAAUUGUGCAACUUAUAGAUUAUUACAAUAUAAAAGGUUUGAGCCAGAAAUUAUAAUAAAUUUAAAUUUGGAAUAAAAGUGUCACCAACCUCAUAAUUUGGAAAAAAAAAAAAGGUGUAAUUUAGCCUUUUUUAUUUUCUUCUUACCCUUAAGAGAAGCUCCAAAAUUAUCUACAUUUUGCCGAUUUAUAAGUCUCCACCUAAGCUUCAGGAUGAAUUAAUUUACUGUUCAAGCAAUGAUUCUGUCAAAAUUUACCACAAAGCUUCCGUUUGUUUUCUUGAAAUUUUGUUAAAAAUUAACUAGCUAGCCGGACGCGUGAAUUUGUGGCCAUUCACUCGAAAUUUUACUCGUGUACCAUCCCAAGACCAGCGGACAUCUGACAAAAUGAACGAAAAAAUUGCAACAUAAUUUUUGUUUGGUGGUGAAUUUUCACCGUUUUAAAGUUCGGGUGCUAAAUUGCAAAGUGCUCAUUGAGCAAAUUUCAGGUGGACUUGAGGUUUUUCCCCCCCUUUUUCUAAUAUCAAAUUUGUGAUUCUUUUUUUCUUCAUUCGAGUGAUUUAUAGUCAAAUAAGUUAGGAAUUUCCGAAUUGCAAUACUUUUCUAUUAAAUUUAAUAGCUAAAUCAUUUUUAGUAAAUAAAAUUGUUACAAUCUAUGGUCAAUACUAAUAGUUUUAUCAAAUGUCACAAAGUUUUAACUAAAACAACUAGAACAGUUUAUCUCAAAAAAGAGCGAAUAGAGGGGAUCUCAAUUGAAAACAGAAAAGUUGAGGGGUAAAUUUUAGAAUGGCUUGUAGUUGAGGGGGUUUCAGUACAUCUUGACUAAAGUUUACUGCAUAUACUUCACGAAAUUGUCACUUAGGGUUUAAUCACUAUUGCUUGUCUUGAUCUUAGUAAUGUGCUUCUAAUUGUUAUCCGGUUAGAUGUAAUCAGACUCUUAAUACUAGGCAAAUGCUGUUAAUGCAUUAUGUUGGCAGUUGUUUUCUGGGAGUGUUAUUUUUUAAGAAAUGAAGCAUUAGUUCUUUUGCUAAUGUCUCAUCUGGUUGAGGGGAUCAUUUGAUUGUAUUUGGAUCAGAAGAAGUGAAUGUACGAAAAAAAAUAAAAACCAAUGCUAUAUAUUAUUAGGCCUUAAAUUGGAGAGAGUUGGGCUAAACAAUAUAUGCUAAGUUUCUGCUAAAAUUGAAUGUUCUAUUGUGAAGUCGAGCCGGGGGGAUCAAUCAAAGUAAACAUACUUAAUUUUCAAAAAAAAAAAAAAUGCAUGCACGGAUUGAGGGCCUUGUUGGGCCGUGCUGUUGGAAAAGUAAUUUCUAUAGAAUUGAUUUUGGUUUGAAGAGUUGAUUUUGGUUAACAAAGUAAUUUCUAUAGAAUUGAUUUUGGUAUGAAGAGUUGAUUUUGGUUAACAGCUAUAGAGAGUUUCGCGGAGUCUAAUUGGAAAGCUAUUUUUCUGAAUUGAUUUGGUAAAACUAUUUAGCAAAAUUUUUUGCUAUUUGCAAAUACUAUAUUUCUUUGCUAAAUUUUAGAGAAAUUUAAUUAAAAUGUAAAAAUUGAAUUAAAAUUUAAAUUCUGAUAUUUGACUAUUGAAAUUUGAAAUUCACAAUUUGAAAGUUAAAAUUUAAAAUUUAAAAUUUAAAAUAUUACAUUUAAAAUCUUAAUUUCAAUUUAAAAUUUGAAUCCAAAAUUUAAAUUUAAAUUUAAAAUCAGAUUCAAAAUCAUAAUCGGAUUUCAAGAAGCUAGAUUUAAAAUUUAAAAUAUUACAUUUAAAAUCAUAAUUUCAAUUUAAAAUUUGAAUCCAAUAUUUAAAUUUAAAUUUGAAAUUGACUCCAAAAUCAGAAUUAUACUUUCAAGAGGCUGGUUUUAGCUACUUGUCAUUUUGCGGCCUGUAAAAUUAGAAAACUGAUUUUAAAAAUUAAAAUCAGAUUUUUGACAAAGAGGUUAUCAAAUGCUCUAUUGAAGGAAAAAUCACUUUUGGUCAUAAAAUCACUUUCUAGAAUUUAGGCCAAACACCUACUAAGUGUUUAAGCUAUCAGCCAAAAAAACCAAUACUUCAGUCACCGUUGAAUAGCAAGUUUUGUUUUUAAGAUGCAUGCAGCACCAUCUCCUGCUCGGUGGCAAUCCUCUUUGGCAACUUUUCUUACUUCUUACUGAGAAAAAUCUUCUAAUCGGCUUCUUGCUCAUCAAACACAAGCCAAAGUAUUAGUAUUUGAUUCCCCCAGUAGCUUUGAAAAUGCCAAAAAAUAGCAGUGGCAGAAUAAUGUUAGAUGCUGAAGGAGAAUAGUAAGCUUGAAAGUCGAGAUGUAGAUAGAAGGUUGAUAUCUCGAAUAAUACAGCCUUUAACUUCUUUUUUUUUUUUUCUUUUUUUCCCCCCUCCAAACAGACAAGGUGUCUCGUCCUGUGAGCAGUGCAAUCUACUUCUUGCUGCCAUCAGGGGGCAUUGCUCACCUUCAUCGCAUCCCUUGCGCUGAAAUCUGGCACUUCUACUUGGGGGAACCACUCACGGUUCGCUUCUGUAAUAGCUUCUCCACUCUCACAAGCAGCAACAGUGCAUUUGGCAAAUAAAAUUUUUGGACUAGACCGCUUCUGCUAUAUUUUUAACAAAAACCUUGUAUUCACUCUUUGAAUAGCUCUAUUCGAACAGCACUCCCACAAAAGCCGCAAUCAAGCCAAACAAGCCCUUAAUCAAGCCGCCCUAUAUAUUUGAGAUUUUUUUUCUCAAUUAUAUUUUAUAAUCUAUUUCCAUUACACCUCAGGUAUUUGAACUUUACAAUGAUGGCCGCAUCAAACUGACCGUAGUUGGGCCCGACUUAGAAGCAGGUCAUCGGCCCCAGUACACAGUUCCGCCAGAUGUGUGGUUCGGUGCAUUCCCAACUUUAGAUGUUGAGAGCUGUUCUGCUGACGGCAGCGUUCUUGUCAAGGCUCCAAAACGCGACCCCGAGCUACAUUAUUCUUUCGUUGGUGUCACCUGUGCACCUGCAUUUCAGUACGACGACAAUGAGUUAGCAACACGAGCCGAGCUCAAAAAUCUUGCUCCCAGUGCUGAACCUUUCCUCAAUUACCUCAUUCCGUAAGAGGCAAAAUGCAGGAUUGUCUUUGUUGGUUUGCUUAGCUAUGUGAACGAAAGUCCAUAUACAUUCCUCUAAAUGGAAAUAUGGUCCAGUAUUUGUCAAUUUGAACAUCUGAUUGUCUAUAUGUUGGUAAUCUCUGAGCAAGUUGCCCUUCCUGUCUGUUGCUUCCUGCUUUUUAAUUGUUUAUGGGUGUUGAUUAGAUGAGAUUGAUUAAUCUUUUGUCUCUCUUUUUAGGCGCUGUUUGUUUCCGACUAAAAGAGGCCCAGGAACUCCGUUCAUGCAGAAAAGGAUUCUUUUUAAGUAUUUAGUUCCAUAUAAAAUACUUUUCGGUGAAAAAGAAAAUUGCACUCUGCAAUAAUUGCUGCUACCGUUUUCUUCCAAAGUAGGCUUGUCAAAAAUUUUAAUUUGUAGAUAUAAAGUGAAAAUUUUAUUUAUAAAAAUAGGCCUACAAUAACCGCAUUUGUGCCAUAUCAGUUGAGUCUAAAGAAAACAGUGAAUCAUUUGUCAUAUUCUAAGUGCGACAAAUGAUUCACCAUUUUCUACAUUAUUUCACUGGCACGAUUCACUUUUCUUGUAAACAGAAUAGAGAAUGCAAUGCAUCGUACUAUAUUGUCAUCCUAGUCUACCUUCUUGAAGGGCUGCCUCAUAUUAGACUCGUUUGCAGCGGCUAAUGAGCUGGUAACAUGGUGCACUUUAAAAAGGAUUGAAGGAGUCAGAUUUAAAGUUGACUUCGAAAAAACUUUUGCAAGAGUCAAAUGGCCCUUCUUGAAUAAAGUUGUACUCUAGUUAGGAUUUGGGGGAAAAAAAAAUUAAUUAGUGUGGAUGGAUAGAACAGUGUACUGCUAAGCUAAAGCGCCAGCCUUGGUGAAGGGGGCACCAACCAAAUGGAUCAAAUUAGCAUGAAGUUGGAGGCAAGGGGAUCCGCUCUCAUCUUAUGUAUUCCUUCUAAAGGCUGAGUGCCUUGCAAGGCUGAUAAAGUCGGCAAGAAGCAAUGGCCUCCUAUAGUGCUUGGGGCUGGUGAACGAUGCCAAAUCACUCUUAUUCCAAAAAAGAGAGAUGUGAGAAAUCUACAAUAAUCUUCUCGUCUUUGAAUGGGUCCCGAGACUUAAAAUGAAUAGACAAAAAUCGAAGAUCUUCUAUAUAGGGACUAGGGCUCACAGAAAUAGAACACUAAAAAGAAUUCUCUCGUCUAAGGUCGGGACUUUGCCACUCCAUUAUCUAGGGUUGCUGCAUUCCACUAGGCCUCUAAAGUAAACCGAUGGUAGAAAAUUAUAAAUAUAAUUGAUAAAAAAAUAGAAGAAAGACAGUCGAAACUCCUCUCCUAUGGAGAAAAACUUAUCUUUGUCAACUUCGUUCUCUUAAAUCUACUGCUAUGAUUUUUUGUCUUCGAAACACCUAAGUUGGUCCUACGCCGCAUUGAAACUCUUACAAGCUCCUUAUUGAAAGGAUGCUCAAGAAUAGGGGGUAGAUCGUGUCUUGUGCAUUGGAAAACCAUCUUUGCAACACUAAAGCGGAGGGGGCUAGGAAUCAAGAACAUGGAAGCAUUGAGCUUGGCGAUACUUAUGUGAGUGGUGGUGGAAACUCUUUAUAUAGCAUAAUCAACCCUAGGAAAAACUAAUCAAAGCAUUGUAUUAUGGCAGGUCUGACCGGAUGAAAGGUGUGUAGCCAGUGAUCGCCUCUCCGUCAAAUUUGUCUAUAACUUCAUAACAGUCGAAAGAAUGCGAAACCACAGAAGUCCUCAUAUUUGAAAACUCAAAAUUCUUGCGAAGGUUAAGAUUUUUGUUUGGCUAGUACUGAAAAAAAGGAUACUCACAACUAAAAAUCUUUUAAAUAGAGGAUGGAGUGAGGGCCAUCUUUGUAUGUUUUGUAUAGACGAACUUGAAACUUGUAACUAUUUAUUCCUUAGGUGUAUCUAUUUUCACUACAUGCUAACUUCUCAGUGGUUGAUUCCCCCUAUAACUUGAUAUGUAAACAACAUUAGAGGGCUAUGGGAAAAACUAAGAGACCAAGAAGACAAUAGCAACCACAAAAAUGAUCUUGCAAGGCUCUCAGCUACUUGGUAGGUGAUUUGACUUGAGCGUAAUUGUCACGCCCCGAGAUUACGUCAAAGCCUUUUGGGUUGCAUGAGUAGAUCGGUCAAAUGGACAGUUUUUCCUAAUCACAUAAAACGAUAACACACAACAAUUUGCACAUUGCAUACAAGAUCAUGUACAAUAUGGCAUCAAAGGAAAUUAUGUUUUAUUACUUUAAAAUUUUGCAAGAAUUAGUCUUUGUUCUUUUACAACUCCAUUCCCAAAUGAAAUUAUAUUUUAUCAUCUUUCAAAAUGGUACUAAGUCCAUAAAUACAUUUCACAAAAUAGUCUAUUAGGGACGGAAGCCAUUAUAAAAUUUGUGACUCUUUUACUGUGAUCACGUGCCUCCCCGGUGAUAGAAAGUUCUGAAUAAAAGCAUCAACAAAGAGUUGUGAAAACUAAAAUAUGUUUCCAGUAGGUAGAGUCGUCGAACCUGCCCAUUUGUUUAUACUAGGUCUGAACGAGGCAUAAUAUUAAUGAAUAAAUGAGAUAUGAAAUAACAAAUAAACAAGAUGAAUGAAUACAUUUCUAUUCUAAUUUAAUUGAUAUAGGUAAAUAAGUAUUUAAGUAGUUGAUAUACUUCCAUGCUAAUUUACGUCGAUAUUGUCUGCUUGCUCUAUUCUAUUUGUAUAUAUAUUGAUAUUUGCUAUGUUUUUUAAUAGAUGUUAAAUACUUGCCACUACUAAAAGCAAGCCAAAAUCUUAUAAAAUUUUUACUUCGUCUGUUUGAUUAUUUUUUGUUUGCUUUGCAUAGGAUAAUUUUUUAUCUAUUAUACACUGUUGUAUAUAUUUUUUUUCCUAUUAUCUUAUUUGCACAAGCAAUAAGGUUUUGGGUUGCAGAUUUUCAAUUUCUAUGCUAUCAACUUAAUUAAAAUGUUAUACUUCCUAUCUUUUCNAUAGGAUAAUUUUUUAUCUAUUAUACACUGUUGUAUAUAUUUUUUUUCCUAUUAUCUUAUUUGCACAAGCAAUAAGGUUUUGGGUUGCAGAUUUUCACAACAGUUGCUAUCAACUUAAUUAAAAUGUUAUACUUCCUAUCUUUUCUAAUUUAUCUUUCUUUCUAUCUUUAUAAAUAUUACAUACAAUGAGUUAAAAUGAUAGACAAAAAUUAUAAAACUUCUAAAAUGAAUGACCAAGUUUUGAUAGUAAGCCAAAUUUCAAGGCUUAAUAGCAACUGUUGCCUCUAUCAUCUCUUAACAAAAGAAAAAAAAAAUCUAAACUCAUUGUAGUACACUGAACUUUAGCAAAUUACGAAGUUCGAGUAUUAGAAUCGUAAUUGGAACUAUUCUAGAUCUUGUGAUGGGUUGUCGAGAGAUUUUCGGCAUGUUACUUGAGUGAUUAAGUGGCUGGAAGAGUGAAAGCGCAUUGCAAAAUGUAAAUGCUGGAAUUUUUGUAUUGAGUACCAGUACCCCUUGGCCCGAGUACCGGUACCCAAUGCAGCAGCUGCGUGGAUUAAAGGUUUUCAUGGUAAUUUCCCUUCAAGCUUACCUUCUUAACCUCCAGCUCGACCCCUGCAUUGCUCUAGGGUCCAGAAACUUGAAGGAACAGGGUAAGAGCCCUUUCCUUCUCUUUCUCUAGGUUUUCUUCCAUUUUGAAGUGGAAACUAGUGAUUUGAGCAUGUUUCUUCUCCUCUCUUGUUGCUAGCUAGUUUGGGGAUUUGGGGAGCAGCUUUUGAAGUGUGGAAAGAGGGAUUUGGCAGUGUUUCCUCAACCUUAACGUAGCAAACUGAGUUGAAGCUUUGGGAAGGUGAAUUAGCAACUUUUCUCUCUAGUUUCAUGUAAUAGUAGAUGUUUUUGGUGGAGUUUUGGGGUUAGCUCACAGCAGGUUGUGAAACCCUUUUGGCUGAGUUUUGGUGACUCUUGUAGGUUGGUUUUGGUGUGUUCCAACCUGAAUUGGAGUUCAAGCCUUGGUUCUAUGCUAGGUAUGAAUCUGCCUAGAUGAGGUGAUUAUGUGAGCUAUGAUGUAGAGGUUUGAGUUAAGCUUCUAACUUAAUUAGUACUAGUGGAGGCCCGCGCUUCGCGGCGGGAAAUCUACGUAAUUUUUAAAAUAUUUUAAAUAAUAUUUUAAUGUUUUAAUUUUUAAAUCUAAUUUAAAAUUUUAAACAUAAAAAAAUUAAAUAUAAAAAUUAUAUGUAGUAAAUAAAUAUAUGUUAAUAAAUAAAAUUAGAUAUAUAUAAAUUAGAUUUAAAAUUUAAAAUUUAAAAUAUAUAUAUAAAAUUUAAAAUUUAAAGUUGUUAAAUUCUCUCUCUCUCUCUCUCUCUCAUUCUCUUUCUCCUCUGACUCCUCUCUCUCUUUCUCUCUCUCCCUCUCUCUCUCUUCACCCUCUCUCUCCCACACCCUUCCUCUCCUCCCCGCCUGUCGUGACCGCCGGCUGCGACGCCCUCCCGCUGCCGCGCCCAUGCGCCCAGAGCCCCCUCCGCUGCCGCCCGCCGCUGCCGCGCUGCGCCUGGCGCGCCCCAGCGCGUCCCGCGCCCGCGCGGCCCCCGCCCCGCUGCCGUCCGCACGGCACCGCGCGCACGGCCCGGCGCCUGCUGCCGCCCGCUCGGCAGCUUGCGCCUUCCGCCUCCUGACUGCGCCCGCUGGGUGGGGGGGCGGCUAGGGAGAAAGGGGAACGAAGAGAGUGAGAGAAGGGUGGUGGGGUGUCGCGCGCACGCGCGCCGGGCAGCAGGGUACUCAAUGCCGUGGGGGAGAGAGGAGGGGGGGAGAGGAGACAGGGGGGGAGAGAGAGAGAGGUGAGAGCGGGGAGGGGGGGUGCCCUAAGACGGUCGUGAAGAAGAGACAGAGGGGGAAGAGAGAGUGAAGAGAGAUUCGGGGGGAGGGGGAUGGGAAAGAGAGGGGGCCUGGGGUGGAAAGAGGGGGAGAAGAGUGAGAGAGAGACCCCACGAGGGUGGGGGGGAGGGCCCGCACCCCCUCUGCCUGCUCUCCUCAUUCUCUCGCUCGCACGCGCGCGCGCGCCCGGCGGGCGCGGUUCGCCUGCGCGCAGCCCCCCCCACGCCUCGCUCUCUCUCUACUCUGCUCUCUUUCUCUCUCUGUUCUCUCUCUCUCUCCCCCUCUCUCUGUAUGCUCUCUCUCUCUCCUCCCUCUGUUAUCUCUCUCCUUCUCUCUCUCUCGCGCGAGGCCCCCGCAAAACGCGGGGAGAACUCCGUACAAACUCACGAUUGUAUAUAUAUAUAGAUACUUGUUAGGGUGCUUGGAGGCUAGCGAACAAUUUCGCUCGCGAGAUCGACGAGAGUUGUCGACUGAUUGGUGGGUUUGACCUCACCGGAAUAGGUGAAUUCCCCCUGUGCUCUCAAUAUUGCCAUGGAAUUGGAAAACUAUGUGUAGUAUGCUAAUAGUGCAUUAUGUGAAUGGUUUAGAUGUAUCUAGAAUAUCUACAUCAUGUGAUUGAGUUAAAUCUCUAGAAAGUAGAGAAUGGAAUACAAAUGAAUCAUGCAGCAUGCAUAGUUAAUGUUUAGUAUACAUGUAUAAACAUAGAGCUAGAAUCGAUAUUCAUAUGCUAGUAGCAUUGUAAAGGAAUUGUUCGAUGCAUUAGUUGUAAUUACAUUAUAUGAUAUUUAUAUGAUAUUAUCAUAUCUCUAUGGAGUAGAGAGUAAAGGUACUAAAUCUAUUGCAUGAUAACUAGUAUGCUUGUGUAGAAAAGUUGCAGAUGAACAUAGUAUGCUUAGACUAGCAUCAAUUUCAUAUUGUUGUUAUAACCUAGUUGAUUACUAGCAUUUGAUUAUGAACUUAAUUCCUGACCUAUAGGUCGGUAGAGAACAUUCCAUGUUUGAGACAUGACGAUUGAGGACUUUGUACUAUGGAUCAUACUUGCUUGCCAUUGUGCUCAUUCGCACAUGCUUGUGAGGGUUGCUUCCCAUAAGCUGGUACUCCGGAGUUGGCCUACGCGAUAUUGUGCUCGCCCGUGCAGGGUUGGGUGCCAAAGUGGAUUGUUGUGGGGAGUGUAUACUACCACGGGGCCAUUAAGUGCGGCGCAAGCCGGACUACCUCGUGUAGGUCCGUAUGAAUUGAACAAAGAUACUAAAUUGUAUUGAUAUAAUGGUCACUACUAGAUAGUGUGCAUUUAUGAGACAAUAUAGCAUGUUUAUUUGUGUAGAGUAAUUACUUUACCUGUUGUAUUAUAGUUGUCGCAUUGGAAACAUAGUAGUUCUACUACUCAUUAGUUGCUUAUUAUUAUGGUUAUUCCUAUCAUGUUGUAGUUGUACUUGCUUGCACUUUAUACAUUAUGAACCUAGUAGUAUAAUUCGCUGAGGUCGGCGGCUUACCCACUGGGAACUAUGGACUAAUAGUUCUCACACCCUCUUUGUUGUUGUUUUAUUUACAGAGCCAUCCACUGCGGGAGAGGCUAGGGAUCGCGGCAAGGGAGUCGCGUCUAGCUAGGCGUAGCUUGGAGUCCCGCUAGGUGAUCACCUCGCUGUUUUGGAUUUGUUGACGAGGGUGAUGUUGUACCCGUGUAUAGAGACUACCACAUGUAUAUAGCUCUUUUGUGACCGUGUGAUGUAUAUGUGUUGUUGGAGAGUUGUAUUUUACAGUUUUAUACUCUUGCUUUUUGUGGACUUUAGUGGAGUUUGUAUUUGUUAUAUUCUAGCUCAUAGUACUUCCGGUACAUUUUGUACAUUCUAUGCUCUGAUACCAUGUUAGACUCUUUUAUUGCUUGUUACCCUUCUAGCAUGGUUUUGGUAGACGCCUUAUAUACUUCAGGUAUAUGGUGGGUCUGUGCAUGUAUCGGGUAGGCUUCCGCUGAUACCCGAGCGUGACACUCAUAUUUGGAUGAUAUUUCUUUCAUGCUGCUCCUCAAUUUGAAUUUUGUCGCAGCGAUGACAGCUUUGGUUGAUUUUGUGAAGUAUCAAAUCCUUCUCUCAGGCAGCAUUAAUUGGGUCUAUGUUUUUUUUUUUUUGACAUAUUGUGUAAAAUAAAAAGUGCAUGAAAGCAAAAUAAUUUCUUUUAUUCAUUAAUAGCAAAUAUUUGUUACUUUUAGCCCUAUUUUUCUUGGGUUAGUUCUUAUUCGUCAUUUAUGCCUUCAUUUUGGAGUUGAAGUUUAAUAUGUGUAGUUCUAUUUUGAUCAGCAUUGAUGUUGUUAUAGAUUUGUUUAUAGGGUUUUAACAGAUUUGAUUUUGCAUUUUGCUCCCUUCCUUUCUCUUUAUAAAAAAUUGGUUUUCAUGAUUAAUGAUGGUACUCGGUAUUUGAACUUAAAAUUUUAUUAGUUUGUUUUUCUUAAGCUCUAACUUGCUCUUCAAGUUUCAUGAAGAUAGUUCUGAUGUGCUGGCUAUAAUGAACUAGUUGCUUAAGGUUGCAGUUCGAAUCUCUGUCAGCACAAGAUUAUGAUGAACUAGCUCCUUCUAAUAGGAGAAUUUUCACUUAUUAGAAGUAUAAUAAUAUAUAAUAAGUAUUACAAUUUGCGCAUUAGUAAUUUCGUAUUUCCACUAUAUUUCUAAUUUUGUUUUUUUCUAUUGAAGUUUUAAUGCAAUAAACUAAGCAAGUUUUGGAUGGAGUGCUUUUCUGUCGCCAACCAUUUUGCAACUAUUUAAUAUAUUAAUAGCACUAAAUUUAAAUUUGCAUUGAUUUUUUUAAUAUAAGAAUUUGGUCUUGAAAUUUUAUGCAGGUUUUACGGUAAAUAAACCAAUUUGAGUGUUUUUUUCUAAGCACAUUACAUUGACUGCUCAGUUUGUAAGGCAUUUGAUAUAUAGAUUGGUUUCGAUUUUAUAGAUGUGUUUUUUGGGUCUUUAUUUUUCUCAAUGUGUAGCCUUAAUUUUCUUUUGCUUGACUAUUUGGUUUUGUCAUGUGCUUCGCCGACAGUUGGGUGUAGUAACUCUAUUUCUACUUCAUUCAUCAUUGUUGUUUCUUUGCUGAGACUGUAAGUUUUCACUCCAUCUGUAUUUGUGUUUGCUUUCUUUUUUCUUUUUUUUUAUACAAUUCCAUACAUCAAUUUAUGUUAUAUUUGUAUUGAUCUCUCAUAACAAGCCAAAAUCUUUUAAAAUUCUACUUUAUUAAUCAUCUCUGGCUAUUAUUUUUUGGAUUUAAUUGUUAUAUAUGUGUUUGCUUCUGUAGAAUUAACCUGCUACAAUGUGCGAAUACCUUUAUUAGCUAUAAUUUUUGAAAAAAAAAGCUUGGAGAUUUUUCAACUUUUAUAGUUGCAUCUUAUGUGAUUGAUCUCUCUUAAUAAUUUACUAGCAAUGUACCCGCGCUUUGCUGUGGAUUCGAUGAGCAUGUUCUUAAUUAUAUUUGUAAAAUAUAGUAUAUAUUACUAUUAAAUAUAUGAAUUGAACACAUAUUUGUAAUGACAUUCACCAGUAAGUUUGUAUGANGACUGGAGGUCUCAAGGCGCAGUUACUCCCAUCAAAGAUCAAGGCAAUUGCGGUAAUGCCGGACAAAGAUGAUAUAUAUAUAUAUAUAUAUAUAUAUAUAUAUAUAUAUAUAUAUAUAAUUCAAAUAAAAUAAUAUUUUUUAUUAUAUCUACGGUGCACCGGGUGCACCGAAUAUAUGGGCGGGACGCGUGUCACAAUGGAGAGAACACUUCCACCGACUUUAGUAUAUAGUAAUAGAUAAUAGACUCUAUUAAAUGUAUUUUAUGGUAUUCAAAAUUUCUACAUAUUAAAUGUUAUAAAUAUUUAGUUUAUUAAUUAAUUAAAGUUUAUGAUAUUUGGGUAUGGUUUAUGGUACAUCGGGUGCACUGAAUUAACGAACAUAAUAUGUGUCCCCUCCACAUCUUCUCCCACCCACUUUAGAUAUGUAGAAUAUAGAUAUAGAUUGAUAGACAUGUUUGAUAGAAACUAAAAACUCUCAUAGCCAUUUCAUCGAGCACAUAUUGUGCCUUUUCAACACUAACCAUGCACCACUGUAGAAGGAGAAAGGAAGCAAAAGCUUCCAAGGACAAUGGCCAACGCCAAGGUAAUCUGGGUAGGUGAGAAGGAGUAGCCGCGAGAGAGCUAGAACCAGAGAGCUUUGAACACAAAAUUUAAUUAUGAUAUCGAAUUUGAACCAAAAAAAGGGAAUAUAUUUUAUCAACAAAAAAAAGAACAUAGUUACGUUCAAAUAACCCUAAAAUCAUACUUUCGAAUGCAAAAUUAAAAACUCGAUGCGAUAGUAGUAGCGGAGGGAGAUACGGUGGUUGACCUCGACGGAUCAGGCGGGGGGCCUUAUCUCAGCGUUUUCAUCAGUUGCAGCAGCGAUGAUGCUUCAGCGAGAAGUUCAGCAGUGCAUGGCGGCGUGGCGCUGUUGCCGAGAUUCGCUUCAUCUUCUUCGGACUCUUCGAAGUUGUGGUGGGUUGAAGGAGGAGGAGGAGAGAGAUUGAGAAAGGAGGGCUUUGACAUCUAUAGAAAUCUAAGUAGGAGGUGUUGAAGCACCAGGUCGAGAGAGAGAAAAGAGAGAGGUGUCAGUUGCCAGGCGAGAGAGGUGGGGAUUGGAGUGGAUGCAGUGUGGGGCAAGAGGUAUCAAUCAGAGAGAUGAUUAGAGAAGAAAGAAAGUGGAAGGGGACAACAAAUUAUUGUCUGAACCUGGCAUAUCCCUCCACACAUACAAUAUACUUAGUUAAUUUAUAAAAUAUAAAUUUUGAACCGAUCUUAUUUGAUAAAAUAUAAAUUUCUAACCAAUCUAUAAUACAUUGGGCCAUGCAAUAUUUUGAAGAAUACACGUGUCAGUAAAAUAAACCACCUUCACAAACUUUAGUAUAUAGUAAUACAUAUCUUAUGCCGAGGUCACUAGUUUAACCGGUUUGGUCACCGAUUGAACUAGUGAAUUUUGAACAAACAACUUUUUCACUUCAAUUGUUAAAUCAGUUUUUAAAAAAUUAUUGCUGCAUGUACCCUACAAAAGAUACUGUAUAAUAUUGUUGAUGAGUUGACAAAAUAAAUUUUAAACACCAUUAUUAAACCCUAAACACUGUCAUUAAACUCUAAACACGCCAUCAUUAAAUCCUAACCCCUAAACUCUAAAUCCAACACAAAUGAGUGCCAACACAUCAACAACAUCAUAGGGUACAAGUUGUGGGGGACAAUUUGGGUUAAGAAAGAAAAGAAUUACAAAAAAGAGAGAGAAAGUUAAAAAAAAAAAAAGAAAAGAANNNNNNNNNNNNNNNNNNNNNNNNNNNNNNNNNNNNNNNNNNNNNNNNNNNNNNNNNNNNNNNNNNNNNNNNNNNNNNNNNNNNNNNNNNNNNNNNNNNNNNNNNNNNNNNNNNNNNNNNNNNNNNNNNNNNNNNNNNNNNNNNNNNNNNNNNNNNNNNNNNNNNNNNNNNNNNNNNNNNNNNNNNNNNNNNNNNNNNNNNNNNNNNNNNNNNNNNNNNNNNNNNNNNNNNNNNNNNNNNNNNNNNNNNNNNNNNNNNNNNNNNNNNNNNNNNNNNNNNNNNNNNNNNNNNNNNNNNNNNNNNNNNNNNNNNNNNNNNNNNNNNNNNNNNNNNNNNNNNNNNNNNNNNNNNNNNNNNNNNNNNNNNNNNNNNNNNNNNNNNNNNNNNNNNNNNNNNNNNNNNNNNNNNNNNNNNNNNNNNNNNNNNNNNNNNNNNNNNNNNNNNNNNNNNNNNNNNNNNNNNNNNNNNNNNNNNNNNNNNNNNNNNNNNNNNNNNNNNNNNNNNNNNNNNNNNNNNNNNNNNNNNNNNNNNNNNNNNNNNNNNNNNNNNNNNNNNNNNNNNNNNNNNNNNNNNNNNNNNNNNNNNNNNNNNNNNNNNNNNNNNNNNNNNNNNNNNNNNNNNNNNNNNNNNNNNNNNNNNNNNNNNNNNNNNNNNNNNNNNNNNNNNNNNNNNNNNNNNNNNNNNNNNNNNNNNNNNNNNNNNNNNNNNNNNNNNNNNNNNNNNNNNNNNNNNNNNNNNNNNNNNNNNNNNNNNNNNNNNNNNNNNNNNNNNNNNNNNNNNNNNNNNNNNNNNNNNNNNNNNNNNNNNNNNNNNNNNNNNNNNNNNNNNNNNNNNNNNNNNNNNNNNNNNNNNNNNNNNNNNNNNNNNNNNNNNNNNNNNNNNNNNNNNNNNNNNNNNNNNNNNNNNNNNNNNNNNNNNNNNNNNNNNNNNNNNNNNNNNNNNNNNNNNNNNNNNNNNNNNNNNNNNNNNNNNNNNNNNNNNNNNNNNNNNNNNNNNNNNNNNNNNNNNNNNNNNNNNNNNNNNNNNNNNNNNNNNNNNNNNNNNNNNNNNNNNNNNNAGAAAGAAAAAAAAGAAAGAAAAGAGAGAGAAAUCCUUCAAAAGGAAUAUCCAACUAGUCUUAUGCCCCACUUGCCCAUGUGUUGCUCAUCCUUCACUUUCCAGUACUUAUAAUGCAGUUGGACAUGUGGAAUGCUACCAAGUUGGACCAGCUGAAAGUCCACAAACCAUGAAAUAAAAUUGAGUAUGCAUGUGUGACAGUAGGGAUGCAAACGGAUCCGGGUUGGUGGAGCUCCUGCCCCGAUCCGCUCCGAAUGGGGCAGUAAACGGGAGGAAAUAAACAGAUUCGGAGGCUGGAAACGGGAUAAAUUUUAUGAUACGAGCGGAUUCGGGGCAGAAAAUGGGAGAAAUUUUGACCCGCCUCGAAUCCGCCCCGCCAUAAUCCGCUCCGAAUCCGCUCCGAAAAUUAUUUAUAUUUUUAAAAAAUAUUCUUAAAAAUAAUAUAUUUACAAAAAAGUUUAAAAUAUAAAUGAGUUAGUGCUCUCAUUUCUAAUGUAUUUGAAACUUUUGAAUUUCGUUUUGAAUUGUGAUUGAUAUUUUUGAUUUUUAUAAUUGAUAUUAUUAAAUUAUAUAUAUAAUAUUAUUAAAAAUUAUUCAUCUAUAUUUUAUAAAAUAUUAAUAAUAUUAUAAUUUUAUAAAAAUAUUAGUUGGCGGGGCGGAUUUGGGGUGCCGGCGGGAGGCGGGUUACCAGGCAGGUUACCAGGCGGGGUGGAUUAUGGGAUAUAUUUUUUAACCCGUCAAGAAUUCGGGGCGGGAGGCGAGGCGAGAUUUUGCUAGUCGGGACGGGAGGUGGGGCGGGGCUCCCACCCCAGAUCCGCCCCGUUUGCAUCCCUAGUUCCACCCCUCUCCUCUACUAGGAGGCCGCAUCAAACAGUGGGAGAGGGUGCACACACCCCUUCCUCCUCAUAUAUGUUUCUUUAUUUAAAAAAAAAGAAAAAGAGAGGAGAAGUCGAGGGGCUACGCGCCUCUUGUUCUCCAAGGGCAAUGGUGACAAUCAUGGUAACUUCCACGACAACGAAGGGUGAUGCAUGCAUAUAAACGAUGUAAAUGUGAUUAUUUUGUCGGUUUGAUCAACACUAUCAUCUUUGCGAUAGGCUCGACCGAUCAAAUCUUGCCUUAUAUUGCUAUUUUCACCAUGCAUAUGUAUCGCUAAUCUCUAUAUUGAGUGGCCAAUUCCGUGUCGUUAGGGUUUGAGAGGGGCACGAAUGAGGAGAGAAAGAAGCAAACGAGCUAGAGAAAGAAAGGAGAGAUCGCGAUAGGCUCGACACAAUCAAAACCCGGUGAUUCAAAUCGAACCCUUCUCAAUGGGUUGAUCGAGCGGCUAUUUCGUGAUAGGCUCGACACGAUCAAACCUGUAUAUUUGGACAAAUAUAAUAAAAUAAAAAAUUAAUAAAUAAUAAAAAUAACAAAAUGAUUUGCUAUAGGCACCAUUCAAAUCAUACGCCAUCUUUGUGAUAGGCUCGGUUCGACUCGAUUGAUUUGCCAUCUUCGUGUUAGGCACCUUUCGAACCAUGCGCCAUCUUCGUAAUAGGCAUAGUUCGACUUGACCAAAUUGCCAACUUCGUGAUAGGGACAUAUUUGAUCGAAUUAUCAUCUUCGUGAUAGGACAUAAUUUGACUUGAUCAAACCUCGUUUGAGGGAUGGGUUGUCUAAGUGAUGCUCUAUGACUAUGAGUGCAAGAUAAAGAUUAACGGUUCAUGAAUUUGGCAUAGAUUUCAAUCCUAAGUGAAACAGAUUGAUUCGAAGAAAACCCAACAUAAAAAAAAAAAAGAAAAAAGAAUGGUUUGGAGUUAACUACUUUGUGGCGAAGCUAAUUAUAAUGAUGAACCAAACCUUAAUGGCCAUUGAGUUAGAUUGCAACCUCAAAGUCGGUCAAUUCUGAGCUGAACCGCAAAAGUUCGUGCCGAGUUGAGCCCAAUUCAGUCUCACCCAAACCGAUUCGGGAUAUUUCUCGGACCUCUGGAUUUUUUGUUCAAUUAAAAAGGAGAUUUUUCUAGACCCUAAAUCCCAUUAAGAUAAACACAAAUGAGCCUAAUCUACAAUUCACGUGUAGGCUCAAUGAACAAAAUCUAGUUUACAAACAAUUAAUUAGUCGUCAUAGAUUCAACUCAUAUUCAGUUCACCAAUAAAACAAAAUCCAAUCCAGCCCAGAACCAGAAUCUAGUACAAAUGCAAGUGCAGGCCCAGUCUACAUACGGCCCUGAAUCCAGCCCGCAUGCAAGUGCAAGCAGAGUCUAUAUAUGAGCCCUGAAUCCAACUCACAAACAAAUGCAGGCCCAAUGUACAUAUGGACCCUGAAUCCAGCCUACAUACAAAUGCAGGCCUACUCUAUAUACGGGCCUAUAAAUUCAACCCACAUGCGAAAGCAGGCCCAGUCUAUAUACGGGCCCAGAACCCAUCCAAUCCAUAUAAGGGCUACAAACACAGCCCACAUGCUAAUACUCAGAAUCAAAUUUGGACCUAACAUUCAAUCGACAUGUAAAUAAAUUCCCUAAUCCUUUACAUGCAAAUUCGGGCCUGAAACCUAUAAAACCCAAAAUCCAUUUCAGUCCAUAAAUAAAAUCUAAAAUCUAUUUCAUUCCAUUAAUAAAACAAAAAUCCACAACAAAACCCAACCCAAUCUAGUCUAUAAAUAAAAUCGAGCUUAUGAAACCAUCAAAGUCCACGAGCAUAAGGCCCAAGGAUACCAAAAUCAUAUCAUCCAAAUGCCCCCAACUCAAACUAAAUUUGCCUAAAUCAAUAUAUACUAGUGUAGAAACCCGCGCGUUGCGGCGGGUAAAAAGCAUUGCAAAUAGUCAAGAUAUUUUCAUACCUAAAAUUAAGGUAGCUGAAGAGAAGUAGGAGAAAAUAGAAAUAGCAACAAAACAAUUUUCUAAAAUUUCAAAGGAAAAUAACAUAUUGUACAUCAAGAAACAAAAUUACCUUUAGCACAUUCGGAAAGAGAACUGCAAAAGUAGUGAAAAUAGCAUCUCCCAAAAUCCAGAAUAAUACAGGGCAUAAAAAAACAAUGGGGCAUUUCUUUUUUAAAUUUCUAAAAUACUCUACUAAAAGUUGUGUACUCUUUGUCUCCUAUGCCGCAUUUGCUUCCCUUUCACACCUCUUAUACAUAUCCAGUUAGCAAAUAUAAAUGCAAUUUUGUUGUCUUAACAAUUAACAUUUAGCUUCUGUAAUGGUGGCAAUAGUUUCAUAUGGAUUAUCUAUUCACAACUAAGAAUUUAUCAAAGUAGAACUUAUUUCUCAACUAAUAGAGAAUCAUUUCAGAGAGAGUUGAUUCAAAUGUAAAAAAAAAUUGUUGAGCAGAAAAACUAUAGCAACUUACCAUAAUAAGCAUUCAAAUAUAUAUACGAAUCAAGCAGUACUAAUGAACAAAAUAAUUUAAAUGAGAUCGAAAAGAAUAAGUUCUACUUCAUUAAUUAUUUAUCCCAAGUGACCACAAUGAUAAAAAUUCGUGAAAAAUUUAAUUGAAGCAACAAUAUAUGAAAGUACUCUCUUUAGCAACUCAUUAAGAUUCACGCAGUGAAAAGAUUACUAAGUACUCUGAACAUCAUUUAGUGUAAGAAUAAAGAGAUCUUGUCAUGUCAAGCUCUCAAUAUGGGAUGGCCCAUCGUAGCCCGGCACCUGAAACCGGCCUUGCCACGUCGUGCAGGCUGUAGCCUUGCAAUGCCUAAAUUGUUGGCUUACUAUGAUUGAAGCUUAACUAAAUGUUAAAGCUAAUAAAAUAAAUCUUUACUUUCCUCAAAUUAAUAUUAAAUAACUGUAGAUGCUUUCUUAAAUUCAAAACCUCAAUUCUUCAAUUAAAAGGCUAACUUAAGAAAAUAGCGGAUCAACACAAUGAUCAAGGUUGGAAAGACUUCAUCCAUCUUUUCCUGCAUAAUAGGGCUCAAAAUAUCUCCUAAAGAAGAAGAAAAACUAUGAUUCUAGUACCAAAUCAUUUUGCUAGGCCUAAGAAAGAGGAAGCAUUCAGUAUCAUAUUUUUACAUCAUCGACAACUUUAUAUCAAAAAAAUAAUCUCAAAAUGGGAAAAAAAAAAAACAAAACCAUUUUUAAAGGAAUAAUAAAAAAAGAUAUCAGAAUCAUCAAUCAAAAUAGUCUUUGUCCCUCCCAUAAAAGAAUUUUAGCAAAUAAGAACCUUUACAUCUAAAUUGAAGAGUGCUGCUAUUUCAAUUACGUGAAACAUAGAGAAACUCAAUAUCGAGAUUCAUAUAGAUCCAAUUCAGAGAAGAUAAUAGAAACACUUAUCUACUUGAUGAGUGUCGUAGCUCCAUCCUAAAAAUAAACAUCGAAUUAAGGCCAUGUAAUAACUUAAGGACCAUCAUGGCAAUAUGUAAUUAUUACUUAUAACCACAUAUAAAAAUGGAUAAAAUUGAUGCGACAAAUUUUUCUUAAUAUCAAAUUUUCUUCCAUGUACUCUUGGAAUCACACAUGAUAAAUUAAAUUUACAAUAGUCAAAUUGCUCGAUCUUCGGCACCUUUUGUAGAGACCGGAAUUUUAGCUGAGGCUGUCGCAGCUCUGGAGAGUGUCGGGAACAAAGUCGGCUGGGUCGGUUGGCCGCGAAGUGGUACAAAACGGCCUUGUGGAACUUGAGAGCAGCGUGUACUGAUAGAAUCUGCGAAAUAAGCAGAAUUUUCAGUGAGCUGUAACGGACAAAUCUUGCGGCUUGUACGGUACAAGUGGAAGCAAAGCGUGGCAAGUUGACUUUUUGGCCAUUUGUCCACAUCAGCCCCCCUUUAAUCCCUUACCUUGGAGCAGAGAGGAGAGAGAGAGGGAGGCUUCUUUCGCUGCUGCUCUGUGUGCUUCUUUCUUCUCUCCUUCUACUUCCCUUUAGCAACUAGAGUGUGUGGAGGGAGCUCAAGAGAAGCUCGAGUUCGUCGACGCCGGGCGCCGCGGAGGCGAGUCAGGCGAGUUUUCGUCGAGGGUGAGCUGCUCGCGACGGAGGGUUGGUCGAGGUGAGUGGCUCCUUGAGAUCGCUUUUUAAUGGCUUGUAAAGCUCUAACGAUUUUCAACUGCAGCUGGCUGCUGCUGAUCUCCAGCGUCGCCCGCAGUAGUUGGACUCGUAUUCCGCCGCAGGAGCAAUCGGAAGUGACGCGAUUUGAUGUUGGAACGAGACUUCGAGAGAUCCAUGGAUCCUUACUCGCCGAAGGAGAAGGUUUGCUCUGUCGAAAUCCUUUUUUUACUGAGUUGUGGCGGCAGACUCUGAAGUGCUGAUUGCUGAUUCCAGCUAUCGACCCGCCGUGUUUUACUUAGUUCUCUGUUUAUAGGAGUGUUCAAAACGCGGACGAAUUUUGGCGGGCUAGAUUUCGCCAAGAACAUGAUUCGAGCGAAGAUUUGCUGAGCCCAAGAUCGCAAUUUUUGGAGCACGUUUUCCCUGUCGAACUAGUUUUAUUAGGCCUGUGUUUGCGCACAGAUUUCAGAGAUGCUGUUUCGCAAGGUAUCCGCGUCGAGUUUCGUAUUCGGCACGUUCUCUGCGUAGGAGCGUCGGAAUUCAGCGAAACCUGGGCCAUUGGAUCCGUGGACUUUCGAGACGAAGCUUCAGAACCCUUGUGCUGAGGUUGAUAAGUUAGUUGGUCGGAUUUAUGCUUUUUUCGCUGCUUUUUCUGGUUGCAGUUUCUGUUUGAGAUGUAUUGAGUGUUACUUCUUGCAGAGGAGAACCGGGGACCUCGACGGCACAGCGAGGGAUCACUUUGGCAUCGGGCCAACUUUCUUCGCUCCAGGAGUUGCUUUGCAGAGGUCGGUUCUCGUUUUUGCUCUAAGUACAUUUGUCGACUUGGUAUGCGCUUCGUUGAACACUAAUGAGGUAGCUCAAAUUCAUGGAAUUAGAUAUUAAAACUGAAUUGGGAGCUAUGCUUAGUGAGUGGUGUAAUUGAUACUUGUUGGACUUGAUUUGACUUAGGAGAACCCGAUGAUCGUCAUUUACAGUACACUGCCGAUUGCUUAGGAAGCCGUGUUGCAUCUGUAUCGUCGUGGGCUUUUGUGCGAUGCGAUACCAGGGAUAGUGUAGCUUGUGUUUACGUGCUCGUGCUGGAGAGAUGCGAGCUAUUACUAGCUGAGUGUAGACUUGUUAGGGGUGUUCAGGGCGCGUCGCGGGCAGCGUGAGGCCCCAAAGUCGGUUUUUGGUUACUUGGGUGUGCGCUGGUUAGGGGCCUGAUUGAGCUCGAAGAUACGUGACUCGGCUGGGUAGCUCCCCGAGUGUCACUCGGAGUUUAGGCUUUGUGCUUUUAGCGUCCGGGUUGAUGGUAAUGCAGGUUGACUGCCUCUUCACUGAUGGUUUAGUUGGGGUAGCUGUGCAGCACAACCGGGCACGGGACGGUAUGUGUUCCAGUCCAGGGACGGGGCGUUCACAGUCCCUUCGGACUGGUCUGGUUGACUUGAGUCGGAUAAGUGUUAGUUUCUGGGCAUGAUAGCAUAGCGACUUGUAGCUGUAGAGAAUUUCCAGCUUCAUUUUCUUCUAUCUUGCUUUACCCUGUAGACUGGAGUGGAUAGACCGAUGUUGUUUAGGCGGCACCACUGAGGACUACUUGCUUUACUAUAGUUCUCACGCCUCUUUCCUCCACCGAUGUUGAGGGCUUCUGUUCGGCGGCUGCUCAAUUCUCGAGGCGGACGCGGGGAAAGGCGUGAUGCGAGUUAGAGCCUACCUCGAGUACAAGUGCUAGAGGACUCCGACUGCAGGUAGUACAGUUUUUUAUCGGACGCUUUUGUACAUACAGUUGAAUUCGCAUGAGGAGCCGAGUUGUCUUGUAUCGGUGGCUGAUGUUAGGUAUAUUAGUUUUGUUAUUUCUACCUGCUGUUUAUUGUUUCAUAUCAGCCUCUAUACUACUGCUUUAAGUAUUUAUGUGUUACAGGUUUCAGCUACGCUUCGUUUACCGGAGAAAUUCGUUUUGUAUCGGCGGAUUUGUCGGUGUGCCGGGGGACUGUGCAGCCGGCGGCGUGACCACCUUUUUUAACCAUGAUAUAGAAACUAAGCUGCCAACAAAAAAUUAUCUAAAAUCUGAAAUUUAAAUAUGCUGAACAGGAAGCUAACAGGAAAAAAUUGAAUGCAAUUCGAAAAAAUAUGUUGCGUUGAACUUAGAUAGUGAAUGAAUUCAAAUGGUGGAAAAAUUGUUUGUGAUUUAGAUGAUCUGUUAUUUAUUGUCAUCUAUGUUAACAACUUUUCUUAGGCAUUCUCUAGAACACCUUUCAUACAAUCUCAGCAUUUUUUUUUUAAUAAAAUAAAAGAUAUAAUAAAUAAAAUAAAUUUUAAAAAAGGAUUAGGAUUUCUUCAGACACUCAAAGCCAUCUCAGCAUCCAUGACGAUGGUAAAUGACAAAAACAAUGGGUAAAUGCCAAGAGAAAUUAGAACAAACCCAACACCACCACGAUUGCAAAUGCUAUGUGUAGAUGAGGAGGCCUUUCUAGGAUUUUCUGCAUUGCACUUCUGCUCCUAAAGUUUGAUAUUUCUCCCACUUUCUCUCGCGUCUCUCUUGCCUCGCGUGGACACCUUUUCUGUUCCAAAGCAAUUAGUUAGGUAAGGGAUAUGAAUUCAUAGAAGAUACACCGCAAAGAAAUUCGCCCAUCCAAAGGCGAGUGGUGAAGAACCCAUCCAUACCAAUCUCAAAACAAGAUUAGGAAAAGGCAGGGAGAAGAGGUCGCGAGCGAGGGAAAUGAGAGAUGUGAAUAGGAAGCGACAAGAGAAGUAGGUAACGGAAAGGGAGAGAGAGAUAUAUGGCGGCGAGAGGAGAGAAGAGACUAACAUAGUGAAACGGAGAGGGAAGAGGGAACGACGCGAAGGAGAGAGCAGAGGAAACGCUCCACAGAGAGAGGAAAGGCGAGGGACUCGGUCGAGGAGGAGGGAACGACGAACGCUCAACUAUCGUGCCAAAAUGGAGAGAGGAAAGGCGUUCAGUUCUUUGGCUCUAGAGAAGGGUCAAUUUAAAGGUAGCGGCUGGUUUGGGUUCGGUUUCAUUCGGUUCACUGAGUGACGGGUGGGACGGGAGUCUUUUUAGUUCGGUUCAUUUAGUGCGGUUUGGUUCGAAAAUAAAGAGGAACACGGCGUUGUUCGGUUUCUUGGUUGAGAAGGUCAGGUUUUUGUUUGAAGAAAAGUCGUUUAGUUCAAAGAGAGGAUGAAGAAGGUGUAUAGGAAACUUGAACGUGGCAAAAAUUAUGGGAUUCAUAUUAGUUUAUAUAUAAAUAUAUAUAUAUCUAUAUAUAAUAGUAUAUAUAUAUAUUAUAUAGCAGGGCUGCGUUGCUUAGGAGUACGGAGGCUCCGUGCUCCCUGAGCCGUUUUCAAGAUGAAAUUUCCAGUCGACGUAUCGGCUCCGUUAAACGAUUGAUCUAAACAUAUUUGAAGUUUCUAGAAAUAAUUUUAUGCGAAGUUUUCGAUAUAUUUACGCUAGAUGAAAGGAUUCAAAAUCCAAUAAUUCUUUAACCUGAAAAUAAAAUCUAUAAAAAGUGGUGAUAUUAGCCACUAAAAUUUUCGAUCAGAAAUAUUUAUCUUUGUUGUAGAUAGUAUAAGAAGUUUUGUAUUAAAUUUCACUAUGAUUGAAAUUCUACACUGUUAAGACUUGAAAAGGCAGAUAUCAACCAUUUAAAUUAUGGUUUUGAAACCUUUCGAUAACUACGUAAAUGAUAUUAAAAAUCGGCAAAAUUAUUGUUUUCUAGAACUUUCAAAUACGCUAGUCAAAUUCUAACGGAGCGAUCGUCGAGUCGAAAAUAUAAGAUUCUUAUCGCGAAAACGGUCAGGAGCACGAGCCUCCGUGCUCCUGAGAGCACGAGCAGCCCUGCUAUAUAUAUUAUAUUAUAUAUAUAUCUAGAGUGACUGGCUACUAUUAGUAGCAAAUCUCCAUUGUUGUACCAAGUUUUUUAAGUCUUUGGAUAAACUCUGUUCAUUAUUUAACAUUGAAUUAGAUUAUUAUUAACCCAUGAGCGAGCCACUAACCCAUAGGCAGGACCACUCACGGUUAACGACUAAUAUCAUCCUGACCCUACAUUUUUCAUUCCAGGGUUUAAAACUUACAGGCACCAGUUCUUGUGCUUUUACAAGCCACCAUUGCUAACUCUAUAUAUAGAUUGAGCUCCUAUGUUUGUAAAAGCUACCAUAGUUAUUGUUGCUGUAGGGCUUUUUAGCAUUGGAAUAGACUAUAUGCGGUUAGAGAUGAUGUGGGCUCCUAGGGUUGAGUGAGUUGGUUGGUGUGAAUAAGAUAUGAAUCUAAUGGCUGAAAAUGACCGAGAAGUAGAUCUAACGGGUAAAAAUUACAAGCACAAGUGGUGGUGUUUUUACAGAGCUAUGCUGGACUAUAUAUAAUAAUUGACUCCUGCUUUUAAAAGUACCAAGUUAUUGGUGCUUUAGUUUUUAGCCGAUUGGAUUAGGAUAUGCGGUAUUUGAAUGUCAGGACUUUACUUUUUCAGAUUAUUAGUAAAUGUUAACUAAAACUAAUAAUGUAUUCAAGUCUUCUUGAUUCACUAAUUCAUCAUUAAGUUGUGCUACAUGUGAGGUUGAGAAUGCCAACAAAGUUCGGACACUCCUUUUUAGUGCUACUCUACCAAACUGGGUGAAGAAGGUGUGUUUCAAAAACAAAAUACAGUGAAUGAAGGAGAUUACUGACAUAGUUGAUGAGCAUCUUGAGCUUGCUUCUUUCCUCGGAGGGGAGCUGUAAUGUUUGAUAUUUGAGAGUUUUUCAAGUAUGUCAAACUUUUUGUUGUUUAAAGUUGAAAUGUUUAAAAGUGCUGAAUUACAGUUGUUUUUGUUUAAUUUUAGCUUUAAGAGCUCUAAUUUUUUUAUUGCUUCUUCCUUUGUUCCUUUACACCUUCUCCGUUUAGGAAUGUAUGCAACGUUACAAUGUGGCACUCUUCUUUUUUUUUUGCAAACUUAUGAGACAUUUUUAGAUUUUUUUAUCAUUAUCUAUCUUCGAGUCAUAAUGAAGAAAAGAUUUUGUUGUAAUACUAUCUGCCCGCCGCAUCGCGCGGGUCACUACACUAUAUUUAUAAAUUGAUAAGCAUGUAAUAAUAUGAAUACAAUACUAUAUAAUAGAAAUAUAUAAUAUUUAUGAAUAAAAAUAUAAAAUAUGUGUAAUAAUUUUUCAUUCUUUUAUAUAUAUAAGGUUCAUGUCUUUCAAUAGACUCAAGAAUCUGUUGUUAAUUAUUCCAUACUUGUAGUGUUAAGGAACCCUAGAUUAAAAGACUAAAUUUAAUGCCGAUGAUAAAAAGAGACUAUAGUAUAAAGAUAAACUUAUAUUGAUAUAAUUUUCAAGUACAUGACUUAAGCAGAGGUAUACUCCCAUUAUAUAUUAAUGGAAUAUGCUCAAUUUAUAGACUUAGCGGUCGUUCAAAAUUGGAUCGCUUAGUUUAACAUCUUGGCAGUCAGAUUUGCUCAGUUUAGCGACUUGGCGGUCAAAUUUACUCAGUAUAGCUACUUGGCAGUCAAAUUUGCUCAGUUUAGCGAAUUGACAGUCAAUUGAUUUAAACUUGACUUGCUCAGUUUAGCGACUUGGUGCUCAAUAAUUUUGAACUUAAUUUGCUCAGUUUAGCGACUUAAUGGUCGAUUACUUUGAACUUGAUUUGCCCAGUUUAGCGACUUGGCGGUCCAUUUGAGUAGAAUUUGAUUUUGAUUUGCCCAAUUUAACGAUUUGGCGGUCAAAUUAGAUUUAAUUCGCCUAGUUUAACGACUUGGCAGUCAAGUUGAGUUGAGCUUCAUUUGCUUUGCUCAGUUUAACGACUUGGCGGUCAGAUCAAAAUGAGUUUGAUUGAUUUGCUCACUUUAACAACUUGGUGGUAAAGUUGAAUUGAGUUUGAAUUUGAUUUACUUAGUUUAGUAACUUGGCGGUUAAAUCAAAAUGAGUUUGAUUGAUUUGUUCAAUUUAACAACUUGGUGGUCAAUCGUUUAGUUUAACGACUUGACGGUCGAUUAAUUCCGGCUCGUGAGCUGAUUAAGUUGACUUAGUCUAUUAAGUUGAAUUAGCUUGGUUUGAAUCGUUGCUCUAUUUUGGUUCAGGCGAAGCUCAUUUACUUAAUUUGGAUCAUUCUGGGUUCAGGUUGAAUUGAUUUUGAUAUCAAGGUAGAGUUGAGCCACUUUAGGCUUGCUUGGUCCUUCACAAUUUGGUUUGGGUCGAUCCACUAUAUUUUGGUUUAGGACCCGUUGAGUUUUGAUUUAGAUCUUGGUUCAAGGCUUUUCAUAUUUGGUCUAUAUGAGUCUAUGACGAGAGCUCAUUAUGGCAGAAGCAAUCUUUGAUUCAUGAAACUGACUUACGAUGAAAUUCCUUUUUUGAAUCAUGAAGUUUCAUGAUAGAACCCCGUUAUGAAAGCCUAUUUUUGGUUUAUAAAAGUAAUUCAUAAUAGAAGCCCGUGAUGAAAGCCCAUAUAUAUAUAUAUACCAAACUAUUAAUGCUAUUAAUUUUUUAACCCUUGGAUUGAGAAAUGUGUGGUUAGGAUGAUGUGGGCCCCCUAGGGUUGAGUGGAUGGUUGGUUGAAUAGUAUAAUCUAACGGGUAAAAAUAAUCAAAAUGGUUAAUCUAACGGUAGAAAACUUGAUAGCACCAAGUGCUUGGUGCUAUCAAUAGCAUAGCAGCCGGACUCUAUAUAUAGAACUAGGCUGGAAUACUAUCAAUAGCACCAAACUAUUGAUACUAUAUAUAUAUAUAUAUAUAUAUAUAUAUAUAGUAUCAAUAGUUUGGUGCUAUUGAUAGUAUUCCAGCCUAGUUCUAUAUAUAGAGUCCGGCUGCUAUGCUAUUGAUAGCACCAAGCACUUGGUGCUAUCAAGUUUUCUACCGUUAGAUUAACCAUUUUGAUUAUUUUUACCCGUUAGAUUAUACUAUUCAACCAACCAUCCACUCAACCCUAGGGGGCCCACAUCAUCCUAACCACACAUUUCUCAAUCCAAGGGUUAAAAAAUUAAUAGCAUUAAUAGUUUGGUAUAUAUAUAUAUAUGGGCUUUCAUCACGGGCUUCUAUUAUGAAUUACUUUUAUAAACCAAAAAUAGGCUUUCAUAACGGGGUUCUAUCAUGAAACUUCAUGAUUCAAAAAAGGAAUUUCAUCGUAAGUCAGUUUCAUGAAUCAAAGAUUGCUUCUGCCAUAAUGAGCUCUCGUCAUAGACUCAUAUAGACCAAAUAUGAAAAGCCUUGAACCAAGAUCUAAAUCAAAACUCAACGGGUCCUAAACCAAAAUAUAGUGGAUCGACCCAAACCAAAUUGUGAAGGACCAAGCAAGCCUAAAGUGGCUCAACUCUACCUUGAUAUCAAAAUCAAUUCAACCUGAACCCAGAAUGAUCCAAAUUAAGUAAACGAGCUUCGCCUGAACCAAAAUAGAGCAACGAUUCAAACCAAGCUAAUUCAACUUAAUAGACUAAGUCAACUUAAUCAGCUCACGAGCCGGAAUUAAUCGACCGUCAAGUCGUUAAACUAAACGAUUGACCACCAAGUUGUUAAAUUGAACAAAUCAAUCAAACUCAUUUUGAUUUAACCGCCAAGUUACUAAACUAAGUAAAUCAAAUUCAAACUCAAUUCAACUUUACCACCAAGUUGUUAAAGUGAGCAAAUCAAUCAAACUCAUUUUGAUCUGACCGCCAAGUCGUUAAACUGAGCAAAGCAAAUGAAGCUCAACUCAACUUGACUGCCAAGUCGUUAAACUAGGCGAAUUAAAUCUAAUUUGACCGCCAAAUCGUUAAAUUGGGCAAAUCAAAAUCAAAUUCUACUCAAAUGGACCGCCAAGUCGCUAAACUGGGCAAAUCAAGUUCAAAGUAAUCGACCAUUAAGUCGCUAAACUGAGCAAAUUAAGUUCAAAAUUAUUGAGCACCAAGUCGCUAAACUGAGCAAGUCAAGUUUAAAUCAAUUGACUGUCAAUUCGCUAAACUGAGCAAAUUUGACUGCCAAGUAGCUAUACUGAGUAAAUUUGACCGCCAAGUCGCUAAACUGAGCAAAUCUGACUGCCAAGAUGUUAAACUAAGCGAUCCAAUUUUGAACGACCGCUAAGUCUAUAAAUUGAGCAUAUUCCAUUAAUAUAUAAUGGGAGUAUACCUCUGCUUAAGUCAUGUACUUGAAAAUUAUAUCAAUAUAAGUUUAUCUUUAUACUAUAGUCUCUUUUUAUCAUCGGCAUUAAAUUUAGUCUUUUAAUCUAGGGUUCCUUAACACUACAAGUAUGGAAUAAUUAACAACAGAUUCUUGAGUCUAUUGAAAGACAUGAACCUUAUAUAUAUAAAAGAAUGAAAAAUUAUUACACAUAUUUUAUAUUUUUAUUCAUAAAUAUUAUAUAUUUCUAUUAUAUAGUAUUGUAUUCAUAUUAUUACAUGCUUAUCAAUUUAUAAAUAUAGUGUAGUGACCCGCGCGAUGCGGCGGGCAGAUAGUAUUACAACAAAAUCUUUUCUUCAUUAUGACUCGAAGAUAGAUAAUGAUAAAAAAAUCUAAAAAUGUCUCAUAAGUUUGCAAAAAAAAAAAGAGAAAAAAAAGUGCCACAUUGUAACAUUGCAUACAUUCCUAAACGGAGAAGGUGUAAAGAAACUCAAUCAACUUACAUAUAAUACGCAAACAAAGGAAGAAGCAAUAAAAAAAAUUAGAGCUCUUAAAGCUAAAAUUAAACGAAAACAAUUGUAAUUCAGCACUUUUAAACAUUUCAACUUUAAACAACAAAAAGUCUGACAUACUUAAAAAACUCUCAAAUAUCAAACAUUACAGCUCCCCUCCGAGGAAAGAAGCAAGCUCAAGAUGCUCAUCAACUAUGUCAGUAAUCUCCUUCUUUAAGUGUAUUUUAUUUUUGAAACACACCUUCUUCACCCAGUUUGGUAGAGUCGCACUAAAAAACUUUGUUGGCAUUCUCAACCUCACAUAUAGCACAACUCGUUAAUGAUGAAUUAGUGAAUCAAGAAGACUUGAAUACAUUAUUAGUUUUAGCUAACACUUACUAAUAAUCUGAAAAAGUAAAGUCCUGACAUUCAAAUAUUGACCCAAAUCAUAAACUUACCACUAAUCAUUAAAAAAAAGAAAAGAAAAGAAAGAGAAAAUAGAGCUUAAAACUGAACCAAACUAAUUAAAAACUUUCAGCAUUUAAAUGUUAAAUUUAAGAGUAGUAUCUUAAUUAUUUUACUAACAACCAUCUCACCGAAAAAUUAAAAACCUAUACGGACAAUUCAUCAAGUAUCUAAUGUGCAAAUCAUGUAACUCUCAAAGAUGUAAGUUAUUUAAAAAUUGUAAAAGCCUUACAAAAAAGCUUGCAAAUUCUGGCGAAAGUUCUUCUUUGUUUAGGCAAAAGUUGUCGAUGGCUGUGAAGAAGGAUAAAAUCCUCAUGCAAAAAUAUGAAACUGUCAAACUCUCUUUAUAUGAGAAAACACCAAAAUUAAGAAACUAAAGCAUAUAAUAUAAUCUGGAGAUUUGACAAAUACAGACUUGGAGGAGCAAAUUGAAUAUUAAUUUGCUCAUCCUAUAUUUAUUCAAAAGUUUGAGUCUAAUAUUUUUUUUUUCUUAUAGAGAUCAAAUAUAAUACAAAGAAUGUCACNACAAAGAAUAUCACAUUAGAACAAAAACUCACUACAUAAACAUUAGUUGAUUCUAUAGAAAAUAUUCUUCACCUAACUGAUUAACAUUUUUGAAGGGGUUUUAGAUAAUGUACACUGGGCCACAAAGCAUAUUUAAGAAAUAGGAAGUAGCUAAAAUACAUGCAUAGGAAAAGUUACAUAAGGUGAAAAAUGAAGUUACCUUUCAGGCUCGCAGAUUAUUUGAUACAUUUUUAUUCGUUAAAUCAUUGGAGAAUUAACUAUGUAUAGCAAAAAAAAACAUAUUUCGUUCAUUACCGUAGAGAAUAAACUAGAAAACUUAUAUAAAUGCAACCAAGCUAGCUAAUGCCCGAGCAACUAUGAAAUAUUAGAAACAACAGAAAUAGAUAUAAAUCAUGCCAUUGUAGAAUAAAAGAAGAUGCAGUUUGCUAAGAUUUGUAUAGAGUCGUAGAAAACAAAAUAGGAAGCUUCUAUAAAUUAGUUGAUGCCUAUACAAUUAUAGAAUCAUUAGAAACAACGGAAUCAGAUACAAAUCAUGCCACCCAAUUAAUAUUAAUGAGAACCGUCAUUAUCGACAAAAUUUCUUAUUUUCAACAUAUAGUUCAAUCAACUCAAUCGCAGAAAUGCACCAUUUUUUAUUUAAACCGGCAGAUGGCUCACACAUAAUAGUUAUCAUGUCACUAACGUAGCUGCGACAAAAGUGAGUCCUCGCCACCCAUUCAAUGGUGAUGAGAAUCCAUCAUCGCAGAAAAAAAUCCUAACAAAACACUAAACGACCAUUGGAUCAUGAAUCAACAGGACAAACAUAAAAUUAUUAACAAACGCCGAAAUUACCAACGGGGGUUAAAUAACCAUACCAGCUCCAUUUGCCAAACUUAAUUGUGCGACAAAACUUUGGACUAUCACAAACAUAAAUAGUUAAUUUACUCGAGAAUGAUCAACAUAUAUCAGCAUCUGCGGCUAUUUUCUCACAUUUCCACCACUCACAAAUAUAGUGUAUAAAAUUUUCUUUUAGGCUAGUCAAACUAAUAUUAUCUUUCUCCACAAUUAUGCUACAAUGAGCCCCACCUUUCAUGAUGUGUGUUUCUAGUGUAUAAAAACAAUUACCAGUUUUUUAGAAGAUUCAACUAAGUGGCAAUUGUAUUUGGGAUAGGUUGGAACGAUUAGUAUAUUAUGCAGGCCCUACAAAGAUAUGCUAUGCAGGCCCUACAGGUUCAUAUCAUACGUUGAAGAUACAUUUUUUUUUUUAACGAUUUGCAACUUAGGAAUGUUAAUCUUUUUCCAAUAUAAUGCUGAAUAUGUUUUCACCAAAAUCUUUAACUUUAGGUGAAAACUAAUUUAUAUAAGAAGGUCAAAGAAAAUAAAAAUUUUAUACAUCACAGACAUUUGAUUUUGAGAGAAAAAUUAGCACUUGCCAUAUUUAAUCCUAACUGGAAACUACAUCUAAGUAUGGAUCCAAUAAUUUCUCUUUUUUUGUGGGUGAGAAGAAACAAUACAACUAAUAUUAGCAAGAAAUCAUCUCAACUUUUCUUUCUUCCAAUCUUUUUUCUUCCGUCCAUCUUUUAAUUAAAAGUUGUUUAACCUAAAAAAUUCCUAACUACAUAGAAGUUAAAGAGAAGGGCUAUCAUCUCAUUAAUCUGCAAAAUAAUAAGAUAAAUCAAUUGCUAUAAGAUAUUAACAAAAUCAACUAAAAAUGAAUCAAAUAAUAAAUUAACAAAGAGAAGAGGAAAAUACCUAAAGCUAAGUAAUUAGAUUGUUUGCUUAGAUAUUUCAUCGCACAUGUGAGCUUCAAUCUAGUUUGGGGCAGUUUAGUCCCUCUCUCCCUCGAUGUCACCGGUCGGAGAAGAAAUUGGCCGAUGUUCCGGAUUCUCUCCGGAUAAAAAAGGGUCAAAGAAAUAAAAUGAAUAGUAAAUCUAAAGAAAAACUCAUAAAGAUGAGCACAUAUGAAAACUAAAAUUACCUUUACAUACUUGGAUUUGGACCUAUUGACUUUGUAUCAUUGGAUUUGAACCGAUAGACAAUCUUCCUGAAGAAAUCGUGGAGUUGGCCAAAGGCAAAUAAGAGCCCAUAGCUGAUGCCGGUGCCGUCCUUGUUGAGGACGCAGAAGGUGUCGCGGACGGGGCGAUCGGCGACGACGACGGCGCCGUAACGCUAGCCCUCACCUCUGUCCUCUCGGGCGGCCCCUACUCUGUCCAUGCCGGCGACACCACCUCCUUUCCCAAUGGCUUUCUUCGCUACACCAAGUAGAACGGCGUCCCCAUCCUCGGCAUCUGCUACGGGAUGGUGUAGAGGAAGGGGGAGGGUUGAGUAGAAGGAAAAAACAAUCCAAAUCAUACUCUACUUGAAAGAUGCCAAAAGGAGGAGAGAGAGGAGAAUCAUUAUUUCUAUUUCUUUCUCUCAUUCUUUUCCUAUUCAGUCGCAACCAAAUCAUAACCAGAAGAAAUGGAGAGAGAGAGAGAGACUCAAAAGAUUGCAUUUUGGGAUAGAAAAACUGUAUAUUAUCUCUUAUUUUCGUCAAAAAACUACAACUCUACUACUAAUUAACUACUAAAUCUAAUAUGUAAUGGUUUUUCCUAUUCAGUAGAUCAAAUCACCACAACCAAAAUCAUUAUAAUCCAAAGAAACGGAGAUCUAUCGAAAGGUGGCGUUACCUUUGGGUCGAACUGCAAGCCCCAGACCUCGGGGGGGGGGGGGGGAUGUCGAGGGAGGCNCGGAAGGGUGGGCGGUGGCGGCGACGACGCCGAGGGCGUGGCCGCGCGAGGGCGGUGCCGCCGCAGCGAGCUCGUCGGGGCACCAGAGCCCCACGUUCUCGUCGAGGGAGCCCGUGAGGAGGAGCGCGGGGCGGGAGUCUGUGGCAGGGACCCACGUCGCCGCCCAGAUCAACUCGUCGUGGGCGUUCUCCACCGAUCUGAGCCCCGCAAGUUUCAUGGCCGCACCCCACCCCCCACGAUCGAGAGAGCUAAGGUUUCGGGGGAGGGGAGAGCUCGAGGGGAUGAAGGGGAUCAAAGGAAAGGGGCGGAGAGGAGAGGAGAGGAGAGAUAGGGGGAGCAACCGGGAUCGAAGCGGCGAAAGGAGUAAUAGCGCCAUCGAAGAGGCGGGGGUAGCAGGGAUCGAAGCGAUGGGGGUAGCAAGGAUCGAACCCUCGAGGGUAGCGGGAUCGAACCGGCAGGGGUAGGAGGUGGGACCCAUGACGGGGCCACGUGUACAAAAUUAAGAAUAGGAUUAAGCGUAAGAUGACAAGUGAAUGACUAAUACGGGGAUUAAUAAAGGAUAUAUAGAUUAUAUGCUUAUCAAUUUAUCAUAUUAUAUAAUUUUUACAUAUUUUAUUCAUAAAAUAUAACUUAUAAUAAUAAUAAUAUAUAGCUUAAUUAUUAAUAUAAAUAAAUAAUAUAUAAAAUAUAUAAUAAAAAGAAUUAUUUUUUUUUGUCAAGCAAACAAGUGGUGCUGAAAUUUUUCUUUUUUUUUUUCUUGCGAGCCAUCGUAAAAAUAUCUUUCCACGAAUUUUUUUUUUCUUUUCUUAUGAACCAAAUACUAAAAAUAUUUUUAAAAAAAUUUCAUAAAAUUUUUUCAUGGAAAAUUUUUUUUCCUAAUUUUAUUUAGAACCAAAGAGCUAGGGUGGAAACGAGCCAAGCUCGAGCGAGCUUACCUAAGCUCAAGCUUGGCUCGAAAUUAAUUUCGAGCCUAAAUUUAGGCUCUAAGCUCGACUUGAAAUUAAUUCGAGCCGAGCUCGAGCGAGCCUAACUUUGAGUCGAGCGAGCUCGAGCCCUAAACGAGCUGCUUGAAAUUCUUAACAUCGUGCAAUCUAUAGUUUAAUUUUUAUAAAAUAUUAUCUAAAAUUUGAUAUAAAAAAUAUCUAAUAGUUUAACAUAUAAAUGUUUGCUUGAAUGAUAUUUAAUAUAAAAAUUAGGGAAACGACUAGUACGGAGGAAGUGAAAAAGGAUGAGAAAGAGAGCAAUUGAAUAGAUUUUGCUGAUGGUUUGGUUUUUUGUCCCAAUAAUUAAAUUUCUAUACUCAUAUAAUUAAUACAUAUAUAUAUUAUUUUAAAUUAAAAUAUAUUAUAUAUUAAUUAUAUAUAGAGGGGUUGUGGCUAUAUACUAUUACUUUUAUGGUAUGCACUCUUUAUACUUUAAGUUUUCGACUUAGUAUAUUUAUUAUCUACAUAUAUUAUUUAUUAUUCUUAGAAUGAUAGUUGGGGGGGGAUUUUUCGGCUGUUUUUUGCUUUUUAUCUACACUAUUAAAAGUGUUUGGAAACUAAUUUCAUAAUUUUUCGACAUUAUUUGGUAGUGAUCAAAGCGUCAAAUUAACAAUUUUAAUGUAGAUGUUGAUGCGUUUGUGAAUUUACAGUGUAAAACAAUCAAUCCGCGUGAAAUUUUUAUAGAAAAUUCUUUUCACUAUUUAGCGUAAUGAUCAGUAUCUCUGAUCUUAAAUUUCAAGUUUUUAUCAUCUAUUUUAUGAGAUUUUUUAUUUUCAAUCGUUCAUUUUUAGAUUACUCGUUUGAUAGGUAAAUAAUGCCAAAAAAUUAUGAAAUUUAGUUUUCAAUACUUUCAUAGUGUAGAUCAAGUUUAACGGAGCCGAUCGUUGAUUUGGAAGUCGUAUUUAAACAACUUGAUAGCACGGAGGCCUCCGUAGCUACCGAUAGUUACCAGCUCUAUAUAUAUUAUAUAUUAUAUAUAAUAUUUAUAUAUAUAUAAUUGAGCUUAAUUCUAGCGAGCCGAGUAAUACUUAGCUUGCUUGAAAUUAAUUUCGAGCCUAAUUUAGAUAGCCGAACACGAGCUGGGUCGGUUCAUUUGCGGCUACAAAGACCCGCCGCCCCCACACCUCGACGGAUAUGAUAUUAUUUUAUAUAUAUAUAUAUAGCUUAAUUCGAGCGAACCAAAUAAUUCUCAAGCUCGACUUGAAAUUAAUUUCGAACCUAAAUUUAGACUCAAGUUUAUUUGAAACUAAUUUGAGCAGAGCCCUACUAAGACCCCCCAUCAACCUAACGAAAGGAUGGGGUAAAAAAAAAAAAAGAAAAACAGGUGGCGAUGCACGUGCAAGUCACGUGAAAGAAUACCCACGAAGAUGAUAAGGCGUACGCCGAUCACUCGCCCCCUUUCCCUCCAUUUGCUCGGACCCCAUCCCCUCUUCCUCGCUCCCCUCCUCCUCCUCCGCUCGAAUGGAGGCCUCGCUCUGCUACUCCCCCUCCUCAAAACACCCUCCUCCUCUGCUCCCUUCCCUCUCCUCCCGAUCCCGAUUCCAAACCCAAACCCUAACCCUAACCCUCCCCAAAUCCCGGCUACCGUCGUCGUCGCCGUCCCGCCGCGCCGCCCCCUCGAUCCGCGCCGCCAUUAGCCGCGCGAAGAAGGAGGCGACGGUGGAGGCGGUGAGGAAGGAGCUGGAGAACUGCUACCUCCUCGCGGGGAUCCGGUACAAGGGGCUGACCGUGAAGCAGCUCCAGGAGCUCCGCGGCGCCCUCCCCGAGUCCGUCAAGCUCCUCGUCGCGAAGAACACCCUGGUGGGCAAGGCCAUCGAGGGCACGCCGUGGGAGGCGCUCAAGCCCUGCAUGAGCGGCAUGAACGCGUGGCUCUUCGUCCACACCGAGGAGAUCCCCGAGGCCCUCAAGCCCUACCGGAGCUUCCAGAAGGAGCGCAAGCUCGACGACAACGACUUCACCGGCGCCGUCUUCGAGGGCCGGUUCUACGCGCCCGACGAGUUCAAGGCGCUCGAGACGAUGCCCAGCCGCGCGGAGGUGUACGCGAAGCUCCUCGGGGCGCUGCAGGGCCCCGCCCUCUCCCUCGUCACCACGCUCCAGGCCCCCGCCAGGGACGUCGUGCUCGUGCUCAAGGCCUACGUCAAGAAGCUCGAGGACGAGGGCGAGGCCGCCGCACUGCAGUAACAGCCCCGUGAAGUUGCCAUUCACGGAUCUUGAAUCAUCAUCUGGAAAUGUGAUUGCAUUAAUUUGAAUUCUUUGAAUGGAGCUUUCGGAAUCAAGCAAAGAGUUACCCACCCAUGAAUUUAACAAUUUAACAAAAAAAUGUUCUUCUUCUGUAAAAUGCUUUAAGAAUUGCACUGCACAAUGGGCUGGCUAUAGGAUGUUGUCUAUUAGAAGAAUUGCACAUGUAUCUUAGUGGUGAUAUCUUCAAAUAAGCCAUGGGAACGGCACAACAAUCAAUCAACUUAAGAAGGCACAAGUAUCGAACUUAUAUGAUAAAUACCCGGACAAAAAAAAAAAAAAAAAAAAUGUCAGCAAACAUUAUCAGUAUUAGAGACCAAUCUGUUUGCAUGGCAAGCCAUAAUAUCUUACCUCUCUUUGAUUAGUAAGUUCAGACUGUAUCUCAAGUUUUCCGAUUUGAAAAAUAUACAAGAAAUUUAUCAGCAUAUUUACGUAUUUAAACAAAAGUUGUAUGAAAGAACUGCAGCAUGCUGCAGGAAUUGUUCUUUGUACGCAUCAACUUCACCAAUCAUUUGCAAUUUCAAGCUGCAAGACGUAAGAAUCCAAUUCAACUCAGAGCAGAUUCAAUAAUAAAACAACCCUUCCUUGAUAAAUAACCAUGUAACUCCGUAACAUCUAUCUACAGUUUUAGAAAUGAACUAAAACUAAGCUCUCUCAGGCGAGAAUAUGGCUGUGUAUAACGUUCUAUCGCAGAUAAACAGUUAAUACUAUGCAUUUACAAGACGAAUAGCAAAACUAGGGAAAAAAUGAAAAAUGAAUCAGCAACCAGUAAUAAACGAAAGACACCCUAAACCUUUUCUAUGGAAGUGGCGAUUUAUGGCCUUGUUUGGCUAUGUUUUAGUUUUUUUUUUGUUUACUUUUAUUUUUUCAAACUCAAAAUCUUCUAUGCAAUUGAAUGCACCAGUGGAUGGACUUCUCUGUUUGUAUUAUUGUUGGUUAGUUUGCCAAUUAAUUUUUAUCUUUUGUUGCUUGAAAAGCCCUAUAAAUGUACAGACUGCAAACAAUCUACCAUCCACUAUAGCACAUUCAAUUGCAUAGAAUUAAGUCUUAAUAAAUAAAUAAAUAAAUAUGUAAGGACAACCAAACAAGGCUCAUUUUUUUCCUUUGUUCUUCAAGCAUCGUCAUCGGCAUCUGCGUUGUUCUGUGGGCCCGGAAGCACAUCCGCAAAAUUCCUUGACACUGAUGGCCUAACAAGCCGACCAUCUGAACUGAACAGAUCGAAGUUAUCACAGGGUGCAGGGAAUAUGGGACCAAUCGCUCGACCCUCGACAAAGCCGCAUCGAAAGAUAUUCUUCUUCUUGUAGGUUAUCCCCACCUUCAUAUCCCAAAAGGUAACAUCCUUAAUGGGGAUUUCUUUACUACCGAACAUCAUAACGGGAAUCCGUACGCCACGUCCGUAGAUCCCUUUGAAGGAUAUAUUCUCCAGGACAGGGAGAUCUUUCGGGUCGAAACCAUCAUCAGGGUGCUCAUUGUAGUCAGUCCUUGCCAUAAUACCGAUGCGGACGUUGUCGAAGGUUAGAUUACGGUAGGAAAUGUUCUGAAUAUAGCCUCCCCUCCCGGGGGCGGUCUUUAUCCUUACGCCUCUCUUUGAGUCCCAGAAACGAACAUUUUCCACUGUGAUAUUUGAAACUCCACCAGACAUCUCACUGCCUAUUGAGAUCCCAGCACUGUUGGGAAAGACAGUUGUUUGAGUUUAAAUACAAUUUUAAGGUAUACAUAUGCUAAAUGUGGUGAAUUGAUCUAUUUAGCAGAAAGUUGCACCAAAUACAUCAAAGAAAGAGCACAUAAAAAGGCAACCAAAACUAAUUAGACAAAACAUCUGAGCAAUAUCUCCUAUCUUCUCAAGGAAGUUUUGCUAGAUAUGCCAGAUAAAUGUUCAUCGAGCUAAAAUCAGCAUCUGUGGUUCCCAAAACAUAAAUAUAAACAACUGACCUCACUUCGGAACGAACUAUUAGAUCACGGAUUAAAAUAUUGGUAGAGGGGCGCCCAUAUGCUAUUCCAUAGUGAUCCCAACCACUCUUUAUAGCUAUUGCAUCAUCGCCAACAGAUAUAUAACAAUUCUCAAUCACCAUAUCCUGACAAGAAUCUGAAAGAACCAUCAUAAAGGAUUAAAAAUCUCAAAAUUCAUUAAAGAUAUAGGAAGAACAAAAAGGAAAAAUGUUUUCUCAAAUUUCUGAAAUCUCUUUGACAUGAAUGGAAGUGUGGAGCUUUACAAUCAACACUAUUAUUUAGUAAAAUAAUGGUAUGAAAAGAUGAAAGGAUGAGAAAUAAAGACAAAAUUAGUUCAGGUUCAAGACAUAAUAAUAGUUGUGUAGCUUCGUAUAUUUAUCAAAGUCAGUUACAUCUCCUACACGAUAAAUUGUACAAACUAUAGUAAAACGACCUGUUUGGAUGUUGGAAUGAGUUAUUCAAUGACUUGUCUUCAAUCCCAAGUAGUCACAAUUUUUCAAAAUAGUGCACUCCACCUACAAGGUGAUAUCAUAUCUUUUAAAUUUGAAAUUGUUUACUUCUUUUUAAUCAAGUUUGAAAUCAUUUUCUAAACAACCAACUGCAAAUGGUCCUUAAGUACCUGGAUCUAUUCCAUCUGUGUUUGGAGCUCCAGAAACCGGAGCCAAGAUGGUGAGAUUUGCGAUAGUUACAUUCUUGCAAUCGUAGGGAUGAAGAGUCCAGAAAGGAGAGUCACGUAGAGUAAUGUUGGAAAUGAUGAUGUUGCUCGACCACAUGAGCUGUACAAGAGGACCCCUUGUGUACCGGAGAAGCUUUUUUUGAAAUUUUGUCCACCAAGCUUGACCUUGUCCAUUUAUUGUACCAUUAUGUCCUGCAGGAGAAAAUGAAGAGAAAAAAAAAUUAGCAUCCUAGAGUAACUACAUAAAAAAGUCAUAGUACCAAAAAAAAAAAAAAAAACAACAACAACAACACUAGGAAGCACUAAUCUGUGGUAUCAAUCAACAGUUUGUUUUAUGAAUUUAUAAAGUUUUGAGAAUCAGAAAAUCAAGUGGCCAGUUUCUUUUGUUCUCUCUCUCUCUCUCUCUCUCUCUCUCUCUAGAUCUNCCCACCCACACAUAUGGAAUGUCAUUAUAGGCAGUUUAUUAUGUAAUGUACAAUCAUUUCAACUUUCUUUCAAAAAAAUAGCUAAAAUCCAGAAAAACCCCUAUAUAAAUAUCUGUUUCUGCACUGUAUGCCCGUAUCUUUUAAAAUCCUCUAUUUUGCCCCCUCAAAAUUUAAAAUUGUAGCACUUAACCUUCUACUGUUACUAUUGCGUUACCAUUCCGUCCAUACAUUAUAUGGUAACAACUGUGUAAUUACUGAUAUACCUAUUUUACCUUUAAAAAUAAUGAGAAAGAGAAAAGUUAAUUAGUAAAUAAUUAGUAAAUAGUGGAAAAUCUAUUUCCUAGCAUUACCUAAAUUGAGGGAAGAUAAAAAGAUACUUAUGCUUCUCCCCCAUUUCUAAUAGUAUUAUGGGUAUCUAGUAAGUUAUGCGAUUGUACCACAUAAUUUAUGCAUAAAAUAGUGAUAGAAUAGUAGCAUAUUAGGUUUAAGUGCUAUAAGAUGACAAAAUAUAAAUUUUUAAAAGACAGGAGGGUGAAGUGCAAAAGCAGAUAUUUAUAGGGAGUUUUCUACAUUUUAGCCAAAAAAAAUUAUUUCACUUACAAAUGAGGAUACUGCUGGGGAUAGAACAUAUACUGAAGAUGAAAACCUACUUCUCCACUCUUCUUUUAAUUGAUGGAAGAGCAGAACUACUUAAAGCUACAUGAAUCCCCCAAUAUGUUAAAUCAAAACGACCGUCCCUAGAGCAAGUGGCAAAGGGCUUGGUAGUUGGUACCCGAGGUCCCAAGUUUGAAUCCUAAUUGAUUCACAUUUUCAGCUAAGUUUAUUUCUAAAUGAAAUAAAACGAAGCGGGUAGCGUGCUACCUAUCUCUCUCAAAAAAAAAAAAAAACAUUCAAAAGGAACAAUACACAAAUAGCUUUGAAAUGGCAAGCGCCUAAUCAUAUUUCAAGUGAUUUGUUUUUCUAUAAUAAUUUAGUACAAACAUAUUUGAGUUCAUAAAUGCUCAUCCUUCACAGAGUGGCAAAGAAGUAGAAACUCGUUUGCUUUACAAUGAUUUCCUCCAGAAAAAGCCAGAGGAGUUGCAUGUAGUGAAAAACUCACAUAGCUCAUUAUGCUGAGUAAAGAUUGCUAUGGAUAUUUGUUAAGGUACCCAUUCUGCAGGAACCAAAGAAAAAUUCUUAAAAUAGAAAGUAUGCACUAAGUUUUGACCUAACAAAAAUUUAGAACUUUAAGGGCAAGUUUGGUUCACCUAUUUUAAACUAUGGAAUCAGAAUGCGAUUCAUUGAUUCUGAUAGUUGUUUUUUGUUCUAUAGGAAUCCAAUUCCGAUUCCAAUUCCACUCUGGAAUGGUAAUGGCCAAAUCCAUUUAUAGCCCAUCCGGCUUUGAAUCCCGGAUUGGCUCAUUCCAAAAUAAACUAUUCAAAAUCCUCUUUCAUCAACAACUCCCCCCCCUUUUCAUCACUUUCCUCUCUCCUAAUUAAAACCCUCUCUCAGAAUUUCUAGAUUUCCACUCCAAUUUCUAUUCCAAUAAUGAACCAAACAUUUUUGGAUGAUUCGUCAUUCUAUUUACCAUUCCAAAGCAAUUCAAUUCCAAUUCCCAAUCCUAUUCCAAUCAUGAACCAAACAUGCCCUAAUAAGAGUAUUUCUAAGAGGUAGGUCCUUACACAACAUUCCUGUUUUCACGAAGGUGGUAACUAUACAAAUUUUAAAACUCUUUUGAAUCAUUGAAUGUAAACAGAAAUGUUAUGAGUAUUGGCCAUGUGUAUAAUGUAAAGACACAAUACGAAGGUCAAGUGAAGAAAGAACCUACAAUAUGACUCCGACAAGCAACAAGGACAUAUAUUAGCGAAUCAUGCUUGUUCUUUUAAAGGAUAACACUUUCAAAGGUGGACUGUUAAUUUACGUGACUAGCCCAGAAGAAAUGCAUUUACAAGGUUUUCUUUAGUUGAAACAAAACAAACAGUUAGCCACAGUAUAAUUAACAUUUUAAAAUAUCAAGGAUAAAACAUUGUUAAGAAAUUGGAGUGACAAUUCAAGCCAAAUUAAUUGAUCGACUUGAGCUAGAAGAAACCGCAUUAGUUAGAAAGCUUAGAAUUUUUUUUUCCCCUGUACUACCAUGUUCUAUUUAAAAAAUUCUGUAAUUGUUUGUUUAACUUCACAUCAAUUAGUUUGUCUUGGUUUUGAAUCAUGUUGACAAAAUGGAUCAGAUUUGGCUUUGCCAGUUUGAAUUCAUUGGUUAGGUUACAGAAGAUAACAUAAAUUCAUAUGAAGACAAAGUUUCAGAAGAUAAACAUAAAUUCAUGGCAUUGACCUGUUAUAACCACAUCCGUCAAAUGCUGACCAUGAAUAAGGCUUCCGUAUCGAGGUCCUUUUUGUUCCCUUCCAUGACCAUAUGAUGGCAAUGGAGGCAUCAACGGCCAAUAAUCCACAUUCUGUAAUUUAAUUGACAUAGAAAAGAUUGUUAGUUUGCUUUGGAUUUGUCACAUACAGAAAAAAUAGGCAUCAAAAGGAGCAGAAUAGUUUUCAGGAAGACACAGUUGCAUUGAUGAUAUGCAAAAUUCAAAUAAGUAAACUCUGCUUGUUCUGAAUUUUCUUUUUUUGCAGAUAGAAUAUUCGGCCCUGUAGACAGUAAUGUAAUUAACUAAAUUUCAAUUUUAUUUUAAACUUAUUCAUGUAUCACAAAACUCAGGCCUGCAACUUUGGAAUUACUGAGCAUGCAUAUUCCCGUGGAAAUAUGCUAGAUUAUAGAAUACCAAAGAAAACUGGAUAAGAGGUUAAUUAAAAUAGGUAGAUUGUGACAUGGUAAGCUUCGAAAAAGCCACAGUAUAUUUUAAUUUUUUAAAUCUUCCGAAGUUUACAAUAAGAUCAAAGUUCAUUUUCCUUAUAAAUAUAUUACAAACUACUAAACCAGCAUAUACAAAGAAAUUUUUACCAAUACCAAUAUUUUUCAAUUGGGAAAGAAUUAACUUUCACCUGUAUCCCAAGAAUUUCGGCACCCUCAGCAAGGAACAGAGUCAUAUGGCUCGUGAGAUUGAAGGGCGAGGUGAGCCACUGCCCGGGCGGCACAUUGAGCUGCCCUCCACCCACCCGCUCGAGCUCUGCAAUCGCCCUCACGGCGCGCUCGAACGCCUCUGUAUUCAGCGUCCUCCCAUCGCCGACGCCUCCGAAGUCCGUCAAAUUGUACGCCACCGGCCUCAACAACGGUAUCGGCGUCGCAAGCGGCGGCGCGCUCUCGAAAACCCUAAACCCGGAGAAAGACCCGAUCUGCCACGCGAAAAGCGACACGAACAGCACCACCCAAAGCGCCAUGAGCAAGGUCCCGGUCCCUAGGGAGGAGAGGUGCAGGCGAAUCCACCAUCGUCGUUGAUGGUGGUUUCCCAGGUACCUUCCCAUGGAGGAGGAGGAGGAGGAGGAGGAGGAGGAGGAGGGGACCUCCCCCAUUAUUAUUGAACUAUAAGGCGAUCGAUCGAUCGAUCUCGCGCUUUACGUUUGCGAAACCACGGAGAGGGGAAUUCGACCACGUUGGAGAGAAGAGAAGGAGAUUGGGGGAUCGGACGAGAGGAUUAGGGUUUGGGGAGGUAGGGUUUUGGCCAUGGGAAGAGGAGAUUCGGCUUUUUAAAAAAGGGCGGGGACGGGCGUGGAUUUGUUGAGAGAUAUUGAGAUUCAUAUAUUAAUAUUCUAGUUUAAGUAGGAGCCGAAGAGUAGAUUUACGAAAAUACCCCCGCUGGGGAUUUUCUCACAUCAAUCCGCUUUAUCUGGUAUUUAUUCGCCUGCGCGUUGUGGCCUUACGAUUGUAAUCCAACGGUUCAAAUCGACUCCGUUUAAUAUAUUACGGGAGAGGGGUUAUCUCUAGAAAUUGAUUUAUCUUAUGCAUGAUCCAUAGAUUAGAAUUUUACCAAAUCAGAAGUAAAUCUUAAUAUUAUCUGUAACUAGAUUUUCACCCGUGCGAUGCACGGCUAAUAUAAUAAUAUAGAAUAUUAAAAAUUAUUAUGUGAUGAUAACAAAAAGAUUUUCUAAUUAAUUUUAUAUUUUUUAACAAAUAAAAAAAUAUACUAUCAAUCUUAAUUAUAAUACAUAAUACAUAUUAAAGUACACAAGAGAAAAAAAAAAUUUGGACCAAAGUAAAUAUUCAACUAAGAUGCAAAAUUCAAUCCUCCUGUAUUAUCUAUGAAUUGGUAUUCAAAAUAAUUUACAUUUACAUAUUGAUGUGCGAAAUAAAAUGAUAACUAAAAUUGAUAUGAAAAAUUAUAAAUGACAUUAAUAUUUAAGCAUAUAAUGAGAUCAACUAAACUUUCAUAUUUGACACAAAUUAGAGUAAGCACACAUAUAUUAUGUUUCUACUGUCGCUUUUAAGAUUNGCGUACUUCGCAAUCAAUAAUUUUAAAUAAUUAAUUAAACCAAUAAUUUCAAAUAAUUCGUAACUAAAUAUUCAUAUUUGAGUUUGACACGUGGCAAGUAUAUAGAAAGCCACGUGUCAGCUUCUCACAUAGGGUUCAUUAAGGGUUCUACUUUUAAGCGAAGAAAAUUACAGGAGUUAUGUGAGUUUUAAAUUUUUUCCUCUUUCCAAAAAUGCCUCUAUCCUUUUUUACUAAUAUUUUUAUGUCCAAAAAUUUUCAACCGAUCAUUUUAAAUAAUUAACUAAGUAAUAAUUUAUUUCCAAAUAAAGAUAAAUAUUUUGCUUCUCAUUCUCAACAGAUUAUUGCGUACUUCGCAAUCAAUAAUUUUAAAUAAUUAAUUAAACCAAUAAUUUCAAAUAAUUCGUAACUAAAUAUUCAUAUUUGAGUUUGACACGUGGCAAGUAUAUAGAAAGCCACGUGUCAGCUUCUCACAUAGGGUUCAUUAAGGGUUCUACUUUUAAGCGAAGAAAAUUACAGGAGUUAUGUGAGUUUUAAAUUUUUUCCUCUUUCCAAAAAUGCCUCUAUCCUUUUUUACUAAUAUUUUUAUGUCCAAAAAUUUUCAACCGAUCAUUUUAAAUAAUUAACUAAGUAAUAAUUUAUUUCCAAAUAAAGAUAAAUAUUUUGCUUCUCAUUCUCAACAGAUUAUUGCGUACUUCGCAAUCAAUAAUUUUAAAUAAUUAAUUAAACCAAUAAUUUCAAAUAAUUCGUAACUAAAUAUUCAUAUUUGAGUUUGACACGUGAUAAUUUUAAAUAAUUAAUUAAACCAAUAAUUUCAAAUAAUUCGUAACUAAAUAUUCAUAUUUGAGUUUGACACGUGGCAAGUAUAUAGAAAGCCACGUGUCAGCUUCUCACAUAGGGUUCAUUAAGGGUUCUACUUUUAUAUAUAGUAAUAGAUAGAUAUUCCAAACCAUAUUAUAUGGAAUAUAUGUAUUACAUCUAUUUAGUAUAAGCCAUCUCUUUAAAAUGCUGUUAUAAUUAAAGGAUUAUAUUAUAUAUAGGGAAAACUUCAAAAAACCCCUCUAUGGUUUCACACUUUUUCAUUUUAGUACUCUGUGGUUUAACGUGUAUUAAGUUAGUACCCUGUGGUUUCUCACUUUAUCACUUUAGUACCAUGUGGUUUAAAGUGUAUCAAGUUAGUACCCUGUGAUUUUGCAGUUUAUCACUUUAGUACCAUGUGGUUUCACAUUUUAUCACUUUAGUACCCUAUAGUUUAAAAAACCACAGGGUAUUAAUUUGAUACAAAAUCAAAACCACAUGGUACUAAAGUGAUAAAAUGCAAAACCACAUGGUACUAACUUGAUACACUUUAAACCACAGAGUACUAAAGUGAUAAAGUGAGAAACCACAAGAUACUAACUUGAUACAUUUUAAACCACAUGGUACUAAAGUAAAAAAAAUUGAAACCACAAGGGGGUUAAAAUUGAAACAACAGGGUACAUUUUAAACCACAGGUUACAUAUAUUUAGUAUAAGCCAUCUCUUUAAAAUGCUGUUAUAAUUAAAGGAUUAUAUUAUAGAUAUUUAUAAGAAUAUCUAUAAGUCAUCUGUUUAAAAUGCUGUUAUAAUUAAAGAAUUAUAUAUACGAGUGAAGGCCCGCGCUUCGCGGCAGAAAAUUUACAAAAAAAAAUCAAAAUAAAUAAUUAAAUAUUUAAAUUUUAAAAUGUUUUAUUAUUCAAAAAUUAAAUUUAAAUUUAGAAUAUAAAAUGUUGAAGCUUAAAAUUUAAAUUUUAAUAUAUCAAAUUGAAAUUUCAAUAUUUAGAAUUUAAUAUUUAGAUUUUAAAAUUCAAUUUAUAAUUUAAUAUAUAUUUAAAAUAUUGAAAUUUUAAAUUUUAAAUUUAGAACUUAAAAUUUAAAAUAUUUAUAUUUUAUCUUAAUUACUAAUUAAUAUAUAUAUAUAGAACUAGGCUACUAUACUAUCGGUAGCACGGAGCGCCCCGUGCUACCAAGUUGUUUUCGAUGAUGCGGCUUCCAAAUCGACGAUCGGCUNNNUAUAUAUAUAUAUAUAUAUUAUUUAUAAAUAUAUAUAUUUAGUAUAUAUAUUUUUAUAAUUCUAUCUCUCUCUCUCUCUAUAUAUAUAUAUAUAAAUUUGAAUAGAAAACUUUAAUUGUUGUAUUUAAAUUUAAAGUUUAAAUUUAAUUUUUUAUUUUUUUGUAUGUGAAUCACAAUACUAAAGAAAAAUUUGGGAAAGGAAAAAAAGAAGAGAGAGAGAGAGAAUAUAUAUUCUAUCUCUCUCUCUCUAUAUAUGUAUAUUAUUCUAUUUAUAUAUAUAUAUAUAUAUAUAAAUUUAAAUAGAAAAUUUUAAUUGGGGGAUNUAUAAAUGACAUUAAUAUUUAAGCAUAUAAUGAGAUCAACUAAACUUUCAUAUUUGACCCAAAUUAGAGUAAGCACACAUAUAUUAUGUUCCUACUGUCGCUUUAAGAUUCAAAAAUAUAUAGAUGUUGGUUUUCAAGAAAAUAUAAAGAAAAAAAAUUUUGUUGUAUGAAAAUGAAAAAUUACAUGAGUGACAGAAGGAAAAAAAUUACGAAAUGAAAAUUAUAGAAGUGACAGUAGGAAAAUAAUAUGUUCUAUUUUAAAGCAUCAAUAUUUAAGAGCGAAGAAAAUUACAGGAGUUAUGUGAGUUUUAAAUUUUUUUCUCUUUCCAAAAAUGCCUCUAUCCUUUUUUACUAAUAUUUUUAUGUCCAAAAAUUUUCAACCGAUCAUUUUAAAUAAUUAACUAAGUAAUAAUUUAUUUCCAAAUAAAGAUAAAUAUUUUGCUUCUCAUUCUCAACAGAUUAUUGCGUACUUCGCAAUCAAUAAUUUUAAAUAAUUAAUUAAACCAAUAAUUUUAAAUAAUUCGUAACUAAAUAUUCAUAUUUGAGUUUGACACGUGGCAAGUAUAUAGAAAGCCACGUGUCAGCUUCUCACAUAGGGUUCAUUAAGGGUUCUACUUUUAUAUAUAGUAAUAGAUAGAUAUUCCAAACCAUAUUAUAUGGAAUAUAUGUAUUACAUCUAUUUAGUAUAAGCCAUCUCUUUAAAAUGCUGUUAUAAUUAAAGGAUUAUAUUAUAUAUAGGGAAAACUUCAAAAAACCCCUCUAUGGUUUCACACUUUUUUCAUUUUAGUACUCUGUGGUUUAAAGUGUAUUAAGUUAGUACCCUGUGGUUUCUCACUUUAUCACUUUAGUACCAUGUGGUUUAAAGUGUAUCAAGUUAGUACCCUGUGAUUUUGCAGUUUAUCACUUUAGUACCCUGUGGUUUCACAUUUUAUCACUUUAGUACCCUAUAGUUUAAAAAACCACAGGGUAUUAAUUUGAUACAAAAUCAAAACCACAUGGUACUAAAGUGAUAAAAUGCAAAACCACAUGGUACUAACUUGAUACACUUUAAACCACAGAGUACUAAAGUGAUAAAGUGAGAAACCACAAGAUACUAACUUGAUACAUUUUAAACCACAGGGUACUAAAGUGAAAAAAAUUNNNNNNNNNNNNNNNNNNNNNNNNNNNNNNNNNNNNNNNNNNNNNNNNNNNNNNNNNNNNNNNNNNNNNNNNNNNNNNNNNNNNNNNNNNNNNNNNNNNNNNNNNNNNNNNNNNNNNNNNNNNNNNNNNNNNNNNNNNNNNNNNNNNNNNNNNNNNNNNNNNNNNNNNNNNNNNNNNNNNNNNNNNNNNNNNNNNNNNNNNNNNNNNNNNNNNNNNNNNNNNNNNNNNNNUUGCUGGCCGCAGCGCAGCGGGCGGCGCACGGACGCGGCGUCGGCGGGGAGGGUUGCCGAGCACAGGGCCACGCCGGUGGAAGGCCAUGUAGCCUCGGCCUGGGCUCCAACCGAGAGAAGGAGAUAGAGGGGAGGAGGGAAGUGAGGAACCCUUUUCUGGCCGACGGCGCGGUCUGCGGUGGCCGGGGUGGCAAGCACCGUGUUCUCAGGGGGGCCUCCUAGGCGGCUGGGUGCACAGGGAGGGCAAGGGGUUGGAGGAUUAGGGUUUAGGUCCAUUGUGACCCCUAGUCCAAAUAAUAAACACAUGUGCAUUUUGCACUUUAGCCCCACCGUAGUCUAAUAUUUUCGACCAAGUUCCUGGUCCCCAAGUAAAAUACGCGCGUAUGGACCCUUCAAAUUGAUUCGGAAUCUCGCAAAACGGCGCAUAAAAAUAUUUGGGACUUUCCGCGCGAUUUAUUGAUUUUUGCCCAAAUGACCUCUCCGCAGGACUUUUCACGUAUUCCGACGAUCCGUCCGUUGGAUUGCCGAACGGGAUUGCUCCAGCGCGUUCAGCACGUCGGGGCACGAAUCUAGCAUUUCGUUUCGUCCGAUUUGAUCUCCCGGAUUCACGGCUCGAAACCUAUCCGCUCUCAAAUUAAUCCGUUAUAAUCGCACAUAUACCAAGGUAUAAACCCUAAAACCUUUAACUCGAAUUCAAAUUUUUGGGCUUCCUACACCAGUAGGUACUAGAAGCGUCCCUCCACUCAACUCUAGGCUCACAGCACAGAGUACAGAGGAGCUUAAACUGCACGAAUUUAGCAAAGGAGCGGAAAACCCCCAUUUCGAUAAAAUCCCUUUCUCGAAAACCGUGCAUCGGAUCUGAAAUCCGUCAAUGCCAAUGGUUCCAAGAAUAACUGAAUCCUUUGAAAAAACGAGCUAUGGGACUGCCUAUGAACGGAGUCCGAUACCGCACCAGAAAGCCAACUUCUACUCCGUGGCUUCUCCGGAAAACCGUUUAGGUUACUAUUCACUUAAGGUGAAAACUACAUAUUGCGUAACUUUUCCGUUUUAAGCUCAUUUUUUCCGAAACUUUGACGAGUGCUUAUUGUAAUUAAAAAUUACACACAUAAACAUCGUCAACAAAGAGGUUUAGUUGCCAACCGUAAAAAAUCUCAGUCCUUUACAAAUUUUACAAAAAAAAAAUUCAAAAUAAAUAAUUAAAUAUUUAAUUUUAAAUUUUUAUUAUCAAAAUUAAAUUAAAUUUAGAAUAUAAAAUGUUGAAGCUUAAAAUUUAAUUUUAAUAUUCAAAUUGAAAUUUCAAUAUUUAGAAUUUAAUAUUUAGAUUUUUUAAAAUUCAAUUUAUAAUUUAAUAUAUAUUUAAAUAUGAAAUUAAUUUUUAAAUUUAGAACUUAAAAUUUAAAAUAUUAUAUUUAUCUUAAUUACUAAUUUUAAGUAUAUAGUUUUCUGUCGUUAGAUCUACCCUUUUUGAUCAUUUUCACCCGUUAGAUCAUACCAUUCAACCAACCACCCACUCAAACCCUUGGGGCCCACAUCAUACUAACGCACAUCUCUUUAAUCCAAAUGACCAAAAACUGUAGCACCAAUGACUUGGGCUAUUAAUAGUAAAUUUAGCCUGAGUGUCUAUAUAUAUAUAUAUAUAUAAUUCUCUCUCUCUAUCUCUCUCUUAACAUAUAUUAUAUAUAUAUAUUAUUUAUAAAUAUAUAUGUUAUUAUUAUAUUUUUUAUAAUUCUAUUCUCUCUCUCUCUCUCGUAUAUAUAGUAUGUAUAUAAAUUGGAAUAGAAAACUUUAAUUGUUGUAUUUAAAUUUAAAGGUUUAAAUUAAUUUGUAUUUUUUUUGUAUGUGAAUCACCAAUACUAAAGAAAAAAUUUGGGAAAGGAAAAAAAGAAGAGAGAGAAGAGAGAGAAGUAUAUAUUUCUAUCUCUCUCUCUCGUAUAUAUAUGUACUAUUAUCUAUUAUAUAGUAUAUAUAUAUUAUAUAAAUUUAAAUUAGAAAAUUUUAAUUGGGGAUGUCUCGAACACCUUGCGGCGACGUUCGGGGAGGAGGCGGCAUCGCGCGUAGAGGGAGAUGAGGUGGUUGCAGAAGGGGGGAGACCCAGGGCGGGAACGCGUAGUCGCGCCGGUGGAUCCUCCGGUACAUGAGCGGAAUGUUGGCGUCGUCGAAGGGGAGCCGUCCCGCGAGGAAAACGAAGAGGAUGACCCCACACGACCACGCUUCGGCGCGCGCCCCGUCGUACCCGUAGCAUUAGAAGUGAAACCCAGAAAUUUACUACAUGCUUGAAAAAGCCUAGAAGUGUACGAUUCACUUCAUUCUACAAUUUGAUACUCAGAUAAAUAAUCCAGGGGACUAACACAAAUAAAGGGGAAUAAAAACUCAUUUUUAAGUUAACUUCUUUCGCUGCACACUAAUAAAUUCUACCAACACAGUCCAAAUCUCACAUAAUUUACUUUGGAAAAGCAACUCAGUUUUCACAAAAUGAGCACUGAUUACUAUCUUGCAUCCAAAGAGCAUCUCAAAAGAAAUAUUAAAAAAAAAAAAAUGAAGCUGAGAGAGAGGAUGAAAUGCCGAAGAAAAAAUAUAUGUUUGUACAAUUAAAACAAACUAAUCCUAUGGGCCCUUCCAAUAAAUAAAUGAAAUUAAAGCUCCUAUGGCGUCUAACCAACUCAAGAGAAAGUCUCGGAGCCAUUAAUAAAGAGUACCGCGUAGGCCGGGGUCCCGCACGCCGUGCGUAGGCGCCUGUCGCGGCCGCGUUGCUCCGCGAGCGCGGCGAGCCCGAAGUCGGAGAGCUUGAGCACGCCGUCGCGGGCGAGGAGCAGGUUCUGCGGCUUGACGUCGCGGUGCGGCACGCCGCGCGCGUGGCAGUAGCGCAGCGCGACGACGAUCUGCAGCAGGUCUAAUUUAUUUAAUAUAUAUAUUUUUUAUUUUUUAAUAUAUCUAUAUAAAAAUAAAAUAGUAUAUAAUAGAUAAAUAUAUAUAUAUAUAUAUACUUACUCUUAUGAAAUAACGAUUUAAUAAUAUAUUACGAUACAUAUAAAAAUAUACAUAAAUAAUAUAUUUAAAAUAAUUAUAUAUAUAUUAUAUACAAUAAAAAUUAUAUGUCACGGGGCACUUGCCCAGUGACCCCAUUGCAACCACCACCGCGUCGUCCACCCGAACCACGCCCAUACUUGUCCAGGCUCGCCGUGCUCGCGUCCGCGGCAUUGAUAUGCGCCCCCAAGACACCAAUAUCCGUUCCCUCCUCAGCCUGACAGCUACCUGCCACACAUCACUCACUAAAACGGAACAUCCCUAAUAUGGACAAUAGCCGCGCCGUGCCAGCGCGUCGCAGCCGCGCCGCUCCCACAUUCGCCGGCGCCACGCCUAUGCUCACCUGACUACUGCGCGCCACAACUGGACUCCCACCCUGCUCCCGCAAAGCCAACGUGCGACUACCCCGCAAGCAUCUGCGCCGUGCCCCAGCGGCACCCGCGCCUCCGCAUCUUCGCUUGCUAGGCGCUCUGCCUCUCUCGCGAACACGUGACUAGUAAGAUCUUGGAGUGACAUCGCAUUACUCAGCAGCCGCACACGUCGGUGCGAGAGCCCCGCAUUGCCGAACCGCUCACGAGCCACGCGCGGCCAUCGCACCUCUGCCCAUCUUCCCCCGCUGCCCGCCUCCCCCGGCCGCCUGACGUUUCGCCGCUCCCGCUGCUGCCGCGCCCGCUGCCCUCUACCUCCCACGCGCUUCGCUACAAACACGCUGGGAGAAGGAGAGAGAGAGAAGGGAUGUUAAGAUUCUCGGUUGGCGAAUUAUACGUAAAAGUUAGUUGAGCUUGAAAAGAUAUUGAAAGUGAAAAAAAAUUCAAAUGAAGAACUAAGACUCUUCGAAACUCGACACCUAAGAUAAGAGAAAUCAUUUGUUAAUAAUCUAAUUACACAAUUCCAAGGCUUAAAUGUUAAACAAUCUACUGAACUUUCUGUUCUGGGACGUUCUCAGAUUAAGAGACGGUCCCCUAAUGCUCACUGCGGAAACCUGCAUGCACGGCUCCCCUGUGAUGAGAGACCGGUUCCGAACCUUGGUAUUCUGUGCGCGCACAGGCCCGGUCUAAGCUUGAAGAGACGUUACCGAACGUAUUGACUUUAGUCAGCAGCGAUGACCCGUUCCUCAUUAGAACAGGUCUCUCAAGAAACGUGUCCUCGAUAAGCACGUCUCUGAAACAACAUUUUUAAAACGAGUUUUGCAUCUAUUCUACUUCUAAGCUUCUAACAUAUAAUAAGCUAAUUGGUCAUCUAAAAGUUCCAGGCUUUAACUAUUUAUCGAUCAACCCUAAGAAACUUAAUUUCUCAGCGUUUAAUUUUGAUUCACAUAACGAGUUUCCAAACAUCAACAAUGUUCUUGAUUUCUCGUGUUUUUACCUCGAUGUAACCAUACAGAAUAGUAGAUGUUUGAUUAAGGAUGAACCCACCAUAGCUUAGGUAUAAAAAGUAAAUCAUCACAAAUCUUGAUUUCCAUCAAGUCCGGAACGAGGUUCCCCGAGACCCGCCGCUCGUUUUUUUUUUGAAAUACACCUGAAGCCAGGAUUAGAUGACGCUUCGAGGAUUAGCGCUUGACCCUGGAGAUUUGCGCAUGGUUCGAGUUGGGAUUUAUAUCGAUAGCAGACCACGAGAGAUCGUAAAUCAUACGGAAAUCGUAAAUUGAUCGUAGGUUUUGGGUCAAUAUCACUUGUCCUCAUGUUUCUAUAGUGAUUUCUUCGUGAUUGUCUCCGUGUUCAAUACUCUGUUUGGAGUUUCCCAUGUUAAAAUCUCGGUGUGAUAUGUGUUUUCUUUUCUUCCCAUUUGUUUAUUCCGCAUCGAGUUUUUGAUUUGCCGUUUUUACCCUAUUCAGAUCCCCUCUAGUGUUACUAUAACUUUAGGAUCCUACGAUCAUCUCUACAUAGUGGUAUCAGAGGGUAUAGAUUGAUACAUGGCUGAGGCGUAACAUCAAUUCGACCCUCUCUCCUCGAUGGCACUAAUUACGCUUUAUUUGGAAAGAUCCUUAGAGGGCGUUUCUAUUCUAUACGAGACUUUGGCAAGCAUUGAAUUCGGAUGAAAAAAUCCUACGAAGUUGCGAGAAUGUUACCCGUUAGGCUGCGAACAUAAAACUAAAAUUACAAAGAGAAUAAACAUCUUCGUUCACCCGGAAAAGUAUCAAUGAAUUAUCAUGCUUUAAACCAAACAUGAUGAAUUUUCUUACGUCUCGGCGUGCAAACCGCAAAGAAUUGGCGACACUUUGCGAGUUACAACACGAGGUACAAGCAACAAGAAUCGGUUGAAUUUAGAAGUCGAGGUGGUGAAAACAUACGAACAUAACUUAUACCUUUUGUACUGAAUGCGGACAGACCAAUAUGCGUUUAAUGUUGGAUUUUUUGCCGUUAUCAGGCUACCCUAGAAUACACUGAAAGCAGUUAAAAGAUCAUUCGUAUGUUUAAAGGAACAACCCGAGUAGGCCUUGUACCUAUGGACAUCUCUUGAUUAAUCGCUACAUCCGAUGCUGACGGCAGCGCCUCCGCCCCAGAUGACAAAUAUAUGGACUUGUUUUUACAUUGACCUUGUUUGGUUCGCUUGUGCCACGUAAUAAACAAAAAUGUAUUGCUUUUCACUAGCAAGCUGAAUACAUGCGCUAGGAGUUAACUACUCAUUUAAUUGAUAAAAGUUAACGAGGCUUAAUCGGAUUCCUCUACCACUCUUCCUAUUCAUGGACAACACGAUGUAAUAUCAUUUAAAAACCCUGUUACAUCCGAACAAAACAUAUUGAUAAGAUAUCAUUUUUUAAGAGAACUGGUUGAUCACAACAUCUACAACUGAAUAUAUUUCGAUUGAAAAAAUCAACUUGCGAUAUUAAACCAAAACUUGAUCAAAACGGUUCUGCAUUAAGAAGCAAUUGGUAUAGCCUUCAAUCUAGAUAUAAUUAUGAGUUAAUCGGUCAUGUGCAUAAUUUGUUUCUUUAUCCCUGCAUAUUUUUGGUGUUUGCGGUUGUUAGAAUUUCCUUGCAUAAUGUGCUGUCUUGAAUAUUAUCACUGUAAUUUAAGUAUUCAUAUUUAAUUUUUGAUUGAUCAAUGUCAGUGUUUAUUCCUAUGGCAUAUUUUGACAUAAAUAUUGAAAAUUCGUUAGCAUAUAAAUCAAAUUCAGCACCUUCAGCUUUGAAAUUGAAGUUGAAUUGUUGUUGAUUAUUAUUGAAGAAAUACAAUUUAUCUCUGUUUUGAAAUAGCUAACAUAUUUGACUUGAGGGUGCACUAAUAGGGAACAUUACCAAUAGCUAGAAAAAUUUCUGAAUACAAAUGUGGAAGAGUUACAUCCUCGAUGGGAGUGUGAAACUAACCACACAUUGACGAAAAAGCUACACCGCCCGUCCCGCCGUUAUUGCAGCUACCCACAUGUUAUUAAAGUAUCUAGAAGUACAAAGAAAUAUCUCCGAAAGGAAAAAAGAGAAAAUAUGCCAAGAGUAAAUCUUGUAGGUGAUAUAGGUGGAAUUAUAAAAGAUCUCAAGGCCACUCUUCUCGAAUAUUGCAUAACAUUUUGAUCAUGUUAUGUUAAUAUUCACUAUAUAGACCUAUUUAUUCAUUCUUCAAAAAUAGAGGUAAAAAGAUACAAUAAUUCCUAAAUCUUUGCAUGAUUGUGGGAUUUUUAUUUUAUAUUCGAAGAAUUCCAUGAUCUUUCGGGUCAAAAUUGAAAUUUGAAUAUCCCUGAAAUUCGAUUUUUACAAAUUUUUACUGAAAUUAUUUAAAGUUUUGUGAUGAAAUAGGUUUAUCUGUGAUAUAACAUUUGGAUUUCCCUUACAUUUUCUUGAAUUUCGGGCUAACAUUUAAAACAUUUUAAAUUUUACAGGGCUCUUGGACCGGUCCCAGGCAAUAGUAGUACCGGUGCCUCCGACAGACCCGAUAACGCGGGUUAGCCGUAGGGUUUCUUUGUACUGUUUCCAAAAACUUGAGCUUUUCGUUUCCAGGCUCCCUGUUUAAUCUUCUCUUGUCUAGAGUGGAUCUCCGAUCUUCCUUGUCAUUGAUUGUAGGUAAGAUUCGAUAUUAUUGCUUUUUAUUUGAUAUCUUCCGAAUUAAGUUUUUAUUAAAUUUUUGUGUUUGUCAGAGAUCUUGAUGGAAUGUGUCUCUUAGGCUUCGAUCUGUUUUCGAUACCUUUAUUUUUUUCCUAGAUUCUUCAUCUUUGUUCAUUGUAGUUUAAUCAUGAGAAAAAUUGAUUUCAAUGUUUUUUUUGGAACGUUGCUUCAGGCUGAUUUUGGGUGCAUGAUGGUUCUUGUUUUUCAAUGAACUGAGGACCCUCCAGGAUACAGUAUUUAUAUAACGCAACCUUGCUAAACAUUUUGGAAUUUUUUUAGAAAAAUUUGUUUUAUAUAUGUAAAUUCCUUAUGUUAGACGGAUUUCGAAAUGUACUCGCCGAGAUGAUGCUUCUUGUCUGUUGUCUCAUCUGCGUGUCUUGGAAUCAAAGAUAACGCUCCAAACUAAAAGCUCUCCGAUAGUAUCAACGAAGAUGAAUAAGCGAAUUGCUCCUGGCGACGACAUAUGAGAAGGAGACCAGGAUUUGGGAAGCCUUUUUCCCACCGAGUUUUAGCUAAGAUAAGGAUACUGGCAAAGGCAUAGGAAAAAAAAGCUGUGGAUAAAGGCAAAGGAAGAGCGAAUAGGCGUUCCGUCGUCCGUAACGUCCGGGUGUGUUGAAAUUCGAGAACGGGAUCUGAGCACCCACGUAAUGUGCUUCAGGAUUGUCCAUCUGCUCGGACGGUCAAUGUAUCGCGAAACACUGCAUUGGUGAAGCGGAUGGUUGGGGUGCCAGUAUCGAUUAGAUUGUGCGUUUUCAGGAUUUAAUUUAAGCAGAGAAAAUCUUCAUAUAGAUUUGUGAUUUCCGGGAGCAAACGUUUUUGUUUGCUUUAUCAGAGAAUUUUAUAUGAGAGGCAGUCACCUAAGUGACUCGGCGACGGCUGGCCGUAUGUUUUAAGACUUCCGUAGUCGUAUGUUUGAUUAUCCCACGCAUAUGAUAAAGACGUCGGUGCUGGUAUGGAAGCUAAGAUCGACGAGUGAAUAUUACAAUUGCGUUUCGACUCCACUUCGCGAUGGAAUCGUGUAGUGAAACACUAUUUCAUGACCGGUACGAGUCGAACGCAUAUGGGCUAUGUCCAAGAUUUCAAAAUGGAGUAUAUUUUUUUUUAAACUUCGUAGUUAUCUACAACAUUCUGCUCUCUGCACUACGAAGAUUCUGUAGGUGGGAUCGUUUCUGUAAUAUGUAUUUUGGAAGGCCAAUAUUGUGUUCAACGAAUAUUAAUACAUGAAAUAUUCCGUUUCUGAUUCUGGCGGACGAGAUGGCAAAGACUAUUACAAAACUUCUGGACAAAUGAAAGCUUGCCAUUUCCAUUGAUAACAUGCGAUUCUCGACUUCCGUAAUGUGGAUUUGCGGCUGUACACUUAUGAGCAGUUUGGGUGGUAAGAACACAUUAUGAAGUCUCGGUUAGCAGGCUUCGUCAGCGCUCAGCGUUCUUACUUUCCCUCCUGCUGCUCCAUCCUCAUGCUACUGGCUACUGCUCUUCACUCCCUUCUAUGAAACAUCUGAGUUGAAGAUAUCUCCGUUCACCCCCUCUUGUAUCGUAGCAACAACGUCUAGCUGAACCUUGCAAGAAAUUGUCUGACGGAGCAACCUGCGAUUCCAAAGGAUUUAAACAUAGAAUGAAGUGCUUAUGAAUAAUUUUUGAACAUUAGGAUGUUGGGCCGGAGCCAGAUUUACUCUAGUGGGUGCUUCGAUAGGCUUAUUCUUGGUUUCUUUUUCAUUUUGCGUUUCUGCAUAAAAGGGGAGAUGGUGGGAAAGAGAAUGUGUCUUUGUGUUGAUGAAUGCAUUUUAGCUUAGCUUCAUGAUGAUGUCUGGAUCUGAUAAUGAUUGAAUUUCGCUUUGAAUGCAGCCAUUUUGUUAGAGAACUUUAAGAUAACUUUUUAGUUAUCUUAGGUGUUGAUUAUAAACAUAUACUGAUAUUUUUAUUGAUCUGAUACUGAACUUUGAUUAUGUUGAGAAAUUUUGCAGGAAUAAUUCAAGACUUCAUAGACUCCAUGUCUAACGUAUAGAGUUUUGUAAUUACGCAUUAUGAAAAUUGUAAUUUGUUUAUUGAUCCGUCAGCAGGAGAAUAUUGUUUGUGAUUCAUGUAUGAUCUCUAUUAUUGUUUCUGCGUUGUUACGAAUUAUAGUAAUUUUGUCACGAAUCGCAAAGGGGGAGAUGUUAAGGAUUUAUAGUUGGCGAAUUCGUAAGUUGUUGGCCGAGUCUGUCGAAAGAUAUAUUGAGAAGUUUUGAGAAAAGAUUCAAAUUGAAGAACUAAGACUCAUUCAGCAAAGACUCGACACCCUAAGAGUAUAAAGAGAAAGUCAUUCUGUGUGAAGUACCUAGUUAAAUAUAAGUCUCAGACAGGCUUAGUGUUUUAAAACUACUUUACUGAACUUAUGUCUGGGACCGUCUAGAGUUCAAAGAGACGGGUUCCCUAAGGUCCCUCACUGCGGGAACCUUUAGAUGCCGAACCGCACGCUGUGAUGAGAGACCGUUUCGAACCUUUGGUAUCUGUCGCGGCAGCAAGACGCGAUCUCCAAGCUUGUAGAUCCGUUCUCCGAACUUGGAUUUAGUCACAGCAGGCGAGGGACCGAUUCCCACUUGAGAGACCGGUCCUCCUCACAGACCGAUUCCUGCGAAAGACCGGUCUCUGAGACGACCUGCUUUAAAAAAGUUUUUGCAUCCUCCUACUUAUAAGUCUCUCUAAAACAUAAAAUAAGCUAUGUGGUCAUCAUAAUUAUAGCUUCGAAUAUUUUCCUGAUCUAACCCUAGAAACUUAUUUUUCCUCCGUUUCAAUGUUUUGAUUCCACAAUAAACGAGUUCCAAACAACAACAAUAGGCUUGGAUUCUUCGUUUUACUCGACUAACAACGAGUAAGCAAAGUAGAUUUCUGAUUAAAGGAACCCUCAUAGCUAUAGUAUAAAAGUUAAAUCCAUCCACAAAUCUGUUCGAUUCUAAUACAUAGCUGCGGCACGAAUGUUCCGACGCGGAUCACGCGGAUAGCGAGGAUUCGUGACGCUCGAGGAAUUGAUGCGUUGACGCUGCGAGGAGUUGCGUGCAAGGUCAUUGUGAUUCUCUUCGCUGAGGACCGGCGAAGAUCGUCAUCUAUGGGAAAAAUCGCUACAAUUGAGUCGUGUUUUUUGUCAAGAUCCGACCUUGUACAUCAUGUUUCUUAGGCAUUCUUACGUGAUUGUCCCGUGGGUUUUUUCACUCCGUUUUGGAGUUUUCCCACGUUAAAUUCUCGGUGUGCUGUUUUCUUUUCCGCUAUUUUGUUUUAUUCGCAUCGAGUUUUUGAGUUUGCCGUUUUUACAUCUAUUCACCCCCCUCUAGGUGUUACUUACCUUUUAGAUCCUCGGGAUCCAUAUCUUACAAGCGAGGGGGAGGAAAAGAGAGAAAGAGAGGGGGGGAGAGAAAAGGAGAGAGCAGAGGAGAGAGGGGGGUGGUGGUGGGAGAGGGAGAGAACAGGGUGGGAGGGAGAGGUAAAGAGGUGGCUCUCUCUCCCGCGCGCGCGCGGGCCCCUUGGUCCCUCCCGUGUCCCCUUCUCUCUCUCUCUCUCUCUCUCUCUCUCUCUCUCUCCCGCGCGCCCCCGUGCGGGUCGGGUACCCCGGCCCUGCCGUGUCCCCCCCUCUCUCUCUCUACGUGUGGGCCCUUGGGGCCCCCGUGUCCCCCCCUUUCUCUCUACCUCUCUCUCUCUCUCUCUGUCUGCUCUCUCUCUAUCUCUCUCUCUCCCUCUUUCUCUGUCUGCUCUCUCUCCCUCUCUCUCUCUCUGUCUGCUCUCUCUCUCCCUCUCUCUCUGCUCUCUCUCUCUCUUUCUCUCUUCCUCGCGAGCGCGGAGAAAGCGCCACGUCGGCCACAGUAGAACUGGGUUUUUAAUAUAUGUAUGAUCUAUAAGAAUAUUUUGUAGCAUAUGAAUUAUAUCUUUAAAAUGCUGUUAUAAUUAAAAGAAAAUUUGUACGGAGUCUUCUCCAGUCCAAAACGGAAACAACAACAAAGUCAAAAUGGAAGGUGAGGUGGGUUCCAAUAUCCAGAUCAAUUAAUUUUUAAUUCUCUUAAUUUAUUGUGUUGUAGGAAUUAUUUUCUCACUAGAUGUUCAUGAAUCAGGAGUGAGGGUCCUGAGGGAUUCCUUAGAAGAUGAGAUACUUCUUACCAAUUUUAUUUUAUUUGAACUGUGAUGGAGAAAAUCGGGGUACUAAUGAAAAUUUUACGAAGUCUGUAGAAGAGCGAUUCCUCGAAAAAUGAAAUACUUAUCACUUAUUGACUUUCUAGAUUUGUUUUCUUCUUUUGGUGAUUAUUAGAAUAGAAUAUUAUUUUUGUUUUGGAUGUCUUUACCGAAACAGAUAAUGUGAAAAGUUAGUAUGCUAGCGUUGAUUUUCUUUUCUAUAGUUGUGGAUGAAAACAUACAGCGAAGUUAAAUUUAAAUUCUUAUUUCGUUCGUCCUUAAUAUUUUACUGUUGAAGUUUAUAUGUUAUGUACUACAUAUUUUUCCAUAUUCCUUGAAUAAAUAGAUUAUAACAAUGGGAAAGCACUGUGGGUAGGGUGUAAGACGGGCCAGGCAACACGUUGGCUGCCCGGCCCGGCACGGCCUCGGGCCGGGCUACAGCCCGGUAUGGACACUGUAGAACCCCUGCCGGACCGUGCUGGACCGUUCCUUUGGAGUCCGACGGCCCGUCACGGCACGGCCCGAAACGAGCCUGGGCCGUGCCGAGCCGAGGAGNCCCGGCAUGGCACGGCCCGUUUGGGCUGUGCCAGCCGGGCCCGGACCCCAACUGCCUUGGGCCAUGGUAGCAUGCUGCCCGUUUCGCUUAUUUCAUUUAAAAAUAAACUUAGCUGGAAAUGUGAAGCAACUAGGAUUCGAACUUGGGUCUCGAGUACCAACCACCAAGCCCUUUGUCACUUGCUCUAGAAACGGUCGGUGAUAACACUUCUCUUAGAAAUUAGUUUUCCUCUAUGAUCGUAAAGUGAGUUCAAUUAGAUAUCACUCUUGUUAGAAAUUGGUUUUUCUAUAUGGCCUUAAAGUUUGUUUUGUUGCAUCAUAAUGGUCAGUAUUGAUCCUUCUUACAAGAUUUUGUUGAGCAGCAAGUCAAGUGUAACACACUUGACUCUUGCAAAUUGCAAAGUUCGAGUGUUUGAUCUGUGAUCUGAGUAUUUUCAGAUAUUCUGGAGGGUCGUAGACAGUGUUCCGACCUAUGGCUCACAUCCCGAGAAUUGAGAUUUAUAACUAUACACCAAAACCCAAAAAGUUGGAUUUUUGGUUUGCUCUCAGGUUUGCUUCAACAGGGUUGUGUACCGGUACAACCUUGAUGGUUGUACCGGAACACAUUUUGUACCGAUACACUUUAAUGGUUGUACCGAUACACUUAUGGUUUUUAGCCAACCCGACGCUCGGGUUUGGCUAUUUCACGGGAUUUGUACCGGUACACUUUCCCGUGUACCGGUACACUUUGCCAUACCGCGAGCUGGUUGGGUUUGAGGGGUGUUUUUGCAUUUGUAGCAUAUCUACAAAUACCCCCACGACCCCCUGGUGUCUCCUGAGCUUGGAAUCACAGGAGAGCAAGGUAGGGGAGCCUCUCUUUUAUCCUCUUUGAUUUUCUUUGAUUUCUCUUGGGAUUUUGAGAAUCAAAAUACCUCAUUUUGCUCCUUUUUGGUAUUUUGGUGGUAUUUCCACCAUUGUUGAAGGCUUGGAGCUUGGUGUGGAGCUUGUUUGGGAGGAGGCCUUCAACCCUAGCUCACCCCAAGCCUUGUUUGGAGCUUCUUGAGAGGUUAGUAGCAUACUUCUCCUCUCUAGAGCAUGAUUCUCAUGGUUUUCUUGUUGUAGCCCUAGAAAUGAGGAUUUAGGGCUUGAUUUUGGGGUUUUUGAUUUAGGGCUUUUGGAGCUCAAUUGAUUGGCCUAGAACCUUUAUCUAGGUUGCGUUGGAAGGGUUUUAGCUCCCCUUUGGAGCUUGUGAGGGAUUUUCACCACUAUAGGUGAGUUUUGGCCCUUUCAUCGAGUUGGUUAAUGUUUAACCUAUUCAUUGUUCGUAACGUUCGUGUAUCGCUCCUACUUUAACCUUUAGGGAGCUAGGAAGCUUGUGAGCAUCUUCGUCGGCGCAAACGAAGGUCGCGUGGAACUCUCGGUGGGUUUGGCCUCACCAAAAUAGGAUAAAUCAUCCCUAUGACGGUUUUUACUUUCCGUAAAAUGAAAAUGUAUGUAUAUUCUUGCUAGAUAGAAUAUUUGAGAAUUUUAGAAUGCUUAAUAUGUGCACGUCAUGUAUAAAGUACAUUGGACCUCUAUGUAGUAGAGAACAGUUCAUAUUUGGAACCUUGCAUAUGGAUAGCAUUCUUACGUGUGAUUGAGAUCAUGUUGUAUGUAGUGCAUAUGACGUGUAGAUUACACUCUUGGACUUGGAACCCAUGCUUGGCAUGGUUGGACAUAGUGUCAUUAAGUGACCUAGGUUAGAGUGUAUGUAAAUAUUAAACUAAUGUCAUAGAGCGGCAUUAGACUUGAACUAGAGAUGGAUUUAGCAAGCUAAUGUCAUAAAGCGGCAUUAGGCUUGGAUCGGUUUUGGACAUAGUGAGAUAAUACCAUAAAGAGGCGUUGGACAUAGUGAACUUAGUAAAUCCUCACUUGAGGCAUAGACUUGACACUUGGGGUUGCUAGUGUGCAUUUCCAUGUUAGAGACAUGAUGACUGUUCAGUUGCAUUUCCAUGUUAGAGACAUGAUGAUUGCUGAGCUGCAUUUCCAUGUUAAAGACAUGAUGACUGUUGAGUGGCGAUUACCACGUUGGAGACAUGACGACUGGACUAUUGAGGUAUUGACCAUGCUUGCUUGCCAUUUGUGCUCAUUCUCACAUGCUUUUGAGGGUCGCUCCCCACAAGCCGGCACUCCGGAGUUAGCCUACGCGACUUAUGCUCGCACGUGCGGUAUCGAGUAGCCUACGAGGCUUGGAGGGAUAGACUCAUUCCUAGGGUGAGAAUGCUGGAGCUACCACUGGCACUUAGGCGGCACAAGCCGGACUACACCUGUGUAGAUCCUGAAUGAGAUUGAACCAGAAUAUUAAACUACAAGUUGAUAAUCACUACUAGACAGGUUAUAGUAGUUGGAUUCGUGAUAUGCUAUGGCAUAGGAUUGAACUUUUGGAUAUAUAGUAUACUUGACAGUUUCGCAUAUUGCAUUGUAGUAUACUUGUUACCAUGAUAGUACAUACUAGAUAUGUAGUGAACUUUGGGGCAUAUAGCAUGCUUCAUAGUAUUACUGUUGUAUCACAGCAUACAUGUUUAAGUAUUGGUAGAUUGACUCAUGUAGAGUAGACGUACUCCAUAUCGACAUUCUGAAUACUUGUGGCAUAGUAGUAUAGCAUUUCAAUAUACGCUUUUAUUUUCACAGUUGUUAUUUCGUUAUCUAUAUCUGUUUAUGUUUUGGGCCUAGCGGUGCAAUUUGGUGCAGGUCAGUAAUUGUCCACUGGGAACUAUAAUUUAUAGUUCUCACGCCCCCUAUUUUAUGUCUUCUUUCAGAGUCUUCCACUUCGGGAGAGGCUCGGGAUCGCGGGAAAGGUAUCGCCUUGGGCUAGCUAUCGAGGGAUUUGGCGAGAGGUAGUCCACCUCUCUUUUGUUUUCUUUGGAGAGGUUGUGAGAGUUUUGUACCUAGUUAUAGAGACCACCCUAUUAUGUACUUGGAGAUCUAUGAUAUAUUAGUUUACUUUAUGCUUUAGUAGUAUUGUUUUCUUUUGACUCUAUCUAAUGUUGGAACCUAGCUAUAUACUUGCUCUGAUAUCUCUAGUUGUAGAUUAUCUCUUGCUCUACUCUUCCGCUUUUGUGUAGAUGCCUUAUAUGUGUAGACAUAUGGUGAGUCUGGGCGCGCUACCGGGAGAGCCUCCGCCGGUCCCGGGGCGUGACAUCAAAAGCUCUUUCAACUUAAGUUUUAUCCCAAAAGGUGUAUUUGGUUCGGAUUAUCCUGGCAGGAUUACUAGUAUUACUGUGUUUGGUUCAUCCGGCAUGUAAUCGGAUCGGUAAUGCAGCAUUACAAAUUGUGCAGGAUUACACAAAAAAUAUUAACGAGAGGACCAAAAAUAUUGGACCAAAAAUAUUAACGAGAGAGGGUAUGUAUCUUGGAUUACUGCAUAUUAUAUAAAAUAUUAUAUAAAAUGACAAUUUUAUCCCUCUGACUCCCAAAACCCUUUCAAUACUUCAUUUUAAAAAAUUUAAUUUAAAAUUUUGAAUUGUGUACUUUUAAAUUUUAAAUUUUGAAUUUUAAUUUUGAAUUUUUAAAUUUUAAAUUUUAAAUUUUAAAUUUUAAAUUUUUAAACUUCAAAUUUAAAUUUAUAUUUUAAAUUCUGAAUUUUAAAUUCUAAAUUUCAAAUUUUAAAUUUAAAAAUUUAAAUUUCAAUUUUAUUUUUAAUUUAAAUUUAAAUUUUAAAAUUCAAUUUAUAUUUUAAAUCUGAAUUUUAAAUUAAUUUGUUAAUUUAAAUUUUAUAUUUAUAUUUAUAUUUAUAUUUUAGAUUUUAAAUUUAGAAUUCAUAUUAUAUUUUAAAUUAAAAUAUUAAAUUAUAUUUUUUUUCAAAUUUAAAAUUUAAUUUAAAUUUUUAAAAAUAAACUAUUUAAAAUAAAAUUUUAGUAAAAAAUAAUUAUUUGUAAACAGAUUAAAAAAAAAGUUUGCAAAAUAUGGCUAAGGGCAAUUUGGGAAUAGACUAUAUUUUAUUGUCUAGAUUACUGAAUUUUAUAGACAGAACCAAAUAUAGUAAUACUAUAAAUACUGCAAUCUAGCAUUAUAUUACUGUAUUAAACCAAACGUGCUAAUGCAGUAUAAAUAGUAAUCUCAUAUAGAAAUUCAAGACAUCUGGAUAUAUCGAAGUACUCUGUAAUAUUACAUAAUUUGAAUCAAACGCGCCCUAAAUGCUUUGUAUAUUCAUAUUCUCACUUUAUGACUACAAAAGCAUAACUCCAACUUACCUGGCAAACCCUUCAUCGGCUCUAAAAGCCUGCACAAAGUAAAGCAGGCCCAAGGCCCAUAAAACCCCUUCCAAGCCCAAGCAUUCCAAAGCAGAACCUCACACUUGGCAACCUCUCAUUGGCUCUCUAUCCCUACUACCCCUGUCCUCUGCCAUACCAACUGCUAGCAGAUAAAGCCCCUCCCAGGGCUCAGCCGCUUCAUCACUUCUCCAUGGCAUUGGCUGUCAAUUCCUUUGCCUUUUGUAAUUCCAAGUCCAGGUAUAAUUCAUUUAUAUUCCCACUCAUGUUUUUAAUAUUUUCCAGCUUUGAACACUCUCACCAUCCAUCAUUUGAACACUCUCACCAUCCAUCAAAGUUCUCCAUAACUUGUGAAAAUGUAGAGGUUCUAAUUGCUUCUCUUAGCAUAGUUAUUUUUAGAGCAUGCUUUGUUCUGCUUCUGCUUCUACUUUUUGCUAGAGUUAUCUGUGACAAAUUGUUUGACGAUUAGAGAUGUGCGAAAACUUUAAACUUAAAAUCUUUUGGGGCUUUUGAUCUUCCUACUUAGAGAAGCUGUCGAAGCCGAAUUCUAAUUCUUCGAUUAAUUGUGUGAAAUUAGGGUUGAUGCCCCAAAUCAACUACUUUCAAGAGUAAUUCCUACAUCUUGGAGUGUGAAGAAGACUCACAUUGGUGCAACUAAAGGUGUGUCCAGUGUUUGCCAGCCACUGCCCCCAGAUAGGCCUCUCUGGUUCCCUGGCAGCUCCCCUCCUGAGUGGCUUGAUGGGAGGUAAAAUAAAAAAUAAAAAAUAAAAAAAGUUAGCUAGUUGUCCGUCCCCUUAUUAACUCAACUUAUAUAGUCUUGUAAAAGUGCUACACAUAUUUGGCUGAUGCUGCUUCCUAAGAUAGUUAUUGAUUUUCGCAGUUUACCGGGAGAUUUCGGGUUCGAUCCUCUCGGAUUAGGCAAGUAUUAAUUUCAAUGUGAAAUAUCUGAUAAACUUCUCUUCUUUUAAUGCAGAGCAAGUUAUCUGAAGCUUUUGGCUGCCACACAAACUAAAAAUAAGCUUUUCAGUUUGCAAAGAAGAUGCUCUGAUUUAAAAAUCUGGCAGACAACAGUCGGUAGCUCGGGCUGGAUUAGAAACUAAAUCUAUUCGGAGAAGCAGAAAUAACUUUUUCAUUAAAUAUUUCCGAUAACUGAACUCGACGCAAAGAAGAUUAUCCAAAUUGGAUAUUAUUCUUUUGAGAUCUCAAAGUUUAUUUCAGCUUUUCUUUACUCCAUUAGGAGGAUUUAGGCUUCUCCAAACAACAACUUAUAAUGCGCCCGCCCUCAAUGUCAUAAAAACUGCAGUAUAAUUCUUCCCAGAAUUCUCCAGGAUCCGACCCAGAGCUGCUCCGGUGGUUCGCGCAAGCGGAGCUAAUGCACAGCAGGUGGGCGAUGCUCGCCGUCGCCGGGAUUCUCAUCCCAGAAUGCCUUGAAAGGCUUGGUUUCAUUGACAACUUCUCGUGGUACGACGCGGGGGCCCAACAAUACUUUGCGGACCCUGCAACCCUGUUCUUGGCCCAAAUGGCUCUAAUGGGCUGGGCCGAGGGGAGGAGAUGGGCCGACUACGUGAACCCGGGCUGCGUCGACAUCGAACCCAAGUUCCCGAACCGGACGAACCCGAAGCCCGACGUCGGGUACCCGGGCGGGCUGUGGUUCGACUUCAUGGAUUGGGGCCGAGGGUCGCCGGAGCCGGUGAUGGUGUUGAGGACUAAGGAGAUUAAGAAUGGGAGAUUGGCCAUGUUAGCAUUUGUGGGCUUUUGGUUUCAAGCUAUUUAUACCGGAGAAGGCCCGAUCGAGAACUUGAUGGCCCACUUAGCUGACCCAGGACACUGUAACAUUUUCGCGGUAAUUCUUUGAAACUCUGCUUUUUAUUGAUUAUUUUAUUAUUAUUAUUGCUAUAUGUAAAUUCCUUGUGUUAAUUUGGUUUAGAGGUUUCAAAAGAUAAAAGUCUCUGUUUUUAUGAACAAUAGGGGGAGUAGGUCGAGAGUUUGAUCUCCGCUUGUGCAUUGACCAAAUAGAGUUGAGGCCCUCAGUUUUGUGGGUUAAAAGAUAAACCAUACAUAAACUGGAAGAGUUUUGGAGUAGAGAAUACAGGAAAACUUAGGAAUAAUUAAUUGAAAAAAGGGGGGCUAAGAAUAGGAAUAAUUUAAAAAAGCCCUUGCAAAUAUUGUUAGACUCAUUAUAAAGUUAGAAACUUGAUCUGGUAGUAACAGCCCUGACUUGUUAAGUGCCAAAUUCCUACUUAUUUAGCCCUUCUUUAGUUGAUUUUCUACUCUGAGAAUCGUUCUAAAAAUUAUUUAUGAGAAUAUUCCAUCUUAGAGCGAUGAUAUAAGAGAUAAGUAACAAGAGACUAAUAAAGGAUUUUCCUUUCUUAUGUAGCCCCACUUAAUUAUCUGUGUGGCUUGACUUCUGAAAUAACUUUUUUUAUUAUAAAUAGUAAUGCAUAGUUAACUAGGUGUUUAUAAAGGUCCAAAGCUUUUGUUGCGGUGAAGCUUAAAUGAGCUUUUGGUUUUCCAAAAGCAAAAGCUCUAUAAACUGAGGUUUCUUUUUGUUUUCAAUAAAUAAAUGCUAUUUGCGGGAUUAUACUGAAAAAAAAUAUGCCAAUACUUUUUUUCUCCAAAACAUUUUUUACUUAGAUAAUACUUUUAUAGAAGUUCCGAGUACACCGAAAACACCCAAACUAUCAUUGGAUUCAUACUUGUCUAUAAUUUGUAAGAUAAUUUUAGUACUGAUAUUAUUCAUUUUGAUUUCUUUUUCUUAAAUGUCUUCAUUUCAACUUUUAUUUGCAGGCGUUUUCGUCGCAUUAAGUGCACUGAAACAUGAGAGAAGGAGAAAGAUGACUUGUAAUUGAUAGCAUCUGAUGAAGCUGAGUGUAAUGUGACUAAAAUUUUGAGUAGCUAGUGAACAUUGUACAUAUCACAGGAACUGCUCAAUGAGGAACGUAGUCACACCUUUAAUUUGAGCAUUCUUUAUUUUAAACAAUAUCGAAUUUGAUGCAUUUUAUUUACUUAUUAUUCAACCCAUGCAUUGUUGUGCUCACAUACACCAGAACUUGAUUUUAUUAGCAUUUCUAUUUAGAGCUCAUGUGGAAGUUUUGUCUAAUGCAAGAUAUAUUUUACCAACAUUUUUUUAUGCAACACUCCAGAUAGGAGUCCGGCUGCUAUAUUUUUAUAAAUAUAGACAUCUCUUUUAUCAUUUUCAUUCGUUAGAUUAUAUUAUUCAGCCAAUCACCCACUCAAUUCUAGGAGAUCACUAUUAUCCUAAUUUGAAACCAUUAUCAUCCUAACCGCACAUCUUUUUAUCUAACAGCUGAAAAUUUAUAAGUACAAAGAGAUCUAUACUCAUAAGAGUAUAGUAACCCUCUAGAUAGUUCUAUUUUUGAUGAAAAAAGAAAUUAUUACUGGGCAUAAAAGAACUAAAUACUUUAGUGUAAUAAUUUGAAUUUCACUAUUUUAGGUUUGGGCUUGAUGACGGCGUCUGAUUUGGGCUUGAUGAUGAUAUCACUUGAUCCAGCUAUAUAUAGCGCAUGUGAUGCACGCUUCGCAUAAAAAAAUUAAAACUUAUGAAAAAAUUUUAAUUUUAUUUAAUAGUUUAUAAAAGUUUAUUUCCAAAUUUUUAUUGGAUUUGAUUAUAUAUAUAUAUAUAUAUAUAUAUAUAUAUAUAUAUAUAUAGCAGGGCUGCUGUGGCUCUCAGGAGCACGGAGUCCUUCGUGCUCCUGAGCCGUUAUUCGAUGAAUGGGAAUCCAAAUUGACGAUCCGUGUACCGUUAGACUUGAUCUACAGGUAUUUGAAGUCUCAAAAAUUUUGUGCAUUUUCGAAUCAUUUACCUAUGUGAUCGAAAGGAACAAAAUCAUAAUUCUUAAUAGUUGAUAUCUGUGGCCGUUUUCAUUUUAAACGGAAGUAUUCAAAUUAGAUAAAAUUUUGAUACAAAAUUCUUUAUACUGUCUACAACAAGAUCAAUAUUUCUGAUCGAAAAUUUUAGUACUAUAUCACCACUUUUUAUAGGAUUUUUAUUUUCAGCCGUUAAAAAUUAUUGAUUUUGAAUCUUUUCGAUUGCUAGGUAAAUGAUAUCGAAAAAUUGCAAAAAUUAUUUUCUAGAAACUUCAAAUACGCUAGAUCAAGUCUAACGGAACCGAUCGUCGAUUUGAGAGUCCCAUCAUCGAAAACGGCUCAGGAGCACGGAGGGCUCCGUGCUCCUAAGAGCACAGCAGCCCUGCUCUAUAUAUAGAUAUAUAUAUAAUUUUAUUAUAUUUCAAUAGACAAAAAAAUAAUAAUAAUAUUGAUUAAUAACUUAAAUAGUUAUUAAAGGUAAAAUUUAGAUAAAAUUUUUUAAUAAUAUUUUAAAUAUAGGUGUAAUUUGGGAAAAAGAGUUAUUAGGAGAAAAUAAAUUUAUAGGCCCAAAGCUUCUUUUAUGCCUGGGAUUUUAUAUAUCUAUAUAGAGAGAAAUAGGCUACGAUUAAAAGUUAUCCAAAAUAUUUGAUAUUUCAUGCCCGACUCAAGCCCUACCGGAUCCCAACUGGACCUAAAUAAUAUACGAGUAAAAAAAAAAAAAAACCAUUAAAGCUUCGGGUUUGUGUCCGUAUACUUUACAUCCAUAUCUAAAUUGGAUCCGACCCAAACUUGACCUUUUAAUGAACAGGGUUUGGUAUAAUUUUCAAAUCCGGAUGCGAAGGCGGAGGCGGAUCCGGAUCCGAAUCCAAAUCAGGAUCCGGAUUCGGACCUGGUGAAAUAUGUUGCCAUGUGGUGUGUCCACAUUGGCGGGUCUUAAUUUAACCCGGUCCACUUAAGAUGUGGAUUGAGAUUUAUCAUGAUAAGUUAAGGAUAAGAAUAAAUUAUAUGUUUCUUAUUAAUUAAGAAAUAUAUCUUCUAGUGGAUAUCUAUCAUAUCCUAGUUCUUAUCCUAAUCUCUUUGUGAGAUUCAGGAUAUUUAUGGGUUCCGUUAUUCUAUAAAUACGUUCCCCUUUUCUCUCCCAUAAGAGAUGAUCGAAUACGAUCUAAUUCGAAAGAAUCAACGAUAAAUCCUCCUUCUUCUCUCUCUUCUUCCUCUCUGGGAUUUCCACCUAUGUUCCUGGGGUUUUGGAGUGUGGACAUAGAAAGAGGACUGGUAGCCCUCUUCGAUUGACAUCCGUCGCAUUAGAUCCGCAUCCGAUCCGUGACAUAAGGCAUACGCAUGGAAGAAGGCGAGAAACGUGGGAGAUCCAGAAGCAUUGAGACAAGGACGAUCCAAAAAGGCUUGUAAAACAAGCAAUCCGAUCCGAUUCCAGUUCCCAAAUACGUUGGCUAUCCGGUUUGUAAGUUUCCGCUGCCCUAAUAUUUCCAACAAUUGGUAUCAGAGCCUGUGUGCUUGUUUUCGCCUCAUGAUCAUGCUUGUGAUGCGUAGGGGAGUAAACGAGCCGAACACGAGCGAGCUCGCAAACAGGUAGCUGGAUUGCCACCCCUAGUGAUGAGUGUGUUUUGAAUCGCAUUCGUUGAUCAAUUUUUUUUUAUGUAGACUAGUUCUACAAAAUUUUUUUUCUUUUUUUGUUUUCUAUGUGAAAUCGAUUAAAAGGAAAGAAAAAGAAAACUAAAUUAGUUUUAGCUUUCUCUUAAAAUUGAUCAUAAAAUAUGCGAUUUUUUUUACAUAAGUUGUACUUUUUUUUUCCUUUUUUCUCUGCUUCGUGCAUUUAAAAAAAAAAAAAAUUGCUGCGAGCGGCGGGCACGAAGCGACCCGCUGCGGGCUGGCGCCGACACGCACCCGCGCGGGCCUGGCCCGCUGCCGGCGCGGGNNNNNNNNNNNNNNNNNNNNNNNNNAAGAGAGUACUGUAGUAGAGGAAUUAAUUGAGAAAGGGCAAGAAAGAAUAAUAAAAAACCCUUCAAACCUAUGGUAGACUAUUAUAAAAGUUAGAAUACUUCAAUCUGGUCAUCCAAAGCCUCGUUGACUUGUUAAGUGCCAAAUCUCUAACUAUUUACCCUUCUUUAGUUAUUUUCUUAACUGCUGAGAAUCUUCUAAAAAUAUUUAUGAGAAUACCUAUCUUUAGACGAUGAUAUAAGAAUAAUAACUUAAAGACUAAAUAAACGGAUUUACCCUUUCUAUGUUGCCGCCGCACUUAAUUACUGUGUGCUUACUCGAAAUAACUUUUUAUAUAAAUAGUAAGCAGAGUUAACUAGGUGUUCAGAAAGUCGCAAAGCUUUUGAGCGUGUAACUUAAAUGAGCUUUUGGUUUUCCAAAAGCAACAAGUCUCUACAAACUGAGGUUUACUAUUUUGUUUCCAAUAAAAUAAAGCUAUUGCGGGAUUAUACUGAAAAACAACUCAUCCAAUACUGUUUCUCCAAAACAUUUUUUACUAGAAAUACUUUAUAGCAAGUUCCGAGUCUUACGAAAACACCCAAACUAUCAUUGAUUCAUCUGUCUAUAAUUGAAGAUAAUGUUAUACUGAUAUUAUUCAUUUGAUUUCUUUAUUCUAAAUGUCUUCAUUCAACUUUGAUUGGCAGCGUUCCGGUCGCAUUAAGUCACUGAAAACGAUGAGAGAUAGAGAAAGCAACUUGUAAUGAUAGGCUCUGAUGAAGCUCGAAGUGUAAAUGUGACUAAAAUUUGGAGUAGCUAGUGGAACAUUGUACAAUAUCACAGGAACUGCUCAAUGAGGAACGAGUCACACCUUUUAAUUGAGCUUAUCUUAUGUUUAAUACAAUAUCGAAUGAUGCAUUUUAUUUACAUUAUUAUUCAAUCCCAAUGCAUUGUUGUGCUCACAUACACCAAGAAAACUUGAUUUUUAGUCAAUUCUAUUUAGAGCUUCAUUGAAUUUUGUCCUAAUGGCAAAUAUAUUUACCAACAUUUUUUAAUGCAACACUCCAAUAGAUUCGCUGCUAAUUUAAUAAAAUAAGACAUUCUCUUUUAUCAUUUUCAUCUCGCUAGAUAUAUUAUUACAUGAAGCCAAUCAACCCACUCAAUCUAGGAGAUCACUAUAUAUUAAUUGAAACUCAUUUCUAUUCCUAACCGCACAUCUUUUUAUCUGAACAGCUGAAAAUUUAUAAGUACAUGCAGAGAAGAAUUCAUAUACUAUAAGAGUAGUAGUAAACCCCUAGAUAGUUCUUAUUUUUGAAGAAAAAGAAAUUAUUACUGCAAAAAGAACUAAAUACUUUACGUGUAAGAUAAUAGAAUUUCACUAUUAUAGUUUGGGCUUGAAUGACGCCGCUGAUUGGCUUGACGAUGAUAUCACUGAUCCAGUCUAAUAUAGCGCAUUGAUGCACACGCUUCGACAUAAAAAAUAAAACUUUAUGACAAAAUUUUAAUUUUAUUUAUAGUUAUAAAAGUUUAUUGUUCGCAAAUUUUUAUGGAUUUGAUAUAUAAUAUAAUAGUAUAAAUAUAUUACUAUUAUAUAUAAUAAUAGCAGGCUGCAUGGCUCUCAGGAGCACCGGAGGCCCUUCGUGCCCUGGCGCCGUUUUUCCGAGAUCACAACAUCCAAAUUGACAUUCGAAGACCUUCCGUUAGACCUGAGCUAAAGGGAUUGAAAGUCACAUAGAAACUAAAUUUUCGUGAAUCUUUUCGAUAUCAUUUACCGCUAGUAUCGAAAGAUCAAAAAUCAAUAAUUUUUAAUAUUGAUAUCUGCCGUUUCAGUUAAACGGUAAGGAACGUAUUCUAAAUGAAUAAAAUUUUGAUACAAAAUCUUUAUAAGCUCUACAGACAAGAUCAAUAUUAUGAUCGACUAAAUUUAGUACUUAUAUCACCACACUUUUUAUAAAUUUUUAUUUUCAGCCGUUAAAUAAUUAUGAUAAUCUUUUCGAUUGCUAGUAAGAACGAAAAUUGCAUAAAUAUUUUCUAGAUAACUUCACAACGCUAGAUCAAGUCUAACGAACCGAUCGUCGAUUUGAGAGUUCCCAUCAUCGAAAACUGCUCAGGAGCACGGAGGCUCCGUGCUUCAACUAAGACAGCAGCAGCCCUGCCUACUAUAUAAUAUAUAUAUAAUUUAUUAUAUAUAAAUAGACAAAAAAAUAAUAAUAAUAUUGAUCAAUAACUUAAAUAGUUAUUUAAAGUAAUAAUUAGAUAAAUUUUUUUAAUAAUUAUUUUAAAUAUAGGUGUAAUUGGAAAAAGAGUUAUAAGAAAAUAAAUUUUAAAGGCCCAAAGCUUCUUUAUGCCUGAUUAUAUAUCUAUAUAGAUGAGAACAUAGGCUACGUAAAAGUUAUACAAAUAUAUUUGAUAUUCGAUUGCCCAGACUCAACCCUAACCGAUCCCAAACUGACCUAAAUAUUAUACCGAGUAAAAAAAAAAAAAAAAACAUUAAAGCUCGGUGGUCGUAUACUAUUACAUCCAAUAGCUAAAUUGAUCCGACCCAAACUUGACCUUUUAAUACGAACAGUUUUGGUAUAAAUUUGUUUCAAAUCCGGAUGCGAAGGCAGCGGACUCCGACCGAAUCCAAAUUCAAGGAUCCGGAUUUGGACUGUGUGAAUAUGUGCAAAAUGUGGUGGUCCCAUCAUGAGCGUCCCUUAAAUUUAACCCGGUCCCUUAAAAUGUCGAUUGAAGAUAUUAUCAUGAAAGCUUAAGAAUAAGAAAUAAUUAUAUGUAUUUUAUUAAUUAAGAAAUAAUCUUUACGGAUAUACUAUCAUAUCUGCACUUCUUAUCCUAAUCUCUUUGUGCAGAUCAGGACUAUUUAUUGGUUUUCCGUUUUCUAUAAAAUAUCUGUCCCGCCUUUUCUCAUCCAUAAAGAUGAUCCGAAUAACAUCAAUCGAAAGAACAACCGAUAAUCCACCUUCUUCUCUUCUUCUUGCCUCUCUGGAUUUCCACCUAUGUUCUGGGGUUUUGGCAUGUGGACAUAAGAAACGAGGACCUGGGUAGCCCUCUUCUGAUGACAUCCUCGGCAUUAGAUACCUGCAUCCGACUCCGGAACAUAUAGGCAUAACCAUGGUAAAAGCGAGAAACGUGGGAAUCUCAGAAGCAUUGAGGACAACGGACGAUCUCAAAAAGCUUGUAAAAACAAGCAAUCGCCGAUCCGAUUCUCCAGUUCCCAAAAUCACGUGGCUAUCCGUUUGUAAGUUUCCGCUGCCCUAAUAUUCCAAAAAUUUGGUUACCAGAGCCGUGUGCUUGUUUUCGCCUCAUGAUCCAUGCUUGUGAUGCUAGGGAGUAAACGACCGAACACGAAGCGAGCUCGUUUACCUAAACGAGCGAGCCGAUCUCGAGCUCAUUUCGAGCGCACACGACUUGGCUCGGCAACAGGUAUCUGGAUGCCACCGCCUAGUGAUAGUGGUUUUGAAUCGGCAUUCGUACAAUUUUUUUUAAUUGUAGACUAUUCUACAAAAUUUUUUUCUUUUUUUAGUUUUCUAGUGAAAUCGAAGUUAAAAGAAAGAAAAAGAAAAGCUAAAUUAGUUUUUAGCUUUCUCUUAUAAAUUUGAUGCAUAAAAAAUGCGAUUUUUUUACAUAAGUGUAACUUUUUUUUCCUUUUUUCCUGCUUCGUGCAUAAAAAAAAAAAAUUCUGCGAGCGGCGGGCACGAAGCACAAGCCGCCUGCGGGCUGUCGCGACAACCCAACAAUAGAGGCGUCGGGCCGGCCUGGCCCGCUCGCGCGGCGCACCCGCACGCACCAACUCUGGCCCCCCGCUGCGGGCCGGCACGUACCUGCGCGCCACCGCUUGGCGGAGCCACUCGCAGCACACCCGCGGUCCAGCCCGCUGCGAGCGCAGGUGAUGCACCGGGCGCACUGCGCGACUCGAGCGCGCGGAGCCGCGCACCCCUCUGCUGCUGGCAGGCCGGCUCGCCCUGCGGCGCAAGGGAGCGCCCUGUUUUUUUGUGGCUAGCCGUGCUCGGCCCGUCUCGCCGCGCAGUUCAGAAUUGUUUAAAAUAUAUAUGUAUAUUCCUGUGUGGUUAAAUUUUCCUGCGCAGUAAAAUCUUUUUUUUUGGAUACAUAUAUAUAUAUAUUUUUUAUGCUUUUUUUUGAAACAUAUAUGUGUUGUUUGUUUAAUUUAUCCUAUGUGGCUGAAUAUUAAAUGCUUAUGUAGCAUCUUAUAGUUGCAUGAUUGUGUAUAUAAGUACUUACGUUAUUUUGAUAUUUUUCAACAAAAUUUAAUUUUGGAAAAACGGGUUCGACGUGUGCAGCAUUCGUGUAGAACAUUUCUUGUCUGAUGUACAUCUUAUAGUGAUGUAGUAGGUUUUAUUAUGCAAAAGUGAUGUAAUAAUUAAGGCCGUGUAAAGGAAUGUGUUUUGCGCAGCGUCGACGUUUUUUUAAUUAAAUUUUGGUAUAAAUACUUAUUUUUUUCUAUGUGAUGAUAUUAUGAGAUAAGUUCUUCUCAUAUAAAUAUUUUUUAAAAGAAAAUGAUGUGUUCUUUCAAAAUGGAUGAGUUCCAACUUUUGGAUAAGUUUCAAAAUUAAUAGAAAAUUAAUAAGAUUGUAAUAUUUUGAACCGACACUGGGUGAUGACUACGAGCAUAGUGAAGUUAUCGAUCCUGUUGUGUCGAGGAUAAUGUUUCAAUCUUAUUAAUUUUUGGAAUAUGUGCCUAAUGUCCAAACUUAUUUUUUUGAAUGUAGUGAAAUGACUUCAAAAAACAUCAUAGCUGAUCUCACUAGGGGUGAUAAGCUAGAUGGAAAGAAUUAUGAUAUUUGGCAUAGGAAAAUACAAUACCUGACAAGGGGUUCUUGAAACUCUUUCUGUCAAAAGAGUCAUACCUGCCGAAGGCACAGUUUCUGAGCAUGAAAAAGAGAUCUAUAACAAAUGGAUCAAGGAGGAUCGAACUGCUCUGUAUACUAUGUUGUGUGCCAUGCAAGACGACCUUAUUGGACAGUUUGAGAUCUUUGAAACUGCCAAGGACAUGUGGGACAAUUUGAAGAUUACUUUUGGUCAAACUUCAGCUAUAAGGCUGCAUGCCUUAAUUUUGGAGUUUCAGCAAUACACUGAGGACCCGAGGACUCCAUGGCUGAGCACCUCCGUGUGAUGAGCGCCAUGAUUCGGGACCUCAAGGCUGUUAGAAACAGGCUCAAUGAUGAGCAACAAGUUUUAACAGUGAUUCAUUUACUGCCGGAUCCUAAAUGGUCCCAGAUGAAGCUCCUGAUGAUGCACAGCGAGAGUAUUAAAAUGUUUAAUGACAUCUCGCGUCAUCUCGAUUUUAAGGUAGAGUGCUCGGAAACGAACCGUUCUGUCGCCCUUGUUGCACGCUAUGAGAAGCGCGGUGGGAUCACACCCAAGCGUAAGAAGCGUUACAAUAAUUGAGCGCAGAAAAGUCAAAAUCAAGCUCCCUGUGGUGGAGUUAGGAAAUUUCGCAGAGUCAUUUUGACAGAGAGACCACCUUGACAUUUCCUUUCAUGGUACUUUAUUUGGAUAUGGUACAUUAGUUGAUGGUUUCUUUAAAAUAAAUUUGGAGGAUGAUUCGUUUGCAUUUGCUUCUUCUUCUUCUUCUAAUCUUUGUGAUGAAUCCGUUAAAUGACAUGCCAAAUUAGGCCAUAUAGGUCAAGAAAGAAUGAAUAGACUGGUUCGAGAAGGCCUUUUGGGGUCUUUCGCCAAAGUUGACCUAUAUGUGUGCGAGCCUUGUCUGGCUGUGAAGGCAUGUAGAAAGCCUUUCGGUAAGGCUACUCGUGCCUCUCAUCCUUUAGAGCUAAUCCACUCAGACAUUUGUGGGCCAAUGAAUGUGAGGGCCCAGCAUGGUGCUUGCUAUUUUCUAACAUUCAUUGAUGAUUAUUCCUGUUAUGGAUAUGUCUAUUUGCUUUCUCGCCAAUCUGAAGCUUUAGAUGCUUCAAGGGCUUUGUUGCGGAGGCUGAGAAUCAAAUAGAAAGAAGUGUAAAGGUGCUUCGCACUGACCGAGGUCGUGAGUACUUGUCUGAUCAGUUCAAGACUUAUUGUGAGGAAAAGGGCAUUAGUAGACAGCUCACUGUUCCUGGUACUCCCCAAUAAAAUGGUGUUGCAGAGCGAAGGAACCGUACUCUAUUAGACAUGGUUAGGUCGGUGAUGGGUAAGUGCAACUUCCCAUAAAUUUUUGGGGAGAUGCUCUUUUAACUGCAGCCUACAUCCUUAAUCGAGUUGCUAGCAAAUUAGUGCCUUCUACUCCACAUGAGUUGUGGAGUGGUAGAAAACCAAGUUUACACUACUUACGCCCUUGGGGUUCAGCUAGAUAUGUUCACAGCCCCUCACAUAGAUUCGGGAAACUCGGCCCUAAAGAGAGCAAGCAUGUGUUCAUCAGAUACCCUGAAAAUUCGAAGAGCUAUGUGAUGUAUGGUGAACACCCAGAUAGUGGUAUGACCGAGAUUGUGUCUCGUGAUGUGGAAUUUUUAGAAGGGGAUUUUUAAAGCAAUUGGUGAAUGCGAAGAGACGUCGGAUUGUAUGAGUUACAGGACGACGCUACCCCAUCUACUAUUGAGGGUGAUCGAUCACUUCCCGAAGUCGCUGAAGGCAGUGGUAGCGAUCCUUUGGCUAGUGGGAGUGCUUCUUUGAGUGAGAGCAUACCCUUGGAAGCCGGCAAUUCAGACCUCCAUUACGUAGAAGUGAACGUGGACAUAUUUUCCGUCGACAUUUUGAAAUCGAAGGGGAUAUUUUCAUGUGCGCUCCGCUCGAUGAUGAUGAACUUGCUUCUGACAAAGAAGCACUACAGACGUCAGCUUGCAGUGAGUGGAUGGCUGCUAUGAAAGAUGAGAUGGACUCCAUGAGUAAGAACCAAGUAUGGGAAUUGGUUGACCUUCCGCCUGGGCGCAAGUCUAUUAGAAAUAAAUGUGUUUUAAAAUUUAAGCGCAAGGCAGAUGGAUCAAUCGAUAAGUACAAGGCUCGGCUCGUGGCCAAGGGCUACACUCAGAGGUAGGGGAUAGAUUACAAUGAGACAUUUGCUCCCGUUGUGCGAUUUGCCUCUAUUUGUUUGAUUCUAGUCUUAAUGGCAUACCUAGAUUUGGAAUUGUUCCAAAUGGAUGUCAAGAAAACUUUUCUCAAUGGAGAAUUAGCGGAGGAAAUCUAUAUGGAUCAACCUGAGGGUUUUGUAUUCAAAGGUCAAGAAGACAAAGUUUGUCGUCUUAAAAGAUCCAUUUAUAGUCUCAAGCAGUCGUCGAGACAGUGAUAUUUCAGGUUUUAUGAAGCCAUCACCUUUAUCGAUAUGUCCAUGAUAGAAGAGGACUACUGUAUAUAUGUCAAGAAGGCAGAGAAUGAGAUUUUGUUUCUCUCUCUAUACGUCAACGAUAUACUAUUGGCUGGAAAUGACAUGGAGUUAAUCAAUACCACUAAGGAGUGGUUGUCUCUCAACUUUGAAAUGAAAAACAUGGAUGAGGCGAGCUAUGUGCUCGGAGUGAAGGUCAUCCGUGAUCGCUCUAGAAAUCUUCUUGCUUUGUCUCAAGAAACUUAUAUUAACAAGAUUCUAAAGCAUUUAGGAUGCAUAAUUGUAAACCCAUUGACACUCCAGUGGAGAAGAAUCACACUCUGAGUCUUGAUCAGUGCCCUAAAACGGAUAAAGAAAAGGAGCAAAUGAGUAGGGUGAAAAGGAGCAAAUUAGUAGGGUUCCUUAUGCGAGUGCAAUUGGCAGCUUGAUGUACGCUAUGAUGUGUACUCGAUCUGAUAUUUGCUUCGCUGUUGGUUUGAUAAGUCAUUACCAGAGCAACCCAGGACCCAUUCAUUGGCAAGCAGUCAAGAGAAUCAUUUGAUAUUUAAAAGGAACUGGUGAUCUCCUUCUCUACUUCCAAGCUGGGGACUUGAGAUUGAAAUGAUAUAGUGAUGUUGAUUGGGGCGGUGAUAGAGAUGAGUACAGGUCCACCUCAGGCUAUGUGUUUGGAGGUGGGGUAAUUUCUUGGUACAGUAAGAAGCAGGGUUGCGUUACCUUGUCUACUAUGCAAGCGCCUUGUCUACUAUGGAAGCGAUGUAUGUUGCUUGAUCAGCAGCCGUUUAGGAGGCUGUUUGGCUGAGGAGAUUUCUUCAGCACCUCGACUUUGUGAUUCGAGCUGAUGAACCUGUUGAGAUAUUCUCUGACAGCAUGGCUGCCAUGGAGUAUGUGAAAGACUCCGAGUAUUAUGGCAGGAACUAAGUAUAUAGAUAUUCGUUUUCACUACAUUCGAGAUAUGAUUAGGCUAGGCGAGGUCGUUCUUAAACAUAUCUCCACCACUAGGAUGGUGGCUGAUUCGUUGACCAAGCCGAUAGCUAGGGAUAUGUUCCAGACCCACGUUAGGAGUUUGGGUCUUCGUAGAUUUUGAUAUAUAGACAUUAUUUUGUAUCUUACGCUUUAUUAAUGAAAAUAUGUUUUUCUCCUUUUAAUGUGAUUGCGUAAUUGAUACUAAUAGGCACAUAUUUGUUAAGUCACCAGGCUCAGAUUAGCCAACUUACACGGGUGAUCGCCCUAGCACCUAGGUGGUGAGCAGGAUGAGACUAAAUAAUCAUAUUAAACUUGAGUAGUUGUAAUAUGAUUACUUUGUUCAUAUACGUUAUGAAUGAAGUGUUGACAUAAUUUAAAAGUCGCCUUAAUUAGUUUAAGAUGAGACUCUUAGAGUCGGAUAUGAAAGUUUUUGUGAAAUUUCAUAUCAAGUCUGUAUAGUAGUCGAACCUAAGUGCUCAGGUUAGAGAGAUGACUUGAGUUUUGGUGGUUAGAUACCUUAGUGGUACCUAGACCAAGGUUCGUAUGGCGUUUUCUUUAGAGCGUGAUAUAACCCAUUGAGUGAGAGCUUCGCCAUAGUAUACAUAUCAUACUGUAUGUGCUUGUCGACCAGUUAGUAGAGUAACAUAAGUUCUUCCCUCCAUGUCACUGUGUGAGCACUAACCUUUUUUGUGCCCUCGACUUAGAACUACGUUAUGAAGUGGAGGUCCAAAGUAACUAACUUAGCGUGUAUCUCAAGGUCAUGAGAAAAUACGAUCUCGCGGAGCAUAUCUAGUAAAGUGCUUAGACCAAUAUGGAUUAACAUGAAGGGCUGAGGAAGAUGUUUCGAUAACACACUACGUAAGUUUUGUGACUCAUUGCCCGAGCGGUUAUCUCAGUUGUGUUACUUGAGAUAAUCAUGAGUACAAUAAAUAACUAUGGGGCCGAGCCUUGUCAUUACAGGAGAGGGACUUUGUGAUGCUUAAUCCGGUGUGUAUUGAAACGUCUAGGGCAUAAAUGAAUUUAGUCAGUGAUGUGCUAUGUUAGUUGGGUGGUGACUUAAUAUAGCACUCCUGCAUGUGUUUCUUUCGUCAGGUCGCACGCUUCAUUACCCGUAUGAAGAGAUAAAUGAAUGAGAGAGAAUUGGCCAAUGUGGCCAAUGUGGCCAAUAAGAAACAUAUCUUCUAGUGGAUAUCUAUCAUAUCCUAGUUCUUAUCCUAAUCUCUUUGUUAGAUUCAGGAUAUUUAGGGGUUCCGUUAUUCUAUAAAUACGUUCCCCUUUUCUCUCCCAUAAGAGAUGAUCGAAUACGAUCUAAUUCGAAAGAAUCCACGAUAAAUCCUCUUUCUUCUCUCUCUUUUUCCUCUCUGGGAUUUCCACCUACGUUCCUGGAGUUUUGGAGUGUGGACAUAGAAAGAGGACUCUGGUAGCCCUCUUCGAUUGACAUCCGUCACAUCAGAUCCGCAUCCAAUCCGUGACGUAAGGCGUACGCGUGGGAGAAGGCGAGAAACGUGGGAGAUCCAGAAGCAUUGAGACAAGGACGAUCCAAAAAGGCUUGUAAAACAAGCAAUCCGAUCCGAUUCCGGUUCCUGGAUACGUUGGCUAUCCGGUUUGUAAGUUUCCGUUGUCCUAAUAUUUCCAACAGCAUCCGAAUCCGGACCUGGUGAAAUAUAUUAUGCUGACAACCAGAAGACCGAUGUUGGUAGGAGGUGAUAGUCAAUAUAUUAUAUGAUGGUAGCAAUAUUGAAAAAAAGAUUAAAAAUAAAACUUACUCUUUCAUCAGUAGUAUAGAUAUAUAUUACUGAUGUGUCAAAUAUCAAUUCAAUCAUGCAAAAUAACUGUCGUCUUGCUGCUAGCUUUAUUCAAAGGACUUUUCCCUCAAGAACAGCAAUUGACCCAUCUUUUGAGCAUUUUUGGCACGAUUUCAUCCAACACUACUUUGUGCUUUUCAUUGAGGUAGUCGCGGCCAGGUUUGGAGGGAGAAAAAGAAAACAACAAAGUUUACUUGAUAUCUACUUUGGGAGUCCCAUAGAAGGAUGGCUCAGCAUCACCAAGGCUAGUUUUCCCUUAUAUCUUUCUCUUUGUUUAAUUUUUAGCUUCCUUUCUCAAACUCCUAUUCUGCUAAAUACUGAAUGACUCUAAAGAGGAGCGUUUCAAUAUCAUUAACCCAAAUAGGGAAGAAACAUGUUCCCUUUUUCCGUACUAGUGCUAAGGAAGCGAUUUCAUCCCAUUCUUAGGCCAAUCUUCUAGGUGGAGUUUUCUGUUUGAUAAGGGUUUCUAUGAGGUACUAUUCCUUUUCCAACUAAUAUUAAUCUAGCUUCUUCUACACUAGUACUGGACAAGAAAGAUAGGGUUUUUCUAGAGACUUGUGACAUUUUCUUUAUGAAGUAGAACCGUAUGGAUAAGGCUUUUCCCGGUUACGAGGCCGAGACCCAAGCAUUCCUUAAUCUUUUCAACGAAGGUUUCAACUUAGCUCGUGAAGAAUCAUUUGCAAUCAUCCAGGACCCGGACAAGGGUGAAUGCCUUGUAAGCCUACUUAAUCGAUGGUUAUCUCGGGAUCUCAGUACGCCCUACUACUUGGAUAUUGACAAGUUGGGGAAGUUCCAUGCAACCUUUGACUCUAUUCUCUAGCAUGCUUUUGAAAUCUUUCGUGGGGUAGAGGCCGCCAGGCAACAUGACACCAUUGUCUAACAGACCCCUCAAGGACUCUAAACAUCUAUACUUUGGACCUUUUUGUUGGAACAAAUACCGCAACAAAAAUCUGAUUGUAAUUAAAAUCUAACUAAUUUUGUAAUAAAGAUAAAAUCAAACUUACGGAUGACGCAAAUAUUCCAAUAAAGAUUUAAUCUUAUCCGGAAGCGUGCGAAGCACUGCCCUAAGAUGUAUUCCCGUCCUUACGUGCGGGAUUAACCGGAAAUAACACCCCAAGAUACAACCAGAAUUCCUCAUCCUGCGAGCACGAUCGUGAAGGAGGUUGACGGAGAUUCUCAACACCCAGUGGAUAAGGGGAUUGUUCAAAAAUGAAAGAUAAAAGAAUAAAUGGAUAGAGAUUAACCAAUGAUAAAAAAUCUUUACUGUGCUCUAUCUUGAGCAAGAAGAAAAAAAAAAACCUAAAAAGGAAAAGAGGAUUUUGCGCUUUUUCUCUUACGAGAAAGAAGCGGAACCUGCCCAACGUAAUGCGGAAGAAACGAAACGGAAAAUAUUCCAUUAGUUUCUUUCUCAUUAAGAAACAUAAUAAAAUAAUUAAAUUAAAUUAAAUAAAUAAAGUAGUAAAUAAAUAGAAUCAUAAAUAAUAAAUAAUAAAUAAUUUAAAGUUCACAUAAAAUAAAUUACGAAUUAAAAUCAAAUUUACUGAGUGUUUUAUACUAUGCAAUAGGUGAGGUGCCUUUAAGAGACUUAACCCCACUUAGUGUAAGCAGUUUCCAUCAGAAGGAAUCGGAGUGAACCAGGUCUUGAACUACGUUCCUUUGACCCUAACUUCAACCACCACACACACAGUACAGAAUUCUCCGUCGCGGGUCUGCGCGUUAAUGGCCAUGCACAGUACCUUGAUUUUUCAUAAGAGUUUCUAUGGAUAGCCCAUAUCACAUAGCCGCGGCCACAUACGGAUACUCUUAUGUAGGUGGUUUCCUCCAGGGAUGUGUGUAGAGUCACAUCUCGCAAAAAUUAUCACCUUGGAUCACAUUAAGAGCUCUCAGCUCAACCUAAUCCACUACACAGAGCACUACUCACCAUAGGGAUGGGAUUGGAGCUAAAACUUCUUUAUAAAAUUUGUAGAAAGUGCUCUUUUGGCCAACCUGAUAGCUUGUUUUACCAUAUUGAACCUUCUUCAAGAGAUCUCCUAUCACAAAGGUUGGAUUCUCACUGCAGAAAGGCCCUUUACGGGCAAAAUCCCAUCCCCCUCGAUGACAGCAGGACCAUAGCCCUCUUCAGGCCUUUCAUCAAGUAAUCUGCAAAAUUUCUGAUCAAAUCUGACAAAACUAAAAUAAUAAUAUCAUGAGAGGUUAGUCAUCUAAUAUACUUCUAUUUCAAUUUAAUAUGCCAGUUAACUUUAGAAUUUACUAAUAUUAUUUACAAGUUAAACAUUAGGAUAAACAAAAUGAAAUUACGAGAGCAAAUAUAAUAUCAAAAUUUAUCAAACUGAUAAAAGAGCUCCCUCCACAAUUUCUGAAAUACACUAAAAUUUAAAAUCAUGAGAUUUAAUCAUGUUGAAUAAAGUUUGAUUCAACAGCAAAUAAAUGUACCAAACAAUUUAAAUGUUUGAUUUCAUUUAAGUAAUCUUGAGCAGAUAUACACAAUCAAACACUCUUUAUGCAGCAAACAAAUUAUAAAUAGAGCUGAUACAGUAUAAGAGACAACACUAAUAAACAGGUUUGAUGGUUAGAGCAUUCAUUUAUAAAACAAGUGAACGCUAGUUGUCGAUUUCGAGUCCUACUUGAAGGGUUUUUUUUUUUUUUCAAAGGGUUUUAUAAUAGCAAAACUCAAACCGUACAUAAAUAGAAUUUUAUUUACUGUAGCAAAAAAAAAUCCACCCUUUUGGAUCCGUACGGUAAAAAAAAUUAAUAAUAAUAAAAAAAAGAUAAUAAUUUGCAGAUAAACAAUAUCCAAUUAGAAUUUCAAAAUGCAAAUCCCAACUUAUUUAAAUUUGAAUGACAAGCAUACAAGCAAGUUGUUAAAUAGAAUUAUAUGCAAAAAUAUAUGUAUAUAUUUUAAUGGAUUAGCACCGUUAGAUUUAAUCACAAUCAGAUAGGGAUAUACGCCUUAGAUUGUUGGAACAAAUACCGCAACGAAAAUCUGAUUGUAAUUAAAACCUAACUAAUUUUGUAAUAAAGAUAAAAUCAAACUUACGGAUGACGCAAAUAUUCCAGUAAAGAUUUGAUCUUAUCCGGAAGCGUGCGAGGCACUGCCCUAAGGCGUAUUCUUGUCCUUACGUGCGGGAUUAAUCGAAAAUAACACCACAAGAUACGACCGAAAUUUCUCCUCCUGCGAGUACGAUCGUGAAGGAGGUUGACGGAGAUUCUCAACACCCAGUGGAUAAGAGGAAUGUUCAAAAAUGAAAGAUAAAGGAAUAAAUGGAUAGAGAUUAAUCAAUGAUAAAAAAUCUUUACUUCCUGUUCUAUCUUGAGCAAGAAGAAAAAAAAAUGACCUAAAAAGGAAAAGAGGAUUUUACGUUUUUUCUCUUACGAGAAAGAAGCGGAACCCGCCCAACGUAAUGCGGAAGAAACUGUUAGUUUCUUUCUCAUUAAGAAACAUAAUAAAAUAAUUAAAUAAAAUAAAAUAAAUAAAGUAGUAAAUAAAUAGAAUCAUAAAUAAUAAAUAAUAAAUAAUUUAAAGUUCAAAUAAAAUAAAUUCAAACUCAAAAUUUUGAGUUUUCACCAACACUUUUCUCUUACCAAAUAGAAUCUAACAAGUGACAAAAUGAUUCCCUAGGCAGAGCAAUGUGUUGCAACCCUCAAAAUGGAGCUGGCCUCAAUUCGAUGUUGAUUGGCAAAUGACUUGCCGAGUCUUAACGAGCUAAAGACCGAUGACUUGCCCUAAUUCACAAAGGCAUUGAGGUUGCAACUUCUCCCUGAUCUCUCUCACGCUAUUGAUUUCGCUAGAGCAGGUGAAAAAUAAAGGCAGAGCAGGUGAAGAGUAUUAAAUAUACAAAUUCCGAAAUAACCAUAUUGAUUACUGCAGCUAUAUGUCCAGACCCAGAGCCAUGAAACUCUUUUAUGUAGUUUGCACCUUCUUGACUCCAUUCAGUAUUUCAACUAUAGGCCCUUUUCCUUUCUCCCAAUCGGCGAAAGAUAGUUUUUUGUAUCACUUUCUAUAUCCUUCUUCAAAAAAUAGUACCAAUUAUCCAUCCAGUGGCCCUAAGAAUUAUGCCACUUACGGAUAAAGCCAGAAAUUAAGAUUUGGGGGGAGGGAGGGAAUAUUUAGAUUUGACAGGGAAAAAUUUCGACCUUGGAUAGUAAGAAAAAAAAUUUGUCAGAUUCACUGAUUAACUAUUACUAGCAACAAUAGCGACAAUGUGCUCAAAGCGGAACAAGAUUGUAAGAGUUGAAGGGAAAGGACUAAGGGAUUCGAAAAAAAUUGGGACACAAGUUUUAUUAAAAAAAAUUAAUUUGGCCCCCCUAAAAUUAAAAAUUAUAAUAUUUUAAUUUUUAUUAUAAAGGACUUCUAUGUAAGUUUAAAAAGUUUAUGGAGGGCCAUUGCCACUGUGGGCCCCUCAAGGCUCCACCCUUGAUGCCACUAUUAAUUUUUUUCACUCCUUAUCUCUUUUGUUGUAGGCAAGGCAUGUCCUUCCGGCAGUUUGAUCUAUUGUCCUUCGAUAGAUUUGUCCUUUGGUAGAGUAUCAAAUAUCUGCUCAGUCAUUGAUAGUCGAAAGAUAAUGUUUGUUUUCUUUCGAGACUUUUAUCUUUUCUGAUCUCAAGGCUUUAGGGCCAAACAUAUGUAAAGAUGGCCUUUCAAUUAACUCGACUAUGCAACAUCUCACUCGGCCUCGUCCGAAUGCUCCUAAGAAUCUUCCUAUACGUUAGCCUCCUUAUAGUCAAGAUAUGAGACAUCAUUCCUCGUGAAUGUUCGAGGUCUGAUUUAUCUCGAUUUUCUUACUUGCGGCUAUAUAAUUGCUUAUAUUAGACAACCUGUAAGCCGAGUUAGAAUAAGUUGGGAAAUUCAAUCCCCUCAAAAUAAUCUAGCAACCAGAACUGCAGCCUGUUGAAGGCGAACUUUGUAUAUUAAACCUCGAUAUUCCUAGAUAGCGUUGUCCCUGGGCUGCUUUGAACCGUGCGAUGUAGGUUUCGAUCGGCUCAUUCGACUACUGUUUAAUAUUCGUGAGGUCAACUAUAUAUGGAGACCUCGAAUUCCACUCUGUAAAAUUGUAUUUGGAACUUACAUUCUGUGCCUUUCCAAUUUUGAAUCAAGUUUGUAGACAGAUUAGCAUACCAUGCGAAUAUGGUUUGUGUUAGAAACAGACUUAUACUACAACAGAAUUAGGUUAUAGGGACACAUGUUUGGAACACUUUUGUGUAAGUGUCACAUUUAUACCUAAAUUAUAAAAAAAAUCUACUAACAUCUAAAUAUAAAGCCUAAUCUAACCAAAAAUAAAAGGUUACUCUACUCAACCCACCCCACCCAGCACAUUCGACCCAAUUACAAAUAAAAAAGAAAAAAAUUUAGAAAAAUCGAUUACCAUCUCCUCUUCUCCUCUCACUCAAUCCACUAAAAUUUUAGACGAAGAGCCCUUCCCUCUCGUCCUCCUCCGCCACCGCAGCCAACGAGAUAGAGUUCCGGCGGUUGCUAAAUGCUUAAAUAAGUGUUGGUAAAUUAGCAGCACUCUUUUUAAGUUAUAGCGACACUCAUUAACUGUCACUAUAUACCUAGUGACCCUACAUAUAGCAACACUUUUCAAAAGUGUUGGUAAUUUAGCCAGCAGCACUUUUUUUUACUUAUAUCGACAUUUAAAAGUAUCGCUAUAAACCGUUUUUAUUGUAGUAUAAACAACUACAACUUUAAGGCCGGAUGGGCUGCGACUUUAUCAUAUUUUGCCACGAAACAAGCAAUGUGCUCCAAAAUAGAUUGGUUAUCCUCCUCAAGGAAUGUGGUAACUUUUAGCAUCUUGUAUUGCUAAACAUAGGCUAAAUAAAGGUGCUAAAAGCUGACUCUGGACACUCUCCGAGUGUUAAAUUAGUUGAACUAUGUGGCCUAGUUGCUCAAUCUGCUAUCAGAGAUCCUAUUAGUUUGCUAGGCAUUACGACGCUGAUCGAUCCUUAGCAGCAUAAACUGGUUGUGCUUGGCGUUAUUGCAUGCAGGGUGUUCAUAAUCAAAAUGAUUACAUCCCUCAUACUAAUUUAAGGGUUCCUAGUAAUCGAAUGAUUGCAUCCCUUAUCAAUUUAUGCAGAUUGAUCCUGGUCGUACCGUUGUACUAAGUAUAGCAUUCAUUUUCGAUUGGAGGUGACUUUGAUGGCGGCCACAUUGCUCCACCCACCAGCCAGUCCUAAGUACCAACAGGUUAUAAAUUCGGAUGGUAUCAAUCUGCCCAUACAUCAUAGGAAUAUAACCCUACCAAUUUGCAACCCUAGCUUGGCCGACGAGGACUGCUUAAGGCUGAUUGCCACCAGCAGUCGAAGGUUUGUUAUAGGCCAUGGGUAACUUGUGGUUGAUGGCAGCCACUUGUUCUGCAAGCACUAAAGUAUUCUGGCUCAUCUCAAUACCAUUGAAGGGCACUGCGUGGUGCCCUCUCUGACCAUCUUUAGGGCUGUAGCCAUGGACUGGACAGGCCUGGCCCCUAAUGUUAGGGCCCGUUUGGUUCGAGUUAUGUAAUAUUACAAAGUAUCUCGACAUAUCCAGGUAUCUUGGAUUUCGGCGUGAGAUUACUACUAAUGCUACAUUAGAGCGUUUGGUUUAAUACAGUAAUGUAAUACUAGAUUACAGUGUUUAUAACAUUAAUAUGUUUGGUUCAGUUUAUAAAAUUUAGUAAUCCUGACAUAAAAGUAUAGUUUUUUUCCAAAAUUGCCCUUGUUGUGGUCAUUUGAAUAUUAUUUUUUGCGGAAAUGACGAAUGGAGGGAAGGAGAUCGUGAUGAUUACUUGGGAGGACGACGCAAUAGAAGAUGAUAGGUGUUCGUGCGAGAGAGAGAGAGAGAGAGAGAGAGAGAGAGAGACGUCCAGAGAGAGAGAGCGAGAGAAAGCGGCGUGCGAGAGAGAGGGCCGGGGGGAAGGCGAGAUAGAGAUGGAAAUAAUGCUGUUAAUUAGAUUUGGGGUCGUUGGAGGGUAAAAUUGUCAUUUUACAUAAUAUGUAGUAUUAACGGGUUUCAGUAAUGCAAGAUACACGACCCCCCUCCCGUUAAUAUUUUCGAUGUAAUCCUGCUCGAUUUGUAAUCCUACAUUAACGACUAGAUUACAUAGCGGAUUAACCAAACAUAGUUAUCCUGGCAGGAUUGCCUGUAAUCCUGCCAGGAUAACUCGAACCAAACGCACCCUUAGGGGAAUGCUGCACCCCAAAUAGCCCUAGCAGCUCCAUUGCUACUAGGACACUUUCAGAUUCCACUUAUGAGCAUUUUUCUAGGAACUCCCAGAAUCUUUGAUUUUGCUCGAGCAUUUUUGAAGAUCUCUAGUUUAUGUGUUCUAUGAACGUCAGCAUUCAUGCCAUCAAUUCUGAUAACCCAGUAAGAACGACUACGAAGGCAUGUUUGAUAUGAUUACGGGUGGAGGUCAACUAUCGGCUUUUAAAAGAAACACCAAACCUGAUUGGCCAUCCGCAUCAUUCCUAAGAACUGUUUGGUUUUGUAGGCGCAAAUUAUUGGCAUCAUUGCUGGCCAAAGUAACUUUGUCAAAAGGUCCGACCGGGUAUGCCGACUUUUAAAUUGUAACGACCCAACCCACUAGCAAUAAUAAUUCGUUAGGCCCAGUCAACAGCCCAAAAUGCUUAAGCCCAUUUAUUAUUACUAGUGUCUAAUUCUUUUAUAAACCCAAUGACAACCCCAUUCCCAUCCGAUGUGGGACUAUUGGGGUGUCACAUAAAUAUUAGCGGAGGAAGAUCGUGACUAAACACAUGGUGUGUUCUGGUUUGUCCAUUAGUGCCUUGUACCAUGAUGUGUAUUAGUAAGGUUGGAAUUGACUUGGUAUCAAGAGAGGACAAGAGAGGAAGCAAUCUGGUCGGGUUCGAGCUCGAGGAAAGGCCUCGAGGUCUUCGCACGAACGAGCCAUAACCAUUCGCUUCUGCUUGAUGCUCCAUUGUUAUUUGGCUCAAAGUGGGAAUGCAAGAGCCGCCAGGUAGUAGUGGUUCUCAAAGUGACUAGACGACAAGGAUGAAGGCGUGCGACAUGGGGAAGUAUGUUCGUCGGCGAGGAUGAGGUAGUCUGACAGUGAUUGAAAUGGUGCAAUCAUCGGGAGUGAUAUUGUUGAGAGAUGAGUGGUAGUAGAUCGUCGAAAGCAAUAUUGUCGAGAGCUGAGUAGGGGGAGAUUAUAUAUUACGCUACCCGUAGAUUUCUUUUACGACUACUCUUAGGCUAUAUCACAACUACUCCCAUUUCUCGAUGCAAUGUGUAGAUUGGUAUCUGUGGCGUGAUGUUCAAAUUCCUCUCUCUAUAGUUUAUAGAUAUGCCGUCACGAUUGUCGAAUUAACUCUCGUGAUUCACCAACUUUCUUUCCUCAAUUGACCCUUAACUCCGCACUUAAGAUCACGCCUAUUUGAAUUUGGAAUCAAUUGAUUCAGAGUGGCUCAUUUCUCAAUCACCGAAGUGGAUGUGUUCAGGUGUGACGUCGAAAGUCAAGUUGGCCACUCUUCGGUAGGCCUCUUUGCCGUAGUCUCCUUUGGCGCUCUAUCCUAUCAGUAGCUCCUUUUCGGUGUUAACAUUAUCCAAAUGAAGGAAUCUGACUUUUUUUUAAACAUAAUUAGAGUAUUUGGACUUUUUAGCAAUCAAAUUUUAUGAUUUUAUGAUAUCAUUUAUCUAAUGAUCAAGUGGCACGUCAAAUUUAUUUUAUUUUAAUUAUUAAAAUUUGUCAAUUUUAAACCACUUAAAUGCCACGUAAAAUAUAAUUUAAAUAAAUUAUAAAAUUUGAAAUGCAAAAAGCUUAAAUACUACAGACCACGUUUAAUAGUGUUAAUCGCCAAUACAAUGCCCCAUUGUUGAAAUGGAUGCGAAGAUAUUCUAAUCCAGUUCAUAUUAUGUAUAACAUCACAUUCUUUAAUAUUGUAUCAUAAACUAGUAUAUUGUUUAAUAUUAUAUAUAUAUAUAUAUAUAUAUAUAUAUAUANNNNNNNNNNNNNNNNNNNNNNNNNNNNNNNNNNNNNNNNNNNNNNNNNNNNNNNNNNNNNNNNNNNNNNNNNNNNNNNNNNNNNNNNNNNNNNNNNNNNNNNNNNNNNNNNNNNNNNNNNNNNNNNNNNNNNNNNNNNNNNNNNNNNNNNNNNNNNNNNNNNNNNNNNNNNNNNNNNNNNNNNNNNNNNNNNNNNNNNNNNNNNNNNNNNNNNNNNNNNNNNNNNNNNNNNNNNNNNNNNNNNNNNNNNNNNNNNNNNNNNNNNNNNNNNNNNNNNNNNNNNNNNNNNNNNNNNNNNNNNNNNNNNNNNNNNNNNNNNNNNNNNNNNNNNNNNNNNNNNNNNNNNNNNNNNNNNNNNNNNNNNNNNNNNNNNNNNNNNNNNNNNNNNNNNNNNNNNNNNNNNNNNNNNNNNNNNNNNNNNNNNNNNNNNNNNNNNNNNNNNNNNNNNNNNNNNNNNNNNNNNNNNNNNNNNNNNNNNNNNNNNNNNNNNNNNNNNNNNNNNNNNNNNNNNNNNNNNNNNNAAAGGAAAAGGAAAAAAGAAAAGACAAAAGAGAGGAGAGAAAAAAUUUCGUUAACUUUUAACCCAUCUAACAGUGUGUUUCCUAUUAAAAGGAAAAUCCAUCUCAACCAUCUAUUUAGAUAGAUGGAUGGUGGAUGCCUUAAUAGCACAGGGGCUGCUGUGCUCUUAAUAACACAGCAGCCCAACUCACAUUAUAUAUAUAUAUAUAAUAUAAUGUUGUAUUUACGACUUUAUGGUUGAUAAUUUUACUUUCUAUUUCAGAAGAUAUAUUACUAUAUCCUUACUUUUCCAAGGCAAUCAAAGGAAAAAAAAAAAAAAAAAAAAAAAAANNNNNNNNNNNNNNNNNNNNNNNNNACUUAACCUGGAAAUAAACCCAAAGAUCAACCAGAAUUCUCUCCUGCGAGCAGUCGUGAGGAGGUGACGGAGAUUCUCAAACACCCCCCCCUGUGGAUAUGGGGAAUUGUUCAAAAAUGAAGAUAAAAGAUACAUGGAUAGCAGAUUAAACAAUUGAUAAAAAAUCUUACGUGUGCUCUUCUUGUUGAGACAGAAGAAAAAAAAACCUAAAGGAAAAGGGAUUUUGGCUUUUUUCCUUCGAGAAGAAGCGACUGCCCAAGUAGAUGCGGAAGAAACCGAAACGGAAAAUAUUCAUUAGUUUUUUCUCAUAUAAGAAACAUAAUAAAUAAUUAAAAUUAAAUUAAAUAAUAAGAGUAAUAAAUAGAAUCAUAAAUAUAAUAAGUAAAUAAUUUAAGUUCACAUAAAAUUAAAUUACGAAUUAAAAUCAAUUUCUUGAGUUGUUUUUACUAUCCAAGGUGAGGUGCCUUAAGAGGACUUAACCCACUUAGUGUAAGCAGUUUCAUCAUAGGAAAUCGGAGUGAACCAGGUUCUUGAACUACGUUCGCUUUGACCUAACUUCAACACCACAACAACAGUACAGAUCUCCGUGCGGGUCUGCGAGUUAAUGGCCAUGCAAGUACCUUGAUUUUCUAAGAAGUUUUUGGAUAGCCAUAUACUAGCCGCGGAAAUACGGAUACUCUUAUGUAGGUGUGUGUUUCUCCAGGAUGUGUGUAGAGUCGAAUCUGCAAAAAUAUCAACUUGGAUCACAUUAAGAGCUCUCAGCUAACUAAGCCAAUACACAGAGCACUACUCAUAGGGAUGGAUUGGAUGCUAAGAAACUUCUUUAUAAAAUUUGUAGAAAUGCGACUCUUUUGGCCAACUGAUAAGAUUUUUUAACGCAUAAUUGAACCUUAUUCAAGGAGAUUCCUAAUCACAAGGUUGGAUUCUCAACUUCAGAAAGGCCCUUUACAGUGGCAAAAUCCAUCCCUCGAAUGAAAGCAGGACCAAGCCGUAUUAGGCCUAUUCAUAAAGUAAUCUGAAAAAUUUCUGAUCAAAUGCUGACAAAGCUAAAAUAAUGAAUCAUGAGAGAGUUUAGUAAUAUAAUAUACUUCUAUUUCAUUGAUAUCAGUAUAAUAUAUAGAAAAUAUAUCAAUAAUAUUAUAUAUAAAGUUAAACAAUUAGGAAAUAACAAAAAUGAAAAUUACAAAAAACAAAACAAAAAGAAGAGCAAAUAUAAUAAAUCCCCACACCUAAAAUUAAAAAAAUGAUAAAGAGCUACCUCCACAAUACAUGAAAUAAGACUAAAAUUUAAAAAUCUGAGAAUUGAAAUCAUGUUGAAUAAAGAUUUAUUCAACAACAAAUAAAAUGUCCAAAACAAUAUUAAAUGUUUGAUUUCAUUUAAGUAAUCUUGAAGCAGAUAAUACACAAUCAAACAAAUCUUAUGCAGCAAAAAAUGUAUAAAUAGAGUGAUACAGUAUAGAGACAAUCACUAAUAAACAGGUUUGAUGGUAGAGCAUUCAUUUUAAACAGUAGAACGUAGUUUCGAUUUCGAGCCUACUUUGAGGGUUUUUUUUGUUUUUUUCAAAGCAGGUUUUAUAUAGCAAAAACUCAAACCGUAAAUAAAUAGAAUUUUAUUUACUGGAGGCAAAAAAAAUUCCACGCUUUUGGAUCCGUCAGGUAAAAAAAUUAAUAAAUAAUAAAAAAAAUGAUAAUAAAUUUGCGAAUAAAGCAAUAAUCCAAAUAUGAGAUUUCAAAAAUAGCCAAAUACCUCAAAUUAUUUAUAAAUUGAAUGGACAAAAGUUACAAUGCCAAGUUGUUAAAUAGAAAAUAAUAUAUGCAAGAAAUAAUAUGUAAUAUAUUUUAAAUGGAUUAGCACGUUAAGAAUUUAAUCACAAUCAGUAGGGAUAUACGCUUAAGAUUGUGGAGAAAAAAUUACUGCAACGGAAUAUUGAGGAAUUGUAUGUUAAUUAACCUAACUGAUUUUGUAAUAAAAAGAUAAAAUCAACUUACGGUGACGAAACUUUCAUAAAGAAUUGAUACUGAAUAUCGGAAGGUGCGAUGGCAUAAACAUGCCCAAUAGGAGAAAUUCAUGUCUUACCGUGCGGAUUAAUCGAAAUAAACACAAAGUAACGACCAAAUUUCUCCUCUGCGUAGUCGUGAAGGAGGUUGACGGAGAUUUCUCAACACCAGUGGAUAGUGGAAAUGUUCAAAAUGGAAAGAUAAAGGAAAUAAAUGGAUAGGAUUAAUCAAAUGAUAAAAAUCUUUACUUCUAGUUAUAUUGAGCAAGAGAAAAAAACAUGACCUAAAGGAAAGAGGAUUUAAGUUUUUUCUCUUCGAGAAAGAAGCGAACACGCCCAACGUAAUGCGAGAAACUGUUAGUUUCUUUCUCAUUAGAAUAUAAAAUUAAUAAAUAAAAUAAUAAAUAAAUAGUAAUAAUAGAAUAAUAAAAAUAAAUAAAAAUAAAUAAUAAUUAAGAUUAAAAUAAAAUAAUAUCAAAAUAAAAAUAUAUGGAAGAUUAUUCACAACAAACUUUUCUCAUUAACCAAAGUAAGAAUCUAAACAAGAGUACACAAAUGAUUCCUAGGCAGGCAGGAUGUUGCAAACCUCCAAAUGAAAAUGGCAUUCGAUGUUGAUUGGCAAAAUGAUUGAGAGUCUUAACGAGCUAAAGACCGAUGAAUUGAUCUAUUCACAAGGCAAUUGAGAGUAGACAAAUUUAUAGUCCACUGAUCUCUCUCCGCUAUGAUUUCGACUGAGCAAGUGUGAAAUAAAGGCAGAGAGUGAAAGGGAUUAAAUAAUACAAAUUCCGAAAUAAACAUAUGAUUACGCCAGACGGUUAUAUGUCCAGACCCAGAGCAUAACUCUAAUUUAUGUAAAGUUUGCACCUUCUUGAACUCCAUCAGUAUUUCAACUAUAGGCCCUUUCCUUUCUCCCAAUCGGCGAAGAUAGUUUUUUGCUAUCAUUUCAUUAUCCUUCUUAAAAAUUGUUACAUUAUCAAUCCAGUGAGCCCUAGAGAUUAUGCACUUCGGAUUAAGCCAGAAAUUAAGAUUUGGGGGAGGGAUGCGUUAUUUAGAUUUGACAGGGAAAAUUUCGACCUGCGCUUAGUAAAGGAAAAAAAAAAUUUUGUAGAUUCAACUAUUAACGAUUAUUAGCAUACUAUGCACAAAUGUGACUCGAAAGCGAAAAGAUUGUAAGGUUGAAGGGAAAAGGACUAAGGAUUCGAAAAAAAUUUGGGACACAAGUUUUUUAUUAAAAAAAUUAAUUUGCCCCUAAAAUUAAAAUUAUAAUAUUUUAGUUAUUUAUAAAGGACUUCGUAUGUAAGUUAAAAAGUUUAUGGGGGGCAUUGCCACUGUGCCUCAAGGUCCACCCUGUGCCACUAUUUAUUUUUUUUUCAUCCUUAUCUCUUUUUUGUAGGCCAAGGGCAUGUCCUUCGGCAGUUUGAAUAUUGUCAUUCGAUGUUUGUCCUUGGUAGGUAUCAAAUAUCUGCUCAGUAAUUGAUAGUCGAAAGAUAAUGUUUGUUUUCUUUCGAGAUUUUAUCUUUUUGGAUCUCAGCUUUAGGGCCAAAAAUAUGUAAGAUGGCUUGUCAAUUAAUGGACUAUCAACAUCUCAAUCGGCCUCUUUCGGAAUGUCUAGGAUCUUCCUAUACGUUAGCCUCUUUCUAGUCAGAUAUGAGACAUCAUUCCUCGUAAUCUUCGAGUCUUGAUUUAUCUCGAUUUUUCUUACUUGGUAUAUAAUUGUUAUAUUAGAAACCUGUAACGCCGAUUAAUAAGUUUGGGAAUUCAAUCCCUUCAAAUAUCUAGCAACCAAACUGAGUCCUGUUUGAGGCGAACUUUGUAUAAUUAACUCGAUAUUCGGUGGAGGAGGUAGCGUUGUCCCUGGGCUGCUUUGGAACCGUGCGAUGUAGGUUUCGAUGGACUCAUUCGACUACUGUUUAUAUUGUGAAGGGUCAACUAUAUAUGGAGACUCGAAUUCACUCUGUAAAAUUGUAGUGUAGGAAUUAAUUCUGAGUGCUUUGACCAAUGUUGAAUCAAGUUUGUAGACAGAUUAGCAUACCAUGGAAUAUGGUUUGUUUAGAAAGACUUUAUACUACACAGAAUUAUGGUUAUGGGUCACUGGUUGACAAUUUUGUGUAAGUGGAAUUAUACCUAAUAUAAAAAAAUGUAUAACAUCUUAAAAUAUAAAGCCUAAUCUAACCAAAAUAAAAGGUUACUUACUCAAACACUCCACCCGCACAUUCGACCCAUUAAAAAAGUGAAGAAAAGAAAAAAAUUUAGAAAAUCGGGAUUACAUAUCCUCUUUCUCUCACUCAAUCACUAAAAUUUUAGACGAAGAGCCUUCCUCUCGUCCUCCUCCGCACGCAAGCCAACGAUAUGGUUCGCGGUGCUAAAUGCGUUAAAUAGUGUGGUAAAUUUGCAAGCAUCUUGUUAAGUUAUAGCGACACUCAUUAAUGUCAUAUAUAGCUAAGUGACCCUAACAUUAGCAACACUUUUCAAAAGUGUUGUAUUUAAGCAGCGCACUUUUUUUACUGGUAUAUCGAAUUUAAACUUCGCAUAUAAACGUUUUGAUGUAUUAAGAAAACUACAACUUGUGAAGGCGGAUGGGCUGCGAUUUAUCAUAUUUUGCCAACGAGACAAGCAAUUGCUCCAAAAUAGAUUGGUUAUCCUCUCAUGAAUGUGUAAGUUUAGGAUUUAGGUAUCUAAACAUAUGCUAAUAAAGGCUGUGAAAGAAGCGAUCUGACACCUCGCGUGUUAAUUUAGUUUAAAAUAUGGUGGCCUAGGUUGUCAAUCUCUUGCUAUCAGAGAUCGCUAUUAGUUUGACUAGGCAUUCGACGAUGAACGCAUCGCUUAGCAGGCAAUAAGACGUGGUUGUGUUUGGCGUUAUUGAUGCAGGGUGUUCAUAAUCAAAAAUGAUUAUAUUCCUAUAGUUAAUUUAUAGGGUUAUAGUGAAUUCGAUGUAUUGGAUCCCUUAUCAUUUAUGCGAUUGGCCUGGUCGUACGUUGUGAACUAAGUAUAGGCAUUCAUUUCGAUUGGCAGGUGACUUGAUGGCGGGCCACAUGUGCAAAUCACCACCAGCUGUCCGUAAUUACAAACAGGUCUAUAAUUAUCAGGAUGGUAUCAAUUGCCCAUACAUCAUAGGAAUAUGAACACCUACCAAUUUGCAACCUAGCUUUGGCGACGAGAUGCUUAGGCUGAAUAUGCACAGCAGUUCGAUGGUUUGUUAUAGCCAUGGGUAAUGUGUGGUGAUGGCCAGACACUAUGUUCGUGCAACGCAACUCAAGAGUAUUUCUGGGCUCAUCUCAUACCAUGGUUUGAAGGGGCACUGGUGGUGCUCUCGAAGCAUUUUAGCGAUGUAGCCAUGAGAUGGACAGGCUGGCCCCUUAAUGUUAGGGCCCUUUGGUCGAGUUAGUAUAUUUACAAGUAUCUGAGAUAGUCCAGGUAUUUGGAUUUCGGCGUGAGGAUUGACUGAUAAUUGCUAAUUAGAGCGUUGUGGUUUAAUAGUAAUGUAAUAUAGUUUACGUUAUACAUAAAUAUGUUUUGGUGUCAUUAGAAAUUAGUAGAUCUGACUAUAAAUGUAUAGCUUUUUUUUCCCAAGAAUUGCCCUUUGUUGUGAGUCAUUUUGAGAUAUUAUUGGUUGCGAGAAGAUGAGAGAGAUGGAGGGAGUAGAUCCCGAUUACAGUCCAUUUUCGUUCAAAAAUAAUGAUAUUACUUGAAAGUGGAACCACAUACAAAGGGCCAAUUUUGGAAAAAAACUAUACUUUAUUAAAUGUCAGAGUUUUAAUUUUACAUGAACCCAAAGAAUGUUAAGACGGGACGACGGAUAGAAGAUGAUAGGAUGUUCUUCGGGCGCUGAGAUGGAGAGACAGAUCACCGGAGAUAGAAGAGAGAGAGAGACGGGAGACGUCCAGAGGGAGAGAGCGAGAGAAAGCGCGGACUGCGAGAGAUGCAGGCGGGGGGUAAGGCGGAAUAGAGUAUGUGAAAUAAGUUUAAUUAGAUUUCGGGCUCGUUGGAGGGUAAAUUUGUCUUUUACAUAAUUGUAUUAUUAAGGAUUCAGCUAUUAGCAUAUACACGAGGGGGGCACCCUCCCGUUAAUAUUUUCGACAUAGAUAAUCACACUGCUCGAUUGGUAAUCAUAACAAUUAACGACAUAAAAAUAAAUACAAAUAAAGCGGAUUUAACAAAUCAUAGUUACCUGCAGGAUUGCCUGUUAAUUCCUGCCAGAUAACUCGAACAGAACGCACCUUAGGGGAAUGUGCACCCCAAAUAGCCUUAGCCAGCUCCAUUGCCUACUAGGACAUUUCGAUUCACUUAUGAGCAUUUUUCUAGGACUCCCAGAAUCGUUACUGAUUUGAUCGAGCAUUUUUUUGAAAUGAUACUCUGUUUAUGUGUUCUUGAACGAUGUCGCAUAAUCCAUCAAUUAUGAUAACCAAGUAAAGAACGACUACGAAGCGAUGUUUGAUAUGGAUUACGGGUGAAUGGUCAACUAUUCGGUUUUAAAGAAAACACCAACCUGUGGCCAAAUCCGCAUAAUUCAAUUUAAGAAAGUGUUUGGUUUGUAGGACAGCAAAAUUCAACUAUGGCAUCAUUGCUGGCCAAAUAACUUUGUCAAGAAGGUGAAAAUGGCGACCGGGUUAUUGAACGAGUUUAAAUUGAUAACGAAACCCAUAGAAAAUAAUUGUUAGGCCCCAGUCAACAAAGACCCAAAAUAGCUUAGCCCAUUUAUUAUUACUAGGUCUGAAUUUCUUUUAAAAACCAAUAGACAAACCCCAUCAUCAGAUGUGGGGAAUUGGGGCUGUCACAGACUCCCUCCUCUAAGUCACUGAGGUCCUCGUCAGUGCCAAAUCACACCAGCCCAAGCGGAUCACCAGCGCUAUGUUGCAGACUCGAAUAUCGCUAGCCGUCAUCCAGACCCUGCUCUAGCCAAGAGACUCAGCAACAUGUUCAAUGCGCGUGAACCAGCUCUGAACCACCAAUGUAAACGACCCAGUACCCAAUAGUAAUAAUAAUCGUUAGGGCGCAGUCAAGCCAAAAUGCUUAGACCGAUAAUUAUUACUAGUGUCUAAGUCUGUUAUUAAACCCAAUGACAACGCCUUCCCAUCGAUGUGGGACUACUUGAGUCCGCGGCGUCGGGUGUCAACCGAAAAUAUAGCGGGAGGCACAGAUCGAUGGGACUAAACAUGUCGUGUUCUACGGUGUCCAUUAGUGCCUGUUGUACCAUGAUGUGUUUAUGUAGGUUGAAUUGACUUGGUAUCAAGAUUGAGGACAGAGAGGAGCCAAUAUGGUCAUGGGUUCUGGGACGCUCGAGGAACCGGCCAGUCGAGCGUCUGGUCGCAGCGAAGAGCCAAAUCCAUCGUUUGCUUGCAUGCUCCAUUGUUAUUGGUUCUAAGAAAUGGAUGCACAGAACGGCCAUAAUAGUGGUUCUCAACAGUGAUAGACAGACAAGCAUGAAGAGUGGCGCACAUGGGAAGUAUGUUCGUCGGCAGCAACAGAUGAGCUAGUCGACAGUGAUUAAUGGUGAAUGAUCGGGAGUAUAUUGUUGAGAGGAUGACGUGGUAGUUAAUCGCUCGAAAGCAAUAUUGUGAGCGAAGCAUGCACAGCUAGGGCGGAAGCCAUCUACACUAUUACGCUUACCCGAUAGACUCUUCUUCUUAGCGUACUUUUAGGCACUAUCGCACAACUACUCCAUUUCUCGAUCCAAUGUGCUAGCAGACAUUCGGACUCCUGUUGUGGGCGUGAUGUUCAAAUUCCCUCUUCUAUAGUUCUAUAGACUAUGCGUCACGAUUGUGAUUACCUUUGACUGCACCAACUUAUCUUUCCUCAAUGACCCAUUAACUCCGCCCAACUUAAGAUCACGCCUUUUGAAUUUGGAAUCAGAUUGAUCAGCAGUAAGGCUCAUUUCUCAAUCCCAAGUGCCGAUGUGUUCAGGCAUGUGACGUCGGAAAGUCAAGUUGGCAAACUCUUCCGGCUAGUACUCUUUUGCGUACGUCUCUUUGUCGGCUCUAUACUCAUCAGUAGCUCCUUUUUCAGGUAGCCGCGUAACUUAUCAAAUGAAGAAUCUGACUAUUUUUCUCCCUCCACCAGACAUCCUCUAGGCUAUUUGGCCACUUUUUAGCAAGUCAAAUUUUAGUUUUAAUGAUAUCAAUUUUUUAAUCAUUCAAGUGGCAGUCACAUUUUAUUUUAUUUUAAUUAUUAAAAUUUGUCCAAUUUAAACACUUACAAUUGCCACGUAAAUAUAAUUUAACACUAAAUUAUAAAUUUGCAAAUGCAAAAGGCUUGAAAUAAUCACAAGACCGCGUUUAAUUGUUAACUCCCCACUCCCACAUGCCCCAUUGUGAAAUGGCCCAUGGAAGAUUUCUAACUCUAGUUAAUUAUUUACCUGCUUAACUAACCCAUAGCAUUCUUUAAAUUGUAUCAUAAACUAGCGUAUAUUUAAUAUUAUAUAUAUAUUAUAUAUACUACUAUAAUAUAUUAUAUAUUAUCUGCUUUUAGAGGAAAACCAACCGCGUCUAGAUGCCAAUGUAUAAAAGUUAACCGGACUUUUUCUCUUCUUGUUUUUGGUCUUUUUUUUUUUUUUCCUUUUCCUUGUCUACUUCCCAGCGUUCCUCUUCCCCUUUUUCUCUCUUUUCUUGUUCUCUCUCUCUCGCACUCUCUACUUGACCACGUUAAAUACUCCCCUUCGUUUUUCUCCCAAUCUAUCUCCCUCUCCUCUCCCUCUCCGUUCCUGGAAUAGCUGGACAUUUCUGUUCGUAGAAUUUUUUCCGCUCGUAGAACUUUGAACAAUGCAGACAGGCAAGGGAGCUGCAGCGGGGGUCGGUCCGGAGAGAGUCCAGCGCCCUGCGCCAGGGCCGCGCCUCGGAGUGAAAGGUAGCGAAGGUGGGCCUCCUCGCGCGGCUUGGGUGGUCCUGCAGGGCGCAACAAGGGGGCUAGGAUGGUCAUCAAGGGGUCGCGUAUUCGCGGGGGGGGAGGGCGGGCGGGGUGGACUCCAUGGGUCGGUCGCGCCGUCAGGGGUCCGCCGCGCGGGGAGUACGCACUGUUCGCGGGGGGUAUUUAGGGAAUGAGUGACCUGCAUUUGUCGGCAGGGUCCCACUUAUUUGCCUAUAAUUCUCUCAGAACGGUAAGAAGUUUCGAUUUUAUGUCUAGGGGAGGGAGAGGAGAUUUGGACGGAGAAUGUAUUGUUAUUUUAUUUAGAGAAGGAGAGAACAAUGACCCUGUGUGCAACGAACCUGCCCGACCCGUGGUAGUCACAUCCCGCGCUCAGUGCGUGACGGACAAGUCACCACGGAGGAGACGCUACUCAUGCAAGUAGAAUAGGACGGACCAGACGAUAGAGAGAGGAGGGGCGGGCAUGGGGGGAGAAGCUGGGAAGGAGAUAAAGGAAAAGAAAAAAGAAAAGACAAAAAGAGAGAGGAAAAAUUUCGUUAAACUUUUUAAACAUACUAACAGUUGUUUCUAUUAAAGGAAGAAUCAUCUCAACCAUAUUUAGAUAGUGGAUGGUGUAUGCUUAUAGCACAGGGCGUGCUGUGCUCUUAAUAACAACUAGACCAAGACAUCCUAUAUAUUAUUAUAUUAAUUAUAAGGUUGUUAUUGACGUUUAUGGUUGAUAAUUUUCAUUUCUAUUCAGAAGAUAUAUAUACUAAUCCUUAUACUUUUCCAGAGCAUAUCAAAGGAAAUAAAAAAGAAAAAACAAAAAAAAAUAAAAACACUCUUUUAUUUUCUCUCUCUUCCAGCCAGACAAUAUGGCUUAACAAGAAUACUUAUUUAUUUUUGCGUGUAAAUUGCAGUUUGUUACCUGAACUUUUGGUGAAAUUUCAUUUCCCCUCGAACUUCUAAAAAUACUUAACUUUUAAUAUAUUUAUUUCGAUUCAUGUUACCAUUCCGUGCGAGGUUUUGUCAAGGUCGUUAACUGGAAACUAAGCGGAUUAGGGGUAAAACGAAUGAAAUAUUAGCGUUCCUAUGUUAAGAUGUUGUUUGUUGGGGGUAAUGUGAAACUCGUCAAAGUUCAGGGUUGUGUUUGUUGUAGUAACAAUACAAUUUACCAAAUUUUACGUAUAAAUUUGUGGUGUGUGUUAUAUUUGUGUAUUUAUUGUAUUUGAUGUGUCAAUUGGUGAAAUAAAUACAAAAAUUUUUAUUUAAGUGUAUUUAUGGUGUUGGUUGGUGAGUAUAUACAUAUACUUUUAAAGAUAAAAAGGGGAAAACGAGUAUCUACAGAAAUUUCUGAGAGAAUUAAAUAAUCUCUAUUAUGCGAAUGAGGACACUAUUGUAAAUCAACCAUAAUUCGCUAGUACCCUAUUCGUAAAUACACAUAUUAGAUUAGUUACACCAGGUCGUUAUGAUGUGUUCGAGUAUCGUAGGUAGUUAGUAUCACUCUUUUUUUAUCUUUAAGCCACUCUAAUUCAUUUCUUUCACUUUUAUUUUAUUACAAUAAAAUGUAGGAUAAAUUAUGAUAUGAUUUAUUUUAUGAUAAAAAAUAUAUAUAAAUUUAAAAUCAAGCAUGAUCACUAACUUGAGGAUUAGUAGUCAAUCCAUAAGUAACAUAUCAUAAUAAAAUAAUUUAUAGUCAAGAGUCCCCUAUGGAGUAAAUUGCAUUACUACUUUCUGAACUUUUGGCGAGUUUCACUUAAGUCCCAAAACUCUUAAAAUAGACAUCUAACACCCUAAACUAUAAUAUUUCAUUCGUUUUACCUCUUCCGUCAGUUUCCGGUUAACGGAGCAUGACGGAAAACUGACGGAAGAGAUAAUAUGAACGAAAUAUUAGAGUUUAGGAGGUUAGAUGUCUAUUUUAGAAAUUCGAGGAGCAAAGUAAAAUUUCGCCAAAAGUUCAAGAGAUAACAGUGUAAUUUACCCUUUAUUUUUUAGUCAACCAAACGUGAGCCAUGGGAAAGUUUCUUAUUCUCUUCUUGGAAAAUAUUUUGUGUCACGCGCCAAACACUUUUAAGAGGAAUCUAAACCCUUCUUCGUUACCGAAUCCCACUUUACCGUUACCGAAUCUGACCAAUUGUUGGAUAUGUCAUCCACGUAAAUCCACUAAUCAAAGCCGGUGCUUACUUUUGCUGUUUAAAUACCAAUAUUACCCUCGCGGAAUUUUUCCAUCUUUUUUUAAUGAGUAUUUCUUAGUCCUUUUGAUCUGCGGCGCGUUCACACGUGGAUUCCCGUGCAAAACGCCUACGCGUAGCGUGGCAUCUUCGUAAAUAAAUUACAAAGACAAUCCUUUUAUAAUACUAUUUCCAAUUCCGUCAAGUCAAGCCUUGACGGCCAAGCAACUGGGUUGAAACGUAAGGAUAAUCCCUCUAUAAUUCUGACUUACAAAAUUGGUCCCUAAAAACUACUAAUUUUAAAAGUAGGGCUACUAUACUCUUAUGCGUAUUAGGCCUUUCGUACUCAUAAGUUAUUUUCGAUGAUGAAGUUUUUGAAUUGACGAUCCAUUCUGUUAAAUAUUAUCUAGAAUAUUUGAAACUUCUAAAAACUAAAUUUCGUAAUUGUCAGGGCCAAUAAUAAAACGCGAAAUGGUAAGUUGGUGCACCGAUCAAUUAGGACUCUCAGAAGUUGGAAUUAAAUGGGUUUUUGGUGCACCGGGAGUAAUAAAGGAAUUAAUAGCAUAACUGCAGGGCAUAACUGCAAACGGUUAUGGACAGUUUGGAUUGGCUCGUAGUGACCCGCAAAAAUAGGAAAGUGACCAAUCGUGAGCAAUAACUGAAUAAUAACAGCGGAAUAUAAAUAGGCAAAUAACGCCUGAAAGAGGGGUCUUUUUUCCGAGAACAGAAUACCACUUUUUAUUUUCUCUACAUUUUCUUUGCAUUUCUAUGAGUAGUAUACUUGUAGUCUUCCCUUUUCCGCAUCUACUGUUUUCCUUAGGAGUAGUUCUAGGUUAAAUCUCCAGAGUCUGUAUGUCCCAAAGAUACACUCUCCUUUAUACAAGUUUCCAAACUUAAUUUCAAUAUAUAAAGUGUCACGACCUGCGACCACCCGCCUAUUUGGACGAGGUCGCGGCGCCGCCGACAGACCGCCCAACGGACAGAGUUUUCCCUGUACGUUCUAGGCUUCGCAAUCAAUACAAGUACAAGAAGUUCCAACCAGGAAUAGUAUUCAAGCAAGAUUGCAUAAGGAAGAUAUCAAACAACAUAACAUACCCUAUGUUAUUACAAACAGGCUUUCGACUAUUCAGUCGACCCAAACUAUUGUGCAUUUCAUUCGUUCGGCUCAUUCAGCCGAAUCUGUUCUACAGUAAAGGGUUUUUGAACUCAGCUGAUCCAAUCUCUCAUCAGCCGAAUCGUUUGAUCUGUCGAAAAGCGCAAACUUCGAGGGUCAUCACGUGAAGCCGUAUUUAAUUCCUGUGUGUUUCCCUAGAAAAGCCUUUGACCAGGUCAAGGGUUGAGAAAUUCGGCUCAUAGUAAUUUCGAAAUCAUAAUAAAGUCUGUUAAACGGGCAUAAAAUGAACGGUCAAAAUCGAACAAUGUUCUAAAAAUGGAUGAUAAGAUCCUUCAAUUUAAGAUUAGAGUUAUUGAUCGUUAUCUAGAUAGUGAAUAGAAUUUUUUAUGAAAAAUUCAAUCUAUUCCAAUUCUUUUACACUGUUAAACUAUCAAGUAUUCCAUAACAGUUGUUAAAAAUUGUCAAUUUUGUGACCUUUUAAUCAUAAGGUAAAUGAUGUUGAAAAAAUUAUGAAAUUUGAUUUCUAAAAGUUUUAAAUACUUUAGAUAACGUUUAACGGUAUGGAUCGUCGAUUCGAAAACUCUAUUAUCAAAAAUGACUUAUGAAUACAAAGGCGAUCGUACUAGUAAUAAUAUAGUAGCCAAAUUCUUAAUUUUAAUUAUAUAUAUAUAUAUAUAUAUAUAUAUAAUAUUAAUAUAUUAAUAUAAGAUAGGCUAGUAUGCUUAUGGAAGCACGACCCUUCGUGCUUCACUUGUUUUCGAUGUCGGACUUUCGACAUCGAGAUCAGGCUCCGUUAGAGUUGAUCUAGAGUAUUUAAGUAUCUAGAAAUAAAUUUGUGAUUUUUCGAUAUCAUUUGCCUAGUGAUGAAGGGCUCAAAAUCAAAAUGUUUAACGCCGUGGUGAGCCCGGUUGCAAAUUUAACGUGUAGAAAAUCCAAAUCACAUGAAAUUGAUAGAAAAUUCUUUAUACCAUAUAAAACAAAUCAAUAACUUUAAUCUAAAAUUUUAAUUCAUAUCAUCAUAUUUUGUAAAUUUUAUUUUCAGCGUUGAUUUUGAGCUAUUCGAUUACUAGGCAAAUGAUAUCAAAAAUUACAAAUUUAUUUUCUAGAUAACUUCAAAAUCCCAGAUCAAGUCCAUAACGCGAGCCGAUCAUUGAAUUCGAAAGUCCGAACAUCGAAAACAAAGUGGAAGCACGGAGCGCUCCGUGCUUCCAUAAGCAUACCAGACGCACUCUAUAUAUAUAUAUAUAUAUAUAUAUAGAACUAGGCUGGAAUACUAUUAAUAGCACCAGUGACUUGGUGCUAUUAAGUUUUCUGCCUUUAGAUUAAAAGAUGUGUGGUUAGGAUGAUGAUGUGAUCCCAUUAGGGUUGAGUGGGUAGUUGGUUGAAUAGUAUAAUCGAAUUAAUAAAAAUGAUAAAAGAGGUAAAUCUAACGGUAGAAAAUUUGAUAGCACCAAAUGCUUCGUGCUAUCGAUAGAAUUCCAGCCGGACUCAUAUAUAUAUAUAGUGCUAGGCUCCUAUGUUUUCGAAAGUACGGGAGCCUCUGUACUUGUAAGUUGUUUUCAAUAAUGGGGCAUCCGAUUCGGCGAUCGGUUUCGUUAGAUAUGAUCUACGCUGUUGGAACUACCUAGAAACCAAAUUUCAUAAUUUUUUAAUUUCGUUUGUCUAGUAAACGAGUAGCCUCAAAAUGAACGGCUGAAAAUAAAAAUCUCAUAAAAAAACAGUGAUAAAGGACUCAAAUUUCAAAUCGAAAGUAUUGGUCUUACUAUUGAUGUUAAGUAGAAUUUUCUAUUAAAUUUUCAUCUAAUUUGGAUACUUCUACACCGUUGAACUUAAAAACGUGCCACAUCGGCCAUUAAAAUAGUCAUUUUUGAGACCUUUUGAUCGCUUGUUAAAUGGUGUCAAAAAAUUAUAAAAUUUGGUUUCUAAAUAGUUCCAAUAGAGUAGAUUAUACUUAACGGAGCCGAUCGUCGAAUCAGAUUUCCUAUCAUCGAAAACAACUUACAAGCACGGAGAUCUCCGUACUUUCGAAAGUACAGAAGACUUACUCUAUAUAUAUAUAUAUAUAUAUAUAUAUAUAUAUAUAUAUAUGGUAAAUUACAUUGUUAUCCCCUGAACUUUUGGCGAAGUUUCACUUUACCCCUCGAACUUCUAAAAUGGACAUCGAACGCCCUAAACUCUAAUAUUUCGUUCAUGUUACCCCUUCCGUCAGUUUUCCGUCAAGCUCCGUUAACCGAAAACUGACGGAAGGGGUAAAACGAAUGAAAUAUUAGAAUUUAGGGUGGUAGAUGUCUAUUUUAGGAGUCUGGGGGGUGAAGUGAAACUCGCCAAAAGUUCAGGGGGUAACAAUACAAUUUACCCAAAUUUUUACUAUAAAUUAUUUUUAUAUUUUUAUAUUAAAAAUUUCUAAUUGGCUGAAAUGAAGUACAAAAAUUUUAUUUAAGUGUAUUUUAUAGAACAAUACUUCUAAAGAUAAAAUGGACAAUGAGUACUACAGAAAAUUAACUGAGAAUUAAAAUCUCUAUAUCCGAGUGAGGACACCUAUUGUAAAUCAACCAUAUUAGCUAGUACACCAGGAGUGUUCGAGCAUCGUAGAUAGUUUGUAUCGCUCUUUUUUUUAUCUUUAAACCACUUUAAUUCAUUUCUUUCAUUUUUAUUUUAUUACAAUAAAAUGUAGGAUAAAGUAUGAUAUAAUUUAUUUUAGGAUAAAAAAUAUAUAUAAAUUCAAAAUCAAGUAUGAUUACUAACUUGAGAAUUAGUAGUCAAUCCAUAAGUAACAUAUUAUAAUAAAAUAAUUUAUAGUCAAGAGUUCCCUACGAAGUAAAUUACACUACUUCCUCCUGAACUUUUGGCGAGUUUCACUUAACCCCUCAAACUCUUAAAAUAGACAUCUAACACCUUAAACUCUAAUAUUUCAUUCGUUUUACCCCUUCUGUCAGUUUCCGGUUAACGGAGCUUGACGGAAAACUGACGGAAGGGGUAAUAUGAACGAAAUAUUAGAGUUAGGAGGUUAGAUGUUCAUUUUAGAAGUUCGAGGGGUAAAGUAAAAGUUCGCCAAAAGUUCAGGGGGUAACAGUGUAAUUUAUCCUAUAUAUAUAUAUAUAUAUAUAUAUAUAUAUAUAUAUAUAUAUAUAUAGAACUACUACACUCUUAUAUGAUCACAUUCGUACUCAUAAGUCAUUUUCGAUGAUAAAGCUUCCGAAUCGACGAUCCAUACCGUUAAAUAUUAUCUAGAGAAUUUAAAAUUUCUAAAAAUUAAAUUUCAUAAUUUUUUAAAAUUAUUAUAAAGUCCAUUAAGCAGGCAUAAAAUGAAUGAUUAAAACUGAACGACCUUCUAAAAUUAGAGAAUCGAAUUUUUCAAUUUAAAAUCGAAGUUAUUAAUCUCUAUCUAAAUAAUGAAUAAAAUUUUUUAUCAAAAAUUUAACUAAUUUCAAUUUUUGUACAGCGUUAAACUAGCAACUACUCCAUACUGCUGUCAAAAGUUGGCAACUUUGAGAUGUUUUGAUUGUAAGGUACAUGAUGUCAAAAAAUUAUUAUAAAAUUUAAUUUCUAAAAUUUCAAAUGCUCUAAAUAAUAUUUAACGAUAUAAAUAUUCGAAACUUUUCUCAUCGAAAACGACUUAUAAAUAUAAAGACAAUCAUACUAAUAAGAGUAUAGUAGCCGGACCCGAUAUAUACUUUUAAAAUUACAUAUUUAUCACUAUAAAUAUUUUAGCUAUCAAAUAAAUUUUUUUAAUACUCUAAUAUUUUUAAGUUUGUUCUUAGUGGUUGACAAAUGAUGCGACUGUUAAAUUUUCACGGAUUGUAUCAUAUAUUAUGUCCUUGUUAAAAAUAAAUAGUAUUUAUAAUUUUUUUCUUAGAAUUUAUAAUUUACGUGGAAUGAUAUGAACAUCAUAAUAAAAUAGCAAAAAUAAUAACUAAUAUUAAGUAUAAUUUAAAAAUAUUUAUUUAAAAAAUGAAUGAUUAUUUUAUCAAAGAAAAAAUUAAUUUUAACCUGUCAAUUAAUUACUAGGGAUGUACUUGCAACUAGUGCAAUUUUGACGGAAUAUAUUUAAUUAACUAAAACUGUAUGCAAUUUUAUUAUAAUUUAGGAAUACAUAUGCAAUUAAUUCUCAAAUAUUUGCAUGCAUGUGUGUGCAUGCCUGCGUGUGCUUGUCUGUAUUGCAUUUUACCCCUUAACUAUCUCAAAAAAAAAAGAAAAAAGAAAGACUAUUUUCUUCACAUAAAAUAAUACUCAAUAUAUCCCUCAACAAUAAAAAUGACUUGAGAACUUUGGUUUAUUUCAAAUAAAAUUAAAAUAUAAUUUGCAAAAUUAUUUACCAACAUAUAUCAGAAAUUAAAGUGCAACACAAACAAAAACUAAGAAAUUGAAUUAUAUUUAUCCGGAAAGUACACCACCGAGAUCAGGAUGUUGGGAUUUAAUUUGGCUUGAAGUCGUCGGUUAAGUACUAUGAGACUUUAGAUUGGGUUGGACAAAAAUUUAAGAUUAAAUUAUAGAAAAUUUUCUUUUAAAUAUCUAUUUUUUGGCUUAUUAAAAUUUUAGAUAUAAUUUCAGAGAAGUACAACCUUAAUAAAGAGGGCAAAAUGAUCAAUUAUUUUUAUUUUUCUACAAAAAGUAAAAGUAAGUUUUUAAUAUAUUUCUUUUAUUUUGAAGGAUAUUUUCAGUAUAAAUUAUAAAAAAUGAAUGGAAUAGGGAUUACGGAGAGGAGCUAAAUGCAAUAACUUAAUAUGUUGAAGAGCGAGGUAAAAUGAGUCCAGCUACUAAACUCUUAUUAUGAGUACGAUCGUCUUCGUACUCAUAAAUCGUUUUCGAUGAUAGAGCUUCCGAAUCGACGAUCUAUAUCGUUAAACAUUAUUUGAAGUAUUUAAAACUUCUAGAAAUUAAAUUUUAUAAUUAUUUGACAUCAUUUAUCUUACGAUCAAAAGGUAAAAAAAUUGACAAUUUUUAAUGACCGGUACUAUGGGAUAUUUAUUAGUUUAACAGUGUAAAAGAAUUGGAAUAUGUUGAAUUUUUUAUAGAAAAUUCUAUUCACUACCUAGAUAAAGAUUAAUAACUCCGAUCUUAAAUUGAAGGAUCAGAUCAUCUAUUUUUAGGACAUCAUUCGAUUUUAAUUGUUUAUUUUAUGCCUGCUUUAUUGAUUUUAUUAUGACUUUGAAAAAUCACGAAAUUUAUUUUUUAGAAGUUUCAAAUACUCUGAAUCGUAUUUAACAGAAUGGAUCGUCGAUUUGGAAGCUCAAUAAUUGAAAACAACUUAUGAGUACGAAGUGCUUAGAGCUCUAUACUCAUAAGAGUAUAAUAGUGAGGUAAAAUAUAGAUUUUUAAAAGUUAAGAAAAAAAAAGCAAAAAUAAGUAUUUAUAAGGAGGUUUUUAUAAUUUAGUCAAAAUUUAAUGAGAAAAGAAGUGUCCUUUCAAUAAGACUAGGCCAAUUUGCAUAAAAAAUCUAUUAGUUUUGAGUUUUUACAAAAAUGAGCUGUCUUUUUGGAUUUUGUAGAUUCGGACCGAAUUUUCAGAAGGAUGACCAAACUACCACUCUUUCAAAAUACAUAAAAAUUACAUGCUUUAAAUGCAUAGAAAAAUACAACUGUUAAACCACUAAAUAUCAAAUUUCUUGGAAAUUACAACUGCUAAGCCAUAAUUAUAUAGAUCUUCCUCGUGAAACGAGAAUUCUCAUUCAAGACAAAAAAAAAGGAAUAAAGUUUAAUUAAUAAGAUGAAAGAGUGCAGCAUUCUCUAAAAUAGUACAACAUGUUCUUCCAAGUAGUGCAAUAUCUAUAUAAAUAGUGCAACAUAUUUAUUGUUAAUGCACAUUUUGUAUGAUUUUUAUACUAAAUUAUGUAUAGUUUAGUAUAUUACGUGAAAAUAAUAUAAUAUAUUAGAAUAUACUAUAAAAAUAAUAUAAUAUAUGCAUAAACAGUGCAUAUAUUACACUAUUUGUACAGAUAUUUACACCAUUUGUGUAAACGUUGCACUAUUAUAAGAGGAUAUUACACCACUUAGAUGUGUAUUGCACUUUUUCUUUUUGAAAAUUAAAUGUCAUUACAUAUUAAAUGAAGUGUCAAAUUUUUUGGAAAUGACAACUGCUAAGCCAUAAUUACAUAUACCUUUCUCGUGAAACGAGAAUCCUCAUUCAAGACAAAAUAAAAAGAAUAAAAAAUAAUUAAUAAGAUAAAAGAGUGCAACAUCCUCUAAAAUAGUGCAACAUGUUUUUCCAAGUAGUGCAAUAUCUGUAUAAAUAUUGCAACAUAUCUAUUGUUAAUACACAUUUCAUAUGAGAGAAUCUUACACUCUUUUAUCUUAUUAUUAUUUGGAAGAGCAUGUUGCACUAUUUGAGAGAAUCUUACACUCUUUCAUCUUAUUAACUAUUUUUUAUUCUUUUUAUUUUGUCUUGAAUAAGGAUUCUCGUUUCACAAGAAAGGUACAUGUAAUUAUGGCUUAACAGUUGUUAUUUCUAAAAAAUUUGACACUUUAUUUAAUAUACAAUGAAAUUUAAUUUUCAACAAGAAAUAGUGCAACAUACAUCUAAAUGGUGCAACAUUCUCUCAUAAUAAUGCAACGUUUACACAAAUGGUGUAAAUAUCUGUACAAAUAGUGUAAAAUACUAAACUGUACGUAAUUUAGUGUAAAAAUCAUGCAAAAUAUGUAUUAAAAAUGUAUAUAUUGCACUACUUAUACAAAUAUUGCACUAUUUAGAAGAGUAUGUUGCACUAUUUGAGAGGAUAUUAUACUCUUUAUCUUAUUAAUUAUUUUUUAUUUUUUUAUUUUGUCUUGAAUGAGAAUUCUCAUUUCACGAGAAAGGUACAUAUAAUUAUGGCUUAGCAGUUGUCAUUUCCAAAAAAUUUGGCACUUUAUUUAAUAUGCAAUGAAAUUUAAUUUUCAAAAAGAAAGUGUGCAAUACACAUCUAAAUGGUGCAACAUCCUAUCAUAAUAGUGCAAUCAAUACCAAUACAUUAAAGGGCGAACCGAAAACUGCUUCUACAGUUGCUCCGCGUUUUCGGUCUGGGUCCCACUAUUUUCGGCCUGUGGGUCGCUCCUGUCCACCUUUUUGGUUCAUCUCUUUCUCUUUCCCCCCUCUCCUCUUCGCCUUUUCGGCCUGUGGCCCUUUUUACUCUUCGCUUUACCAUCUGACCCGUGGGCCCCUUUUUCCUGGCGCCUCCCUUUAUUUCGGAAGUAGGCCCCAUCAACCCUUUCUCAACCAUCUGAGCAGUAGGUCCCCUACAUCUCUCCCAAGUCCCGACACAGCCUUUCUCUCUCUCUCUCUACGAACCCCUACUUUUCCUAUAGGAUCGCCCCUCCUUCUUCUCCGCCAGAUCCCGGCGAUCCCAUCAUCCGAGAUCCGCGCCGUGCAUGGAUCACGGAGAUCUUGCACCCGUCGCUUCAGAUCGGUCGGCCGAUCCCGGAAAUCCCGCGCCGCCGGCCGUCAACUCAGGCCGAUCCAUCGCCCCGUACGCAAAUCCCAGAGAUCGCGCUGCCACCGUCACCCACGACGGCCGAUCCCAAAAAUCCCGCGAGAAACCUCGCUUUCGCCGUCGCAUACCCAGGAUCUGGAGUUGCUAGGGUUGCUUUUUGGGGCGUAGAUUUCACAUAUCAGAUGGAUAAAAAGGAUUAGAUAGGAGUUUGGAGUGUUUUCUAGAAGUCAUCAUACCUGUAUACAAUAUUUUUUCCUGGGCUUUGAAAUUUGCUCUAAAUUUGAAGAAAAUGUCCUAUUUUUGUUGGUUGAUUGGUCCUUUGCCUAGCAGCUUGCAUUUUGUUGCUUCGGAGUGGAAUUAUGGAUUUGUUGUUUAUUGUUUUUGAGAUAACUUUUAAGAAAUUCAGCUGGCAUGGUUUUCUGAUUGGUUCUUAUUUCUCUACCGCAAGAAAUUGUCCGUAAUAUUUUAUGCUAACUCUAUUCUGUUCACCCCUUCUCUAGGUGGGAAACAAGAAGGAGGUGUUCACAGUGGAGAUAGAGUUCACCAUACCAGCCCAGAUUCGAGGUGAGCAGGUGUGACAAAGAAAAGGGAAAAAGAAAAGGGGAAUUACUAGCGGAAAUGUAUCUAUGUGAUGUGUGUUUUGGUACUAGGAUGCUGUGCUAUAUAUUAUUUAGAUACAAAGAACUGUCGAAGGGAAGAACGCUUUCAUACUGUAUAAAGCUAUUAUUCUUUGAUUAGCUCUCCUAUGUUUUGAUGUAUACUAUUGUUUACGAAAACUAAUUUUUAUGGUUAAGUUGACAGAGAAUGUUAUUUACACAGUGGCGUUUUUUCUUCAAGUGUUAGUGUCACGCCCGGUUACCAGCAGAAGCAUAUCCGGUACGUGCACAGACCCGCCAUACACUUGCAGUAUAUAAGGCGUCUACAAAGAAGCAAAUCGAUAGGAAGAAAACAUAGAAAAAAUCCAAUCCUGAUAUCAGAGCAAAGUAUAAGUCAAUAAGACCAUCAUCAGAGGAACAAGGAGUACACAACCCAAAAUCUCAACAUCGUAGAGAAAUAUCAAAACUAUAAUCUCUGGUUCCCAACCACAUAUACAUCACAAGGUACACAAAAAUAUAGGUACAGUGGUGGUCUCUCUAUACACGGGGACAUCACCCUCGGCCGUAGCCCGAAAAGCAAGGUGAUCAUCUAGUCAAGCUCCAAUGCUAGAUCUAGCUAGACACGACUCCCUUGCCGCGAUCCCUAGCCUCUCAUGUAAGUGGCUCUGUAAAAACAAUAAUAAAAAGGGCGUGAGAACUAUUAUCCAAUAGUUCCCGGUGGAUAAGCCGCCAGCCUCGGCGAAUUACACCACUAGGCUCAUGAGGUAUUGAAUAAAAAUAAAAGCAGUAAUUGCAUGAUAUAUCUAUACUGUUAAUGGGUAAUGAACAUGUAAUCAACAUGUAAUCAUACUUUCUGAAGUAAUGAAUCGACUGAAUAAUAAAAGCAUAGCAACUGCUGUAAGCAUGAACAUAACAUGAACGUGUAAGUAAAUACUGUACGCUAUAACUGGUAAUCAUUCAUUACUGUCAUUUCGAACUUUAAUUGCAUUCAUAAGGAUCUACACAAGGUAGUCCAGCUUGCGCCGCGCCUAAUGGCCCCGUGGUAGUAUGCACUCCCCACGGCAAUCCACUUCGGCACCGAAUCCCGCACGGGCGAGCAUCUGUCACGUAGGCCAACUCCGGAGCGCCGGCUUGUAGGGAGCUACCCUCACAAGCGUGUGCGAAUGAGCACGAUGGCAAGCAAGCAAAGUCCAUAGCCCAAUAUGUCUCAAUCAUCAUGUCAUAGUACACUUUGUUCUCACUCUCGAUCUAUUGAUCGGAAUUCUCAAUAUGAUAAACAAUAAAACUUGCUAAUAUCCACUAGAUUAGUAAUAUAUAAAAGUAAUGCCAAUUUUACAUAUUGCAUUAGAAACUUCUCACUAUUCAUAUACUAUCAAUAGGGUCAAGAGAAUGUCAUUGUUCUCUACUUUAUAGAAGCAUAAUAAACUUAUCUCUUGGUUAUUCAAUUGAACUAAACAAGAAUACUUUAAUGCAUGAAUACUUUAUGCAUGAAUACUUUUAUGCAUGAGUUCUCUCUAUUUCAUAGAGGUUUCAUUACAAUAUUUCAACCGAUGCGGCGACGAUGUUUCAAAUCCUUAUCAAUCACAUAAUCAUAAAAUGCACCUAUGUACCAAAUCUAUAGUUACAUAUAGAACAUAGGGGAGCUUCACUUGCUCUGGUUAGGUCAAACCCACCUAGCACUAAGCUCGAUCCAGCCCCAACUGAUUCCCAAAAGUCAGCUCGCUAGGUCUCAAACCUGCUGAAAACUGAGUAUCAAAAUCGCAUUGAAGCGAUGGCCAAAAUGUCCGAAAUCGGCAAAAUUCUCACUUAGUACAUAGUAGUAACUUAAAUCCCUGUUUUGGUUCACUUUAGUACCUCAAGUUUAACCUCCAAAAGCUCUCACAAGUUAGUCGAAGAUAAUCCAACGGUCGAUUGCAACCUUGCUGCGAGUAAUCACCAAACGGCAUCAAAACACUUGUAUACUAGUUAAUAUAGUCGGAAUCUUACGUAAUCAGUUUUCUAACUGAAAUUUCUGCUUACCCUUGGUUGAAACACCUUUCAAACCAGUCCCCCAAGGUCACCAAUUUAGCUCAAGGUGGUUUGGAAACCUGCUGUGAAGAAACAAUUCCAAACUGCAUCAAUUUACUCGCUUAAACCUCGUAUAGCCGAACUAGAGUCAUAGAUAACUAAUUACCUUUAUCAAGCUUCAAAGCAGCUUAUCCUUGGUCUAAAGUGGAUAAAUCAGAGCUAACUAACUCCUCUCUAGCUGCUGGAAACUCCUUCUAAUUCAGCUGGGAGCAAAGAAACUAAAACAACUCAAAUUCCGAUACUAAACUUCAAAUUAGAGAAGUCUUAAGCGAAAUACCUAUCAAAAGCUGCAACUCAGCUUCCCCUGGUGAUAGGACCUCAGAAAUUUAGUAAGAAUCCUUCUCCCCACGUGCCAAAGACUUUCCUUGAGUCUCCAAACCAACGAACAUCGAGCGGAACGCGGAAUCGGCUCGAAUCGGCGACUUCUACUCGAAAAGAGAGAAACCCUAGAGAGAGAAAAUGAGAGAGGUGCAAGAACACUUCUCUGAGCUCUAGCAUCAUCUAAGGAGCUCCAGAGGUCGUGCUGGGGUCAAAUAGAUAGGGACAAGGAGUGAAAUUACAAAACUAGCCUUACUGUCACGUAUCUGCCAAUGUGUACCGGUACACAAUGAUGGCUGUACCGGUACACAAUACAGAAAAUGCUGAAUUUCGCCAGAACAAUGCACUUUCAUGCUUCUGGCCUUCCAAUCACUCUCAAACUUGUCCAAUAUCUUCUCUAAACCCUUUAGAAGAUGUAGGUUAGCUACAAAUAUCCUUCCACACACUUGAACUUCGCAAUUUGCGUAAGUUCAGUAUAUUACAGUUAGUGGUCUCUAGAUUUUAAUAGUUUGUCCUUUGAGAAACUAUUUUGUCAAAUAUAGCCGCAGCAUAGUGUUAGUGGUCUGUAAACUACUUAGCUAAGCUUGAAUAAUUUCAUUGAUGAGCUAUCUAAUUUUACUUGCUAGGUACUCCUUGCAAGAUCACUUGCUCCGUCUUCUACUGCUAGGCAUACUUAUACCUGGUAUUCUACUUGCAAGUGAAAUUUGUUUCUUUAUUAAGCUUUCUACGAAAUUGAGUGUGCCAUAUAAAUGUGAAAUCCAAAAAAGUACAACAAGUGUAAGCACGUUACGGGAAUAUAGUGAAAUUUGUUUCUUUGUUAAGCUUUCUAUAAAAUUGAGUUUCUUGCCAGAAACAAAGAAGCGAAGUACUGAAAUUUAGUUUCUUUGUUAAGUAGACAUUUGUUUCUUUGUUAAGUUGCCACCUUUGUUUCUUUGUUGAGUUGCCGCAUUUGUUUCUUUGUUAAAAUUGAGGUUUCUAUAGAAAUUUGUUUCUUUGUUGAUUUCUUUGUUAAGCUUUUAAUUUAUUUUCAUAUGAGAUUGAUCGAAGUUGGGACAACUGCUCAUUUGGCUUUCUUGCCCAUAGUCCUUUGACUAAAUGAAGUUCUCAGGCUGUUACCUCUCCUCUGUUAUCUGCUAUUUUUCCUUUUUUUUCGUAAAUAAGUUUUGUUAUAUAUGGUUGAGUAUUAUCAUCUACGCUGAGUUGCGCCCUGUGUAUCGAGGGGUAUUUCGGAGGUCGAUGUUGAGAGAGAGGAUGAAUGUGGGAUGAACUGCAAUCAUGCUAUCUACAUGAAGUUUUAUAGAGAGUGGUAGAAAUUUCAACCCAUUUCAUUUUCACCUUUUCUAAUUCAUUAUACCUUUAGUUAAAUUUUCUUGAAAUUACAGGAUACGAAGGUUCAUGGUGAACUAUAUAUUGCCGAUUCUGUUUAUGAUCAAGUAAGAAUUGAUUGUUUUUUACCUUGCCACUCAUUGGUUUAUGUACUAUUUGUUCAAUAAACAGUCUUUCUUAUUUUCUUGCUUUUUUCAGAUUUACUAUUAUCUUAACAUGUUUGAAAACAUCGAAGUGAGUUGCUGAUCAUUUAUUUUAUAUUUGAUUGUUUUUUUUAUUUGUUUGUAAGCCUCAUGCACAAUUCACAUAAUCCCUUCGAGAAUCUAUUAUAUUAAAUCCAAACAUGACACAUAAGACCCAAUAUGAAUUGGGCGUUUGAGUCAAUAUAAUUCAUCAAAUUAAAGCGCACUUGAUGAAUUAUAUUGACUUGGAUAUUGUACACUUUUUAUAUUGCACAUGAAUCUAUAAGGGAGUCAAAGAAAGUAUUGUCUCCUCUAUAGAUUUGAAUAUGAUUCAUUAACAUUUCUAACAAUGUAGCACAAAUAUUAUUUUCUUCUGUUGUUUAACAUUUAUUGUUGUGUAUUCACUGUAAAUUUUGCCGUCCGCCGCGAAGCACGGGUACUUAACUAGUAUUUACAUAAAUGGUGUAAAUAUAUAUACAAAUAGUAUAAAAUAUGCACCGUUUGUACAUGUAUUGUAUAAUUUUUAUAGUAUGUUGUAAUAUAUUAUAUUAUUUUCGCGCAAUAUAUUAAACUGUACGUAAUUUAGUGUAAAAAUUAUGCAAAAUGUGUAUUAACAAUACAUAUGUUGCACUAUUUAUACAGAUAUUGUACUAUUUGGAAGAGUAUGUUGCAUUAUUUGAGAGAAUGUUUGUCACGCCCCGGAUUACUCGAUUCCCCGGACGUGCCGACAAAUCCGCCGUAUACAUAGGAAUUUCUCCUGUAUACGAAGCGACAGCUGUACCUGUAAUCCAACAAUACUACAAGCAGUAGUAUAGAGCUGCUAGGAAAAAGAAUAAACAAGUAUAUAAUAAUAAUGGAUCAGUACAUACACAAUAUCCAGGUACAAAACUCUUGCACCAGCGAGGUAUAACAUCAGUAUGUAAUGAACCAAAAAUUACAACUACCUGUAGCUGGUACUCCACUAGCUAUGGCUCGUCUGGUAGGGCUCUAACUCGUGACGCCCUUGCCACGAUCAAGAUCAGUAGCAGCAGCAGCAGCCGAAGACGACGGCUCUGCAAAAUGAAAGGAAACAACUGAGCGUGAGAACUACUGUAAAAACAAGUAGUCUUCAGUGGGUGCCGCCCUCAAAAUCAUCGGCCCACCCACUAAGUCUACAGAAGUAAACAAGUAUAGUAAGAAAGCUGAAUAAAUUUACGGCUAUAUGCACCUAUACUAUCUCGGUCGAACACCAACACUCUGUAGGAAUAGUAAAGCCUGACCCAAUCUCACUAGGGACUGUGAACACACUCGUCUCGCCUGUCGAAGCUAUAAAAUCUGACACCAAACCAGGUCGUCAAUGGAGAGCAAGUCCAACCAGGACCAAACGACACCAACGCAACAGCACAAAGCCCAACUCCGGAGUGGCACUCGUGGGCGCUACCCAACCGAGUAUGCAAACGUGUCUCUGUUGAGCUCAAUCAGGCUCUCACAGGCUAUAGUCAAGUAAACAGGGUCUCACAAUUGAACUCACGUGCCCUCGGCACAAUCUGAUGCAACAACAACAAUCUGGGUCCACCGUCAACCCCAACGGCACCCGACAAUCUCGAACAGCCUAAUCACUGCUGUAAAAUUACACUCGGCACUUCAGCACGAGCGUAAAUACAUUCUAAGCUACCCUGGGUAUCCACUGCUCGAAUACUGCGGUGAUACAAACAAAUCACGGCUCCUAGAGCUAAAUCAGGUAGUUUAAGUAUAUGACAUGGUAGAAUCGCGGAUUUUCUCCUAAGUCAUAUCCAAGUCUAACAUGUGCAAGUAUAUAUAGUCCAGUAUUAGGCACCAAUUCAGAUUUUGUAGAUAAAUAUAUUAAAUCCAUGAAUCGAGCAAUAUCCAUAUGCACAACAACACAAUGAACACAUGUCAACUACAUAUACACUUAGAAGGUAAUCGAUAAUUAACCCACCUCAAAAGCUACUCCCAAUCCGGCGCGAAGUCGAGAACGGCGGAACCACACGCUCGCCCGGCCUCCCCACGACGCUACCACGACGAACGCACGCUCGAACGGCACCGCGGCGCGACGUCGGCGACGAUCCAAGUCCACCCGAGCUCCUCCAUCCACGCACGGCUCAAGAGCAAGAGAGAGAGAGAAAAGCCAGCAAGAAUACUCUCUCUCUGCCUCUCUGAAGGUAUAAGAAGAAGAGUAGGUGAGAGUGACACGAUCGAGACAUGAAAAGACCAAAAAGCCCCUUAUCUACGUGCGGUUGUACCGGUACACGUGCGGUUGUACCGAUACAAAUGGCAACCCAAGAGCAGCUGCGCGGAAACAGGUGUAGUGUACCGGUACACCUCUGAUGUUGUACCGGUACAGCAAGCAGAAAAUCCUACAUUUGUAGGUUUUCAGGUUAACCUCCUGCUUGCGCGUCGCACUGAGUCUGCUUUGCGUCUAUUUCGCGUCAACGCGACUCGGACUUGUCCCGACACUCUCCCAACGUGUCGACAAGCCGCAGAUGCUGCCUUCCCGGGAUACUACAAUGUUGCACUCUUUAAUUUUAUUAAUUAUACUUUAUUCUUUUUAUUUUGUCUUGAAUGAGGAUUCUCGUUUCACGAAAAAGGUACAUGUAAUUAUGGUUUAGCAGUUGUUAUUUUCAAAAAAAUUUACACUUAAUGGCUUAGCAGUUGUAUUUUUUUAGGCAUUUAAAGCAUAUAAUUUUUAUGCAUUUUGAAAGAGGGAUAGUUUGGUCAUCCUUCUGAAAAUUCGGCCCGAAUCUACGAAAUCCAAAAAUGCAGCCUACUUUUGCAAAAGCGCAAAACUAAUAGAUUUUUUAUGCAAAUUGGUGUUAAAAAAAAAUUGAUGAUCACUUCCCUAAAUUCACUCCUUCACUAUCUCCUACUAUUCCCUCUAUUUCUACCACUUUCUCCACCAUUCCCUCCACUUUCUCACCAUUCCCACCACUUUCUCCACCAUUCCCUCUACUUUCUCACCAUUCCCUCAACUUCUCCAUCACUCCCUCCACUUUCUCCAUCAUUUACUCCACUUCUCCAUCACUCCCUCAAGUUUCUCCACCAUUCCUUCCACUUUUCCUCCACUUCCUCCACUUCUCUAUCACUCCCUCCACUUCUCCACCAUUUACUUUUCUCUGCACCAUAAACCUCCACCACCCUCUAUCUAUAUAAAGAGAAGUGAACAAAGAAAAAAAGAGAGAAUUCUACUCACAAAAAAAAAGAGAGAAAAGAAACUUGGAUAAAAAAAAUGAGCCAAAUAGAAAGGUGGGUUUAGAUUCUCUCACUUUCAUUUUUUUUUUCUCCCUCUACUCUCCUAGUCAAGGCACUCCAUACAUUGAGCUUUCUACGCACACCGGGCUAUACAUGCCGUCAUCAACCUCUACUACGCCGGGUCAUCGUCAACCAAUAAAAGACGACCGCUCGUCGCCAUUCCUACACCUUUGCUGACUGCCGUUGCCCCGUCGUCGUUGAUCCCGGAGUGGUGCACGUUCCCUUUUGCUAGUGUGGCGUCAUCAUCGACCAAGGAGGUGGCCAUCCGCCUGUUGUUGCUGCGCCGACGACAACGACGGUGAUGAUCCGCUUGACGCUUCGUCGUCGGCGGUAAAGGCGGCGACGGCAACGAUGGCGGCGAUCUACUUGACUCUUCGCCGUCGGUUGUAAAGGCGUUGACGACAACGACAAUGAUCCAAUUGACGCUUCGCCGUUGGCAGUAAAGGCAGCGAUGACAAUGACAACGAUCCAUUUGGCGCUUCGCCGUCGGCGGUAAAGGCGGCGACGACAACAACGACGACGAUGAUCAUCCGCUUGACGCUUAGCCGUAAGCGGUAGACGACGACAACGACGACGAUGAUCAUCCGCUUGACCCUUAGCUGUCAGCGGUAGACGACGACAACGACGACGAUGAUCAUCUGCUUGACGCUUAGCCAUCGGCGGUAGACGACAACAACGACGACGACGAUCCGCUUGACACUUAGCCGUCGGCGGUAGACGACGACAACGACGACGAUGAUCAUCUGCUUGACGCUUAGCUGCCAGCGGUAGACGAACGACUAUCCGUUUGACGCUUAGCCGUCGACGGAAAGCUCCAAUCAAAUUAUUGAUUGUCGCUAUUUUUGAAUUGGCUUUGUCAAAAACAAGCUGUGCAUGAUGGAUAAUUUAUGUGCACAUGCCAAGUGUUAGACAAAAUGCCAAAAAGAAUUUGUGCAUAGCGCAUUGUUCAUGUACGCGUGCUAAGCGUUCGAUGAAACACCAAAAAUGGUGUGCAUAUAACAGAAUGUCAAAGGAAACUUGAGCAUGCUGCAUUGUUCAUGUACGCGUGCCAAGUAUUCAAUGAAAUGUCAAAGGCAAUUUGCACAUUACUUGUGUGCGUGUCAAAUGCUCGAUGAAAUACCAAAGAAAGCUUAUGCAUGAUGCAUGACCGACAUUGUUUGGAGAAAUACCUUGAAAAGGAGAGAAGUAGAGAGAUGAUAAUUGUCGCUUUUCCUCUUUUUCAGUUGUUUUAAUUUUUGUACACCGAUGUACAAGAGUAAUAAAAGAAAUGCAUUCUGUUUUGCUAAGUAUCAUAAUUGACCAGCUUAAUCGGAGGUUGUCUAAAUAUGAAUAGGCGUAAUUAAUUAGAAAUCUUUAUGAUUCCUAAGGAGUAUAGAACCUUUAAUCUCGGUUUUUCAACAUAUAAUCCUCUCAUCUAAUGCAAACGCUUUUAAAUUUUUAACUCUUACAAAAAUGGCGACUUCAUUGGGGACAUACUCCUCCUCCCAUCUUUGCUGGUCAUAUGAUAAUUUAUUCUUCUGCUUCGUACUAUUACUAAUUAUUGUAACAUUUUUGUGCAGGAGGAAAAGCAAAAGCACAAUUCGAAAUGGCAGCUAUUACAAGCUUUCAAAUCCAAUUUGGAUCAUUUCCGCCCGUUGUCGUCGUAUGGUACGGGGAUGUCAACGUGAAGACUUUUGAACAUGCUAAGCAAUCAGUUAAGUAAGAAAAGACUCAUGGUUUUAAGCAACAGACUGAUAUGCAAAAGUCGAACUCGAGUGGCUCAAAUCAUUUUGUCAUGAUUCGAAAACAAACAAUGAAAGCCCCAACAAAAUCGUAUCCUAAGAACAUAAAGCUUGGGGUAUCAACAAAAACGGCCACUUCAAACACCAAUGCUAGGUGCUGGGGGCAAGUUUCUAGAGUUGACAAAAUUCGGCAAGCUUCCUAUAUAAGAAAGGCAAAGGGACCCAUGAUUGAUAAUGUGUCUCUACAUUGGGGGCCUCAUAUUCUAAGGGUAAUUACUCAUCCCAAAAGAAACAAACGAUGCAUCAAGACAAUCAAUCUACAUGCCAAACUCAAAUGAAAACUCAAGCCCUUCAAUUAACAUGCUUUAUGAUGUGAAGAAAACAAGCAAUAGAUUUGCCGGUCUUUCAAGAAAUACUCCAGCACCGCAUAUUUCCAACUUCAUUCAACUUCAUGCUCGGCAAGCAUCAGAUGUUCAAAGAAGCAAUUGGCUUAACAAGUCUGCAGCACAAGUGUGAAAUGAACGAAGAGCUCGGAUGCGACAAUACUGUCGACAACAAACCAAUAUUCGUCCAACUCCUUUGAGGUUCUCUUGUUUCACUACUGGAGCCGACUCUGACCAGGGGCAAGACUCUGAUGCCAAUGAGAACGUUGAAAACCUUAGAAGGCUAUUUGAACUACCUCAAGAUCCUGAAGAGUUGAGGCGUAUAGCUACAAGGCCAGGUCUUAGAACUCGUCUUCAAACAGCUGCUUGUGAAAGGAUAGCUGUCGACAACCCUGAUAGGCUAGCAUCGCAAGAAGAAACAGAAGGAAUAGAACAUCAAAAUAUCAAUACAGAGGAAGUAGCAACAACGUUGUCUUCCUCUCGCCGAGCUGAUGUAGUAUUUGCUACUAAUAUGGCUGAAGAAGCAAAUACUACUAAUAAUGAGAUGCAAGUUGCUCAACGAGAUGAGGAACUUGAACAACUUAAAGGGCGAGUACAAAUGUUGUGCGACAUGGUUCAGCGCCUAGUUCAACAAUCCAGACCUGAACCAUCCCACAUCGAACAAAUUGGAAUUUCAGCAACUCCGGCUGUUGAAGUACAAGGGCAUGAUAGAGUGGAUACAAGGGAGCCCCAAAUUGCAACGGCAAAUCCUAUGGACCCUGAAGCUCUACAAAAAUUUAUUGAUUCAGCAGUAGUUGCGAAAUUCAAACAGCUAGCACAAGAUAACGAACCACUUUUGAGCGAGAGUAACAAGCCAUACCAAGCUUGGCAUGACUUAGUCCCCUUCCCUCCAGGAUAUACCAGACCUCAGUUCCAAAUGUUUGAUGGAACGGGAGACCCUCGAGAACACCUCACCCAUUUUGAGGCGGCUUGUGGAGACACAGUCACAAAUGGUUCACUUUUAUUGCGCCAAUUUCCACUAUCUUUAAAGGGAGAGGCUUUCCAAUGGUAUUCAAAGUUACCACCCAGCUCUAUUCAGGAUUGGCCAAUGAUGAAGGCUCAAUUCAAGUCUCACUUUAUUUCUACAAAGAGAGAAAUUACUCUUAGAGAGUUGGCCGAUCUUAGACAAGAAAGAGAAGAGAAGGUCGAAGAAUACAUUACUCGGUGGAAAAAUACCAGCAUUAAUUGUUCGCAAGAAAUUCGCGCUGAGGAAGCAGUUCGACUUUGUAUAGGGGGGAUGCAUCCUUUGUUAGGGGUGCAAAUUAUUUUGAAAACCCCAAGGUCCUUCCAAAGCCUAUCUCAAACGGCAGCUAAGUUGGAAGCUUAGUAUAGAAAAAGUCCUGAACUUCUAGCCAUAUAUAAAGGGUUUUUUUCUGGAGAUAAAACUAAAAAGCCCCAGUCAACUAGAAGUGCCUACGAAGAGCAAAUAAUCCUCCUGCUAAAGGGUUCGACAAUAAUAACGCAACCAACUGUUCUAACCAACCCUCCACUGAUAAAGAAAAAGCCAUAAUAAUCGGAGGGGAUGAUGUUUCAGCUAAAUAGGUUAGGCCAACUUUUGAGCAAAGAUUGAAUAGGGUCUACUCUUUCCGACGAGAAGCCAUUCCGAAACUGUUUCGACAAGCUCUUAAGUCUCAAAGGCUCACUCUACCAAAUCCAGCUAGACCAGAGCAAGUCAAUAAAAUUGACGACCCUCAUUAUUGCCCUUGUCAUAGAUUUGUUGGGCACACAAUUGAAGAUUGUAUCACAUUUAAGGAUUGGUUGGAAAAGGCUGUCAAAAAUGGGGUAUUUGCACUUCCCCUAAAGUCCUGAACACACCUGAAAAGCGAGAAGUGAAUUCUGUCUCUAUUUCGCCUUUACGGGUCUUUUGCAAUAUUUCAUCAAUUCAAACACUAUCUUUAUCAGACUCCGAUGAUGAAGUGUUGCUUUUUCCACAAGAAGCAACAGCUCUAAAUAAAGAUGCUCUUAUUUACCUGCGAAACUUUGAAGCCGAUGGUACGGAACUUUGAAAAUUCAAGCAGCUCUCAGAUCCACCUAUGUGCCAAGAUAAAGAAAAACAAUCUGAGAGUACAUUGAAGCCACCUUAAAAACACAUCUCUGCACCUCAUGGCAAGAAGAGUAAUGUGGAUUAUAAUGUUAUCACACAUUCGAAAAGAAUUCCUGCUCUUCUUAGUGUUUUUGAUACCUUAAUGAUGGCUAAGGAAUUAAGAGAAGCAUUGGUGGAAGCUCUUCUUAACCCUGAACCUUAUGCGACGGUGAUGGCUGAAAUUCAUCUCAUGAAUCAAGUUGACGAAGAGGUGAAUCAAAUCACAUUUUCUGAGGAAGAAUUUAUGACCCCAAACCAUAAACACAAUCGUCCCUUAUAUGUACAAGGACACGUUAAAGGAGUCGCUCUCAAACGCAUAUUGGUUGAUCCAAGAUCUGCAGUUAACAUACUUCCUCUUCAAACAUUACGAGUAUUAGGGCAUUCGGUUGAUGAUCUUGAACCAGAAAAUGUCGUUAUUUCAGGGUUUAAUAAGUCUGAUGAACAUACCUUGGGUUCAAUCUAGUUAAUGCUCUCUUUACAAGAGCUAAAAACAUUGGUGAGAUUCUAUGUUAUUGAUGCCGACACCUCUUACACGAUGUUACUAGGGCGACCCUGGAUCCAUGAAUUUCAAAUUGUGCCCUCGACUCUUCAUCAAUGCCUCAAGUACAAAGAUGAGCACGGCCGACAAAAGAGAAUUUAUAGAAAUCCUAACCCUUUCUCUUGGAAACUUUCCCAUUAUGCUGAUGCUCAAUUCUUUUUAGAAGCUGCUCCAUCCUCUUCAAGGUUAGCUUUUAAUCUAAACAAAAAGAAAUAUGCAAACAUUCCACCUCUAGCAUAUAAUAUGAUCAAUGCUAGCUCAUUUCGAACCCUUCAGCAAGAGAAAAAUGUUAAACGUGACUGUCACCAAAAUCUUAAUGAUCCCAUUUUAUUGGGAAGUGACUCCGAGGAUGAGAGUAGUACACAUUUUCAAACAAUGGCCAUUUUUGUGUCAAAAGUCCCUGAUGAGCUACAAAAUUUUUUCUUUCCUCUUUCAAGUCAAAUGUCGACAACCAUAGAAGAUGUUUGUGUUCGAGUUAUCCGUUCAACUAUACCGGGGCGCAAACCUAUAUUGCUUUACAAAACUUCUGAAGCUGUGAGGUAUUCUGAACCUUUUCCACUAAAAGAGGAUGAGGAAAUGUCAACAGUCGCCAUGGUGAAGGAUGAUCGACUUAAACAUUUACUGCGUCGGGUAGGCAUGCAAGUUACAGAUGAAGGACGAUUGACCCCCACUCCCUCUAUAUUUGAGAAGUUAUGGGUUCCCUCUAACAACAUGCAAGAUGUAGAAGCACGUCGUCGCCGACAAGGACUUGUGUAUGUUGAGCCUUUGCUUAAAUGGCCAUGUCGUUCUUGUAAUCACACUAUUGUAGUUCUUGUCGAUUCUUCUGAAUUUGAUGAUGAAGAGCUUUUACUCUAGCCUAUUGACAAUUUAAUAAUGAGGCAGAACAAUUCACCUUCGACAUCUUCUCUAGAUAUAUUCGCAAGGCCUUUUGAUAGCCCUCUAGAGACGUGCAUUGGAGAGAUUGUCGACGGUACUCCCGCGCCUAAAGAGCUUGAAGAUGGAGGACAAGCAACAGUCGAUGAGUUAACUGAACUUAAUCUUGGUACUGAGGAUGACCCCCGGCCUAUUUUUGUUAGUGCGUCAUUAUCUGAUGAGGAAAAGGAACAAUACAAGAAUUUUCUGAUAGAGCACCGGGAUUGCUCUGCUUGGAGUUAUAAGGAGAUGCCUGGGCUUAACCCUGAUGUAGCUAUGCAUCGAUUGUCGAUUGAUCCAAAGGCCAGUCCUGUCAAGCAAUCACAAUGACGAUUUCGCCCAGACUUACAGGAUCAAAUUAUCAUUGAAGUUGAUAAAUUGAUCAGUGCCGAAUUUAUAGAAGAAGUCCACUACCCUACCUGGUUGGCAAAUAUAGUGCCAGUAAGAAAGAAGAAUGGCCAAAUUCGCAUAUGCAUGGACUUUCAUGACUUGAACAAGGCGUGUCCUAAAGAUGAAUUUUGAGUGCCAAUUACUAAAAUUAUGAUAGAUUCAACUACAGGACAUGAUGCACUGUCAUUUAUGGAUGACUCAUCGGGAUACAAUCAAAAAAAGAUGUCACCGGAGGAUGCUCCUCACACAGUUUUUCGUACACCGAAAGGAAUUUUCUAUUACAAAGUUAUGCCAUUUGGCAUAAAAAAUGCAGGGGCAACAUACCAGCAAGCAAUGACUGUCAUUUUUGACGACCUACUACACCAUAAAGUCGAAUGUUAUGUUGACGAUCUCGUGGUCAAAUCUCGAGAAAGGAGCAAUCAUAUAGAAGAUCUUCGGGUUGUCUUCCAACGCCUAAGAAAGCAUCAGUUAAAAAUGAAUCCACUCAAAGGUGCCUUCGGCGUCACAUCGGGGAAAUUUCUUGGAUUUAUAGUUCGGUAUCGAGGCAUUGAAAUUGACCCUGACAAAAUAAAAGCCAUCAUAGAAAUGCCACCUCCGAAGAAUUUGAGGGAGCUAAGGUCAUUAGAAGGAAGACUUGCUUAUAUUAGGCGUUUCAUAUCCAAUCUUUCAGGACGCAUCCAUCCAUUCACAAAAUUAAUGAAAGAAGGAGCUGAGUUUGAAUUGGAUGAUUCUUGUCAAAAAGCUUUUGACAGUAUAAAGCGAUAUUUGCUCAGUCCUCCAGUGGUAGCGGCCCCAAUUAAAGGCAAACCACUUGUUUUGUAUAUCACAGCAAUGCCAGCUUCUUUAGGAGCACUUCUUGCUCAAAAUAAUGCUAACGAAAAAGAAGUUGCAUGCUACUAUCUAAGCAGAAUGAUGGUAGGAGCUGAACAUAAAUACUCCCCUAUUGAAAAGCUUUGUCUUGCUUUGAUCUUUGCAUUGAAAAAACUAAGGCACUAUAUGCUGUCCUAUGAGAUUAGACUCGUUGCUAGAGCUGAUCCAAUCAAAUAUAUCCUAAAUAGACCUACUUUGAUGGGCCGAAUUGCUAAAUGGGCAGUAUUAAUGAUGGAAUUUGAUAUUACCUAUGUGCCACAAAAAGCAGUAAAAGGACAGGCUCUUGCAGAUUUUCUAGCUGCUUAUCCACCCCCUGAUGACUCACCUCUCAUAACUGAUCUGCUAGAUAAAAAAGUAAUGACCACUGAACAUGUAGAGCAACAUUGGCAGAUGUAUUUUGAUGGCGCAUCACGUACCAUUCCAGUAGUUGGCUGUGACCCACCAAGAAGGAAGGCGGGUGCUGGAAUUGUAUUCGUUACACCUACAAAUGGGGUCAUAUACCACACAUUUUUACUUCUUAAGCAGGAGUGCUCAAACAAUGAAGCUGAAUAUGAAGCGCUUAUUUUUGGUUUGAUCACAGCCCUUAAUACGGAGAUAUUCUAUCUACACGUAUACGGUGACUCGCAGCUCGUCAUCCAACAAGUUCUGGGUGUUUAUGAAGUUCGAAAGCCAGAACUCAUGCCUUAUCACAAAAUGGUCUGUAAUUUGAUGGAAAAGUUUGCAUUUAUCGAAAUCAAACAAAUCCCACGACGAGAAAAUGUUGAGGCUGAUGCUUUAGCUAAACUAGCGGCCGCUCUUACUUUACCACUUGGAGGCGAUGCAGACAUUCACAUCGAGUAAAGAUUUCUAUUGCCGUCGAUGCUUGACAUUCUCCCUGAAUGGACUCAGAUUGGCCAAGUCGUCUAUUCAUCCACUGAUCAUGCAAAUUGGAGACUACCUUUUGUUGAAUAUUUUAAACAUGGAAAACUUUCCGAUAAUUCUACAGAAAGAAUUGGGCUUCAAAAGCGCAUACCGCAAUAUCUUUUUCACAAUAACGUUCUGUAUAGAAGGUCAUAUGAAAAUAUGUGGCUUCGCUGUUUGUCACAUGAAGAAGCACGAAAGGCCAUGGAAGAGGUUCAUGCUGGGAUUUGUGGUGCACAUCAAUCUGGCCCAAAAAUGUAUCACAAGCUAAGAAUUGUAGGCUAUUUUUGGCCUAGGAUGGCUGGCGAUUGUAUCGAAUAUGCGAAAAAAUGUCAUCAGUGCCAAAUUCAUUAUGAAAUACCUCAUCGCCCUCCAGCAUCAUUACAUCCCACAAUCCCUGCAUGGCCAUUUGCAGCUUGGGGAACAAAUGUGAUUGGACCAAUUGAGCCGCCCUCAAGACGAGGCCACAGGUUUAUUUUGGCGGCAACCGACUACUUCUCACGGUGGGCAGAAGCUAUACCGUUAAGAGAAGUCAAAGCUGAUAAUAUUGUUAGCUUCUUUGAACAUCACAUCUGUCACGCCCCGGGACCGGCGAAGGCCCUCCCGGUAGCGUACCCAGACCCACCAUAUGUCUACACAUAUAAGGCGUCUACAACAAAAGUGGAAGUAAAGCACGAGAUAGAACAAAUAAAAGAAGUGAAAUAACUAGCAACUAAUGAUAUCAGAGCGAGUAAAGUUCUAUCAUCUACACCAAAGUAUAGAAAUAAAGCUAGACAAUAAAAGAAACCAUAAGUAGUACAAUAUCUGUCUCUAGUACAAAAAUGGUGGUCUCUAGUACACUGGUACAACCCUUACAAUUAAUCUGUCACGCCCCGGGACCGGCGAAGGCCCUCCCGGUAGCGUGCCCAGACUCGCCAUAUGUCUACACAUAUAAGGCGUCUACAACAAAAGCGGAAGUAAAGCACGAGAUAGAACAAAUAAAAGAAGUGAAAUAACUAGCAACUAAUGAUAUCAGAGCGAGUAAAGUUCUAUCAUCUACACCAAAGUAUAGAAAUAAAGCUAGACAAUAAAAGAAACCAUAAGUAGUACAAUAUCUGUCUCUAGUACAAAAAUGGUGGUCUCUAGUACACUGGUACAACCCUUACAAUUAAUCUGUCACGCCCCGGGACCGGCGAAGGCCCUCCCGGUAGCGUGCCCAGACUCGCCAUAUGUCUACACAUAUAAGGCGUCUACAACAAAAGCGGAAGUAAAGCACGAGAUAGAACAAAUAAAAGAAGUGAAAUAACUAGCAACUAAUGAUAUCAGAGCGAGUAAAGUUCUAUCAUCUACACCAAAGUAUAGAAAUAAAGCUAGACAAUAAAAGAAACCAUAAGUAGUACAAUAUCUGUCUCUAGUACAAAAAUGGUGGUCUCUAGUACACUGGUACAACCCUCACCCUCUCGCCAAAAAGUAAACAUCGAGAGGUAGACCACCUAGCAACUCGUCCUCGAAGGAAGCUAGCUCGAAGCAACUCCCUUCCCGCGAUCCCUGGCCUCACCCUGCGUGGAAGGCUCUGAAAAACAUCGAGAAAAAGAGGGCGUGAGAACUAUAAUUUAUAGUUCCCAGUGGGCAAUUACUGACCUCAGCUCAAUGCACCACUAGGCCCCAAAAGAAAAGGGUAAGUAACGACAUAUAGUAAUAUGCAAUAAAUAGCGAACACAAAAACUGCUGAAAGAAAGCAUGAAUGAAAUGCUAUACUACUAUGUCUCCAAUAAGCAUGAUGUCAUGGUGGUGUACAUCUACGCUAUCAUAAAGUAACAUAUCCAAUACAUGCUAAUAUGCCUCAACAUAAUGAACAAGUAAACCUCGCAGUACCAUAUGCCAAAAAUAUAAGGAGUACGCUCUAUCAAAGAUAACCCAAUAUACUAUGAUGCAAUGUAUGAAACCGGCAAGUGUACUAUACACCCCAUUGCUAUGUCAUGAGCAUGUCACCUAAUCCAACUACUAAGCCUAUCUAGUAGCGAUUAUUCAUUCUCAACACCGUGUCGAUUUCCAUUUCCAAUCAAGGACCUACCAAAGGUAGUCCAGCUUGUGCCGCCUAAGUGCCUGUGGUAGCCCAACAUCCCUACUCUUGGAAUGUGUCUGUCCCACUCGACCCCGUAGGCUUCUCAAUAUCGCACGAGCGAACAUAGGUCGCGAAGGCUAACUCCGGAGUGCCGGCUUGUAGGGAGCAACCCUCACAAGUAUGUGCGAAUGAGCACAAAUGGCAAGCAAGCAUAGUCCAAGUCUCAAGUAUCCAACCCUCAUGUCUCUAACAUGAUAUAGUCACUAGCAUCUCGAAGAUCUAGUUCUAAGUCACAAAUGAAGUUCCAACAUUCUCUAGGUCUAAUGCCCCUUUAUGACACUUAGACAUNCUGUAGGGUGCCUUUGAGAUCGGGGUAGUCCCGGGGACGAGAUCUACCACAAACUCAAUCUCCCUAUCAGGGGGCAUGCCUGGAAGCUCCGCUGGAAAGACAUCUCCAAACUCUCGCACUACGGGGAUAUCCUCAAUCCUAGGGGCGUCCGCAUCACCCCGCAACACGACAGUAGCCAAAUAGGCUACGCAGCCUCUACUAAUCAACUGCCUAGCUCGAGAGGAGCUAAUCGUCAUCGUAAACAGCGAACUCUAACAUCCUCGGUACACAACCUCCGCCUGCCCUGGCUCUCUAAAAAUCACCGUUCGAUCUUUGCAAUCGAUAGUGGCGUAGUACUUAGUCAACCAAUUCAUGCCCAACACAACCUCAAACUCCCCGAGUUUAUGCAAGGCUAGCAAAUCAAUGGGCAUGAUCCAAUCUCCAACCCGAAUAGGGCAGCUGGGGCAAAACUCCCGAAUGUCCAAAGAAUGGUCGGGUACAACGACUCGUCCCAGGUGCAACAAGGAUACAAUUUACAGGUUCGAAAUUCCUAAUCGUGUGAUCUCAGAUAAUGGGCCGGCAUUCAAAUCUCAGAAAGUUUAUCGACUUCCGGCCAAAUACAAGAUUGAUUGGCGUUCCUCUAGCAUAUAUUAUCCACAAGCAAAUGGCCUUGCAGAAGCCUUUAACAAAACGCUUGGAGAAAUUCUUAAACGAACAGUCUCUAAGAACAAACGCGAUUGGCAUGAGAAAAUACAAGAAGCUUUAUGGGCCUAUCGCACAACAGUUCGUACUCCAACACAAAUGACUCCUUAUACAUUAGUAUUCAGGGGGGAAGCGGUGUUACCUCUCGAAGUAGAGCUCUCCUCUUUAAGAAUUGUAGUGCACGAGAAGCUUACAGAAGAGGAACAGAUAAAACUUAGACCGGCCGAGCUAGAAUCGUUAGAAGGUCAAAGGCUAGUAGCCAAACAAAAUCUUGAACUUUAUCGAGCUCAAAUGGCACAAUCCUAUAACAAAGUGGUUAGAGGACGAGUUUUUAAGCCAGGAGAUUUAGUGCUGGUCCAGAAAAGGCCUAUCAUGGCACGCCAGUGCCUUAAAGGAAAAUUCGAGCCUAAGUGGGAAGGACCUUAUAUCGUCGAAAAAGUUUUUGAUGGCAGGGCCUAUCAACUUAUUGAUUGUGAAGGGAGACAUCCUUUGCCUCCAAUUAAUGGUCGAUUUCUGAAGACAUACUACUGUUGACCUUCUUCAUCCCCAGUUAAUCCCAACGCUGCCGAGUAUCAGCUUUACCAACUACUCGACGCCAACUCGAACGCUACCGAGUACCAGCUUCACCAACUGCUCGACCUCAACUCUGACGCUGUCAAGUAUCAGACAACUACUCGACCUCAAUUCCGAUGCUGCCGAGUACCAGCUUCACCAACUACUCGACCUCAACUCCGACGCUGCCGAGUACUAGUUUCACCAACUAACUCCGACGCUGCCGGGUACCAGUUUCACCAACUACUCGACCUCAAUUCCGACGCUGCCGGGUACCAGCUUUACCAACUACUCGACCUCAAUUCUAACGCUGCCGAGUACCAGCUUCACCAACUACUCGACCUCAAUUCCAACGCUGCCGAGUACCAGCUUCACCAACUACUCGACCUGAACUCCAACGCUGCCGAAUACCAGCUUCACCAACUAUUCGACCUUGACGUUGCUGAGCCUAGCUAUAACACGAUAAUGAGCGCAUUGAAAGAAAACAUCAGCACCGGAGAUGUACAUUCAAGCUUUGCGCUCAUAUACACUCCGGUGGGGGCAUUUGUUAAAAAAAAAAAAAUGAUGAUCACUUCCCUAAAUUCACUCCUCCACUAUCUCCUACCAUUCCCUCCAUUUCUACCACUUUCUCCACCAUUUUUUCCACUUUCUCACCAUUCCUACUACUUUCUCCACCAUUCCCUCCACUUUCUCACCAUUCCCACUACUUUCUCCACCAUUCUCUCCACUUUCUCCACUUCUCAAUCACUCCCUCCACUUCUCCACCAUUUACUUUUCUCUUCACCAUAAACCUCCACCACCCUCUAUUUAUAUAAAGAGAAGUGAACAAAGAAAAAAAGAGAGGAUUCUACUCACAAAAAAAAGAGAAAAGAAACUUGGAUAAAAAAAAGAGCCAAAUAGAAAAGUGGGUUUAGAUUCUCUCACUUUUAUUUUUUUUUCUCCCUCUUCUCUCCUAGUCAAGGCACUCCAUACAUCGAGCUUUCUAUGCACACUGGGCUAUACAUGCUGUCAUCAACCUCUACUACGCCGGGUCAUCGUCAACCAAUAAAAGACGACCACUCGUCGCUAUUCCUACACCUUUGCUGACUGUCGUUGCCCCGUUGUCGUUGAUCCCGGAGUGGUACACGUUCUCUUUUGCUAGUAUGGUGUCAUCAUCGACCAAGGAGGUGGCCAUCCGCCUGCUGUUGCUGCGCUGACGACAACGACGACGAUGAUCCGCUUGACGCUUCGCCGUCGGCGGUAAAGGCGGCGACAGCAACAACAAUGAUCCGCUUGACGCUUCGCCGUCGGCAGUAAAGGCAGCGACGACAACGACAACGAUCCGCUUGACGCUUCGCCGUCGGUAGUAAAGGCGGCGACGACAAUGACAACGAACCGUUUGACGCUUCGCCGUCGGCGGUAAAGGCGGCGACGACAACAACGACGACGAUGAUCAUCCGCUUGACGCUUAGCCGUAAGCGGUAGACGACGACAACGACGACGAUGAUCAUCCGCUUGACGCUUAGCCGUCGGCGGUAUACGACAACAACGACGACGACAAUCCGCUUGACGCUUGGCCGUCGGCGGUAGACGACAACAACGACGACGACGAUCCGCUUGACGCUUAGCCGUCAGCGGUAGACGACGACAACGACGACGAUGAUCAUCUGCUUGACGCUUAGCCGUCAGCGGUAGACGACGACAAUGACGACGACUAUUCGUGUCACGCCCCGAGCCCGAUCCCUUUUGGCCGGUUCGAGAGCGUCAAACAGACGCCGAACGGACAGAGCUUCCCCCGUCCGCCCAAGGCCUAACACAAGUAUCAAUAGAGUACAAAUUUGCAUAAGCGGAAGCAUACACAAUGGCUUGCACGAGGGCAAGCAAUAGCCAAGGUGAAAGAAUUAGCAAUUCGAUAUACAAGUAAUAUGACUAAAUUUAAAUCACAUACAUGUAUCCAACUAUAAUCAAGUUCUGUCACAUUCUCGCAUCAUUUUUUUUUACAUCUCAUUUCUCCCAAAAUAUACCUUUUGACCUUUAACAUAAAUAUCCUUUCAUUCAUUAAGGCAAGUUCAUAAUACUAAAAUCAUCAAAUACAAAAGACGAUAGUAAAGGGUAUGCAGCUACAAAAUGAAAUCCAUCUCAUGCGGUCUCUAUCUAGGGCGCGAUGCCCUUACCGCGAUCAUCUGCCGGCUCGCUCGGUCCCGGCUCUGUGGAAAUAGUGGGGUGAGAACUACAACAAAGUUUCCAGUGGGUUUGGCAACCAACCACGCCGACUAUCCCACUAGGUCUAAUCAGGCAUAAUAGAAGAAAGAAUAGAUAAUAACCAACUAACAAAUGCAGCUAAUAUGCCUGAACGAUAAAUAAAACUAUGCUCGAUAGAAUGCUCAUGAUGAAUGCAAGAUUAACUUUUAAUUACCCAAUCUCAUGGCUAGCCCGUAGGUUUCGCCCUCACAAACUCACCAACCCAAAUCCCUAUUGUCGGGGAGAUAACCGCUACGACCCGACGGGACCGCCCUCUGGGGAGAUAACCGCUACGACCCAGUGAUGACAACUCCGGAGCACAUCGCCCGAGGGGGAGCUACCGCCCUCGAGCAAGGACUAUUAGGUGAGUACAAUCAAUCCUUAACUUUAAGGAUUCCAAGUUCAAUCCAUUCCUUGACUUCAAGGAGAACCAUGUACAUGUGACCCUUAAUUCUAA